ACCGGGGACCUGGAGGAAGACCAGCCGGCCGCAUGACGGAGAGCGAUCUACAUUGGCGUCGAGACUCGCGAUUGGAGCCCUCGCGGGAAUAAGAUCGUCACGAAGCGGCGAACUCGCCGAUGGGAAGAAGGAAAACAGGAAUUUCUCCGUGCGUAUGCGUCUAGAUCGAUGCCUCCUUAUGGUCUGGGCCAUGGGCUCCUUGCGAACCCUGGAGGGGGCCCCUAGAUUUCGGGGGCCCUGGGCGGCCGCCCCCCUGCCACCCCCUCAGGGCCGGCCCUGCAUGCACGAACAUAAUUUUGUGUGGGAAAAAGAACUUGCUGGGAAACUCGAAAUAAAGCUGCAUUUUAUACUCGUGUAUCAUCUGCCAUGGAGUAAAGCAAGAUGAUCAAUUUUUUUUGAGUAUCAGUACAGACACAAGCGCUCAUAUACACGCGCAUACACUCACCCUAUGAAGGCACACACGCACACGCACACCCUAACGUCUCCUCCCACUGAAAGCGCAUCGCCGGAAAUCCUGAAAUAAAUUCAGGAAUAAUGCGAGCACCAGGAUUUGAACCCUGAUGGGUUGGGGAUACCACUGUCCACCUAACCAACUCAACCAUAGGUUGAUUCGCAAGAUGACCAAUUUUCGUAUGUAAAUUAUGAGGGUUUCUCCCCGCAAAAAAAAAAAGAGUUAUGAGGCUUUCUACUAAAGAUAUAGAUAUGCGUGGCUGACAGAAUAUUUUCCUGGUAACAAAAUCUCAACCUGCCAUCAGUACCCGAUCGACCUCCUGUGUUUUCACAAUGCAAAAGGAAAAAUCUUAAUUACCCCUAAAAAAAGGAAAAAAUCUUAAUACAUGUACGUCACCAACCCAGGCUUCCCGCAAAAAAAAAAAACCCAGGCUAUGUGUCCCGUCAAAAAAGAAAACCCUGGCUAUGUGCUGCGCGCGUGCGCCGCCGUGUGGCGCGAUGGAUCUGCUCCCCGAGGACUUGAUCGGAGAGGUGGUGCGCCGCCUCCCCGGGCGGAGCCUCGCGAUGUCCCGCCGCGUGUGCAGGCCGUGGCGCGCCGUCGUGGACCGUCUCAGGCCGCUCCGGCCGCACAUGCUGCCGCACUCCGUCGCCGGCAUCAUCAGCAUUCAGCAACUACUUUGACUUCCCGCGCUUCUUCGUCCGUCCCUCCUGCACGAGGAUCGCCGCCGCGUUCGACUCCGUCCAGCGCCGCAAAGACGGCCUGACCACCACGAGUCCACGAUCGUCGACCACUGCAACGGCCUCCUCCUCUACGACGACGGCUGGGACUGGACGCAGCUCUACGUCUGCAACCCCGCCACCCGGCGCUGGGCGCUCCUCCCGUCGGUUCCGGGCCUCGAUCUCUUCCCAGGUCUGUGCUUCGCCGGCGCCUACCUCGCCUUCGACCCGGCCGUGUCGCUGCACUACGAGGUGUUGUUGAUCCCAGACGUGCCCGAGAAAACCACCGACUAUGACGAGGAGGACCCGGAGGACUUGAUGGAAUGGCCACCGUCGUGCCAUCAGCUGAUGGUGUUCUCGUCGAGGACCGGGAGAUGGGAGGAGAGGGCCUUCGUUCGCAUAGGCGAGGCGGCGGGAACCGUAGCCGACGUGCGGUCAAAUAUGGUGGUGGAUCACAACUGGAAGACGGGGUAUAGCUACGCCGAGUACUGGAGAGGAGCCUUGUACGUGCAUUGUCGCGCCGGCGCUUUUGUUUCCAGGUACCUAAUUAACUUUUGUUGAUGCAAAAAGAUCAUUUCAUUUGAAAGAACUAUAUCAUUUUAUUCCUAUGUAUGUUGUCUUUUUUUCUUCUUUUUUUGCGAUUGAUCCCUACAUAUAUAUAUGUUGUCCACUAAAGCUAUAGUGGGAUGCGCUAGCUCAAGCUGAUUAAUCCAAGCUCGAUAUAUUGUGUGAUGGUUACAGGUUUUGCACUUCCGAAUGUAGCUACCAAGUAAUCAAAGCGCCAACAAACAUGGAUGAAAAUGAAAACAUGCGAUCCAACUUCAGAAGAUCAGAGAAGGGGAUGCAUUAUGCAAGUUUUCGUGGCCAUAGACUUCGAGUGUGGAUACUCCUCGAAGAAUCACAUGGCCUACCAGAGUGGGUGCUAAAGUAUGAUGUCAGCCUCAACCUUCUUUCCUAUCGAAUGAACACUUUAUAUUCUGAGGAGAUCAACAGGCCAUGGACCGUAGAUGAUGACGACAGGGAGAAGCAGGAGAAUAAUCGACAGAGCGCUGAAUGGAACUCUGAUAAUGAUGAUGUCCUAGAGUAUGGUGAAUGUAGCCACGAGCAGCAGAGUCGUGGGGGUUUCCGCUUCCUAGGCUUCCAUCCAUACAAAGAGGUUGUCUUCUUGAGUCACUCUAAUAAUGAUGUGCUAGUGCCAUGCAUUCGUAAUGCAGUGGCCUGCCAUUUGGCAAGCUUGAAGGUUCAACAUUUAGGUAGAAACAAUCCAAAGGAUUUUGCUCAUUGGCAAAGCGAAGAAGGAUCGUUUAUCUACACUCCUUGCUUGCUUGAUUUGCUUCCUCAAAGAUUUUGAUAUUGGGUUCAGGUCGAUCUCCUUGUUGAAGACGCUUUAAUUUUUGCAAUCCAAAGAUAUGGAGCUCUCUAUGCCUCAGAAAUGAUUUCUAUAGAAUGACGUGCCAUUUCUACUAAAAUCAAAGACAAUGGAACACAAGGGUGAAAAUAGUUCCUGAUUUGGACGCUCGCUUCAGGAUAUAUUUCGAUUUGAAAUUUAGAACUCACUGAUGGUGACAAGUGAUGCACCUCGUGUGCGCCACUUGUUGCCAGCGGUGGCAAUUGAAAGUAACAUUUGCAAGUGGUACCCUCUAAUUGAUGAUUAUGUACUAUCUAUUUAUCGACAAAAGCGAAGUGUUUAAUAUCAAUCUUAAACAAUGAGCCCAAUGUAGAGUGAAAUCGACGAGCGACAUCAAUGUGCCUAUUUUCCGCUUAUCUUAUGGUUUAAUAAUAGAUGCUUUUGUAGUAUUCCCAUUUCCCAAUAUAGGGUUAUUCUUGUGACACGAACCUUAACAUUAUAGCAGGAGAUAAAGAUGGAAGCGUUUUUCUUCUUCUAUUUCUUGUUUGAUGAUUAUAGCCGGACUUGAUUAAUCCUGCACUGAUCACAAUCCCGGUAAGAAUGUUAGGUCCAUGCAUGUCCCCCUCCUCCAUCGUGCAUAUGCUUGUGUUGUUCUUUAAGGCACGUCCGUAUAGUGGGACACUAUUUCCUACUAUUUGGUUCAGCAGCAAUCUAAUUUCCUCCCCCCUUUUCCUUUCCGAAAACCUUGCAGAAAGAACAGACGCUAGCAAAUUCCAUGAUAAUUUAUCAUUGAUUGCAAUUUUUCUGUUGGUAGCAAAUUCCCUGAUAAUUUGAAAAGGAAACUACUAUGAAGUAUCUUUGGUCUUGCUGAGAUGACAAUUGAACCGACCUUGGAGGUGGCGUACGUAUGUAUGGUAGGACACUGUAACAUCUCCCUAUGAACUAUAUGAUGGAGCCGCAACCUUGGAGUACCUGAUGAAGCAUGAAGAGCAGGAGGAGAACAUCAGGAUCAGAGUGGUGUAUCCGAUGUUAUGUGGAGCUGAUGUUUGAUUAUGCCUGGGAUGUUAUAACGUUGCUAUCAUGCUGUAUCCCUUGUUUUGUAGCAAGACAACUUUGGACCUUAGUUGAGAGGGUGAGAUGAGUGCUUAUUACUCCCUCCGUUCCGAAUUACUUGUCGCAGAAGUUGAUGUAUCUAAGACUAAAAAAUGUCUAGAUACAUCCAUUUCUACGACAAGUAAUUCCGAACGGAGGGAGUAGUUUUUAGUGGUUGGACCUGGUCUGGUAGAAUAUUGUAACUGGUUUCGUUUCAAUGAAAUGAAGCUAGGGGUGUGAACCCCUGAUUAUUGACGAAAAAAAACCACAAAUGAACCGACAAUAUGUAUCCAUCCCUCUUAACACGCUCAUUGUCGUGCACCUAAGCUCUAGGAUUUGGGUGUGACAGCUAGGGGUGCAGAGCGGCGCCGAUCCGCCCCGCUCCACAUGCAAAACAGAUUUACUUUACUUAUAGUUGCUCCUCUCAGAUUUAGUUCAAUUUGAACUAAUUCUCUACUUAUGCGUGACUUUGCAGGAUGCCCGCCUGCAUCCCUGGUGACAGGGGAGAAAGAUUCCCAAUGUCGUAGCAUUCAACAAGUUCAUCUAAAAUGAAUUAUUCAACCAGUUCCAUGAUAGAAACAAUGAUUUAACCCUAAAACCAUGAAUUAUUCAACCCUUUUUUUUGCGGGUGAUGAAUUAUUCAACCCUAUGGAUGCUGGGUACUCUUUUGUGUUCCGUUAUCUCUUUUCACAGUAGAACCCGAUCCAUUUUGGGAUUGUAUGGAGAGAGAAAAAUAAAGAAGCCUACUGGGAUUCCAUAUCUAAUACACAUGAAAGAUUAUUUUCGUCAUCUCUAAAAACCCACGAACGCACUUCUUACAUACAAUCAAUCUGUCAACCGUAAGCCGCUUGCAUAUAUAAAUCAAUCCAUCAAUCAUAAGUCGCUAACGGCUAACUACAAUCAGUCAACCAUAAGCCCGCUUGCAGAUACCAGCGGUCUCACAAAACUGAACAUCUGACUUGCACCUCGACUUCGCCCUUGCUCCAAGUCAGCGCGUCUUGUGUGGGCCAAGCCUCGUGAAGAACUUCAGGAUGUUAUCCCCAGGCAUGAUCACAGGCAAGCCGCACUCUUUUCCCGCUUCCACGCUCUGCAAACAGCAAGGCACGGUACCAUUGGUCAGCAGCUGAAGUUUACAAGAGAUGACCUUCCAGAAUGGUGUCAAAAUUCAGAAUAAGUUUGGUGUCAAAAUUCAGAAUAAGUUGUACAGAGCAGGAGCACAACUUCAUACAUGAGGAAUGCGCCAGCGCCAUGAUACUACCUUGUGCUCAGAAGCUGCCUGCUCGGCACCAUUCCGAUGGAGAUGAUGGUGUGCAGGCUGUCUUGCAGCAUGGCAGGAUGCCAAGACCAGAGGAGAGAGCGGAGCCUGUCCUAGUGGGAGCAGCACAAGAAGAUGCCCGCUGAGGGAGAGGAUGACGAGGAGCAGGAGCACAGCUUCAUACAUGAGGAAUGCGCCAGCGCCAUCAGGCUCAUCAUCGAUGCAAAUGCGCCAUCGGGGUCGUUAUGGAUGCAGGAGCAGGCGUAAUUUGGGCAACAUUUGGCGGAUGAACCAAGGUACUAAAAUCUGGAGCAAAAAUUUACCAAAGCCCAGUAAAUAUAUUAAUCUCAAAGUUAAGCGGACUACAUGAUUCAAGGAGUUCAUCCACUUCAUACUUAAACGAAUCCAAGAACAAUCCAAGCGUGAGCCCGGCUUUCCAGUAAUUGAAUAUGGAAAUCAUAUUCUUCAUCCUGCCAAGAAGCGCAAAGGAAGCCCUGUACAUGAGAGCGCCAAUAACCUCGACGAUGGCAACAGCCAAUCCGGCAGAAAGUAUGUCCCAGUCGCCUGUUUGCCCGAUGACGGUAGCAAAUGCCGUGGCACAGUAAAAUCCUAUCAGAAAGAAUAGGAUCUUUACUGGAAACCCUCUACUCACUUUCUUCAGCUUGCCAGACAACUUCUUUAAGAAAGAUUGAAUUGCAUUAAACAGCCGAGUGCUAUUGCCUGAAUUGUCGGGAUUGUCGUCUGCCAUAGUCUUAAUGGCCCAUUGCACCACCCUACAGAAAGAACAAAAUAUUUCCGAUAAUAUGUUAUUGAACAUUGUCAGAAGAAAGCAUGCUGUCUUUCAAGACACAGAACAAUAACUCAGGAAAGGAAGGCAGAGGAACACGCAGAGCAGAUUAUUAGAUAAAAUACAACUGAUAGUGACCUGUUGCAACAAAGACCAUCUGAUGGCAUGAAAAAACACGAGCCCUUAAUUAAGACUGAGUUCUUAACCAUCUAAAAAAAACUGAAUUCUUAACCCAUACCACUCACAAUGCACUAACCGAUUAGUUAUGCCUAACCUAAGUAUCCUAGAUUAGUUAUGCCUAACCUAAGUAUCCUAAAUACAACUGAUAGUGACCUGUUGCAACAAAGACCAUCUGAUGGCAUGAAAAAACACGAGCCCUUAAUUAAGACUGAGUUCUUAACCAUCUAAAAAAAACUGAAUUCUUAACCCAUACCACUCACAAUGCACUAACCGAGCUAGCACAAAUUUGGCUUCAUUACCUACAGAAAUUUUGAAGUAUGCAGCUUCUCUGAAGCUGGAACCGUGCAAGGACCCAGUACUGAAUAAACCGAAAUCCCACAUUCUCUCCCUAGUUGAUAUUUGAUGCAUAAGGACAUCAACCUUCAGUGAACAGGUUAAAUCUAGGAUACUUAGGUUAGGCAUAACUAAUCGCAUUAAAUAAGUUAAACACAGGUUAGGCACAAUGAACAGGUUAAACACAGUGUACUGAAUGUGCUAGCACAUAGGAGUAUUUAGGAUUCGCUACCUACAGAAUUCGGGAAUUGUGCAUCUUCUGUGAUGUGGGAACCGUGCAAGUACCGACUAAUGAGUAAAUCAUGCAUUCUCUUCCAAGUUGACAUUUCAAGCAUAAAUACAUCAACCUUGAGUGAACAUGUCAACACUGGAAUGCCUAGAUUAGGGAUAACUAGUUUCCAUUAUGUAUGUUUUCAGUCAACAUAUCAGAACAGAAGGGAAUGAAACUGUACACUCACUGAAUUGAGAACCUCAUGGUAAAUGGGGGAGGGCGUAUACUAUGUGAGAUAUGCAUGAAAUAAAAAAUUUCUCUACGGUGUAAUACUUGGCACACUGCCUACUAGUGAGUCAAUUCACUUGCAUUGCCUUGCCAUUGCAACGGUGUUCUAAACUUAAGUACUAGUAUUUACAGUGAAACCUUGUACUAGUAUUUACACUGAAAUGACCAUCGAACAAUCUUCAUUGGCGACUAAAUAGUCAGUAGUAUUUACACUGAAAGCUUGUAGCAUACGAUUGAAACAAACAAAGAUUAACAAUCUCCAGCCACCCUACACUGAAGAAUUCCUCAUUUUUUUACAUAAAACUGACUGAAUACUGUAAUGAUAAUCGAACAAUCUUCAUUGGAGAAAUCGACACACAUCGCACAACUUGCAGGUUUUGUAGCUACUUAUUUCUGUAUUAUUUGGAACGGAUAUUCUUGGUGUGGUAACACACUAACAGUAAACGCUACCUGGUGCUUCUGCCGAAGGAAGGAGACGCGCGCACCAAGCGGAAGCUCCCCUGAUGCUUGUUCCGGCAGCACGCGGCGGCGGCGGCCCCUCUUGGAGCGCAGGAGGACGCGGCAGCAGCGGCGGCGACAAGGUUCCUCGACCUCGAGCACCCCGACCAGCACCGGUGCCCCGGCGGCGACUGGACGGCUCCCUUGCACAGACGGAGAGCGGACAUGUGCCCUGCCCAAUUCGACCAAAAAAUUCUCAGACAUCGGAACCAAAUCGGACCUGACCAACCGAGCUCAUAUGUCGGCAGUCUCGAUCGGCGGCCACUCACCGAGCUCGCGCCCGAGCGUAAAGAGGGGGAGGGGGGAGGUGCAGGUGGAUUACCUCGGAGGAGGCAAGCUCGUCAGGCGGCGGCGGUGUCACCGGCGGCUGUCAUCGGCGGGGAGAGAUAUGGGAUGGUUGGUCGGGCUGCGGUGGCCGACGAGGCAGUGAAGGGGAACAGAACUGGGCCAAGCCCACAUAGCAUCCCAUGGGCCAGAGUCUAGCUAUAUUAUUAUUAGGCUUCCCGUCGUGGGCCGCUCACUGGGCUUCUCCUCUGCUUCUCUCGGCCGAAACCCCAGCUCAGCGAGCAGAGACCCGGCGGCGGCGGCGAUAUGCAGUUCCUCCGGGGCGUCGGCGGCGGGGGAGGAGGGGCGGGGUCGACGGCGUGGGAGGCGUUCAGGAGGCAUUUCUCGCGGAAGCGGGCGGUGGACAUCCGGCGGAUCAACCCCAAGGUGCCCAAGGAGGAGGCCGUGGCCAUCUCCGGCCGCCUCCUCCAGAUCCUCGCCGACCACGGGCCCCUCACCGUCGGCAACACCUGGAACCACGCCAAGGUACGCGCGCGUCAACUCACUCGGCUGCCCGUGCGUGUGUCAACGACCUCUAGCUGUUGAGCUCGAUGUAUUGCUGCAACUUUGUUCGUCCGUGGCCGGCAAAUAAAUUUGAUGCAGUAGUAGUAAGAGCUGAUGGAACUGAUGCCCCGAAGCAAGUAGUACAGCUUGGCCUCUGCCUGUACUUCCUUCAUUGGUCAGAUAGAUGAUGUUUAGACCAGGAAGAUUGUAGCUUCUGCCCUCUUUUUAGUGCCUUGGCUUCUUGCAUUUGGGCAGCAAAUAAAGUAGAUAGCUUUACUCUUCUUCGCGCUUAGCCGUGCUCUUGUAUAUCAACUUUGUCUUGUGAUUACAGAGUAGUUUUACCCUUCUUCGCGUUUAGCCAUACUCUUGUAUUACAGAUGUAAUAUGGUGUAUGUUCAACUCAGUGAUCUUGCCAUGACUAUUUGGGUGCUAGUAGGAAAUUUCUGCAAUUAGGUUUGUAAUCAGGCAUCUUUUAGUCUGUUGGCACCGAAUAAGCUGCUGAAUGUGUAUGCUAUGAUAGCCACCUGGUGGUGAGGUAAACAAUUGAUUCUUGUUCAUGCCACUUCUGUUUUAGAUGCUCAAUGUGUUAGAAUAAAUCCGAGGCCACCAUCGAUCAUCCGAGGACCAAAGCAAUCACACAAGCAUAACACCGAGAUUUGUUAACGAGGUUCAUCGAUAUGGCUACAUCCCCGGGGCCUGACUACGGGCGCUCCUCCCCGUGACACCGUCACAAUACCGCACCCCGGCCGCCCGGGCGCCGGCACACGCCACCGGCUCCCCCGCGUGCCCGUGCUAUUAUGUUGGCAUAGGUUACAUCGUGUGUCUACCCCCGAUAUAUAUGAGAGGCCUAGGAUACAAGUGUCCUAUUAGGACACAACUCCUACCCUGUAUACACACAGUCCAAAACCAAGUCCAAUUGUAACCUACCUUGUACAAUAAUAUUCGACAUAAUUCUAACAAAGUCCACCUUGGCGAAUAUUCUCCACCACCUUGAAUUCAUCCGUGCGUCGAACCUUCAUGUACAUGGACUUGAGAUACACCAUGAGCACCGCUGCUACUCCCAGACUCCAUGUGACUCCACCUGCAACUGUAGUCCCUUCUCGUCUUCUUCACAGUCAACACUCGAGCAAAAAUUAAGUUCCUCAUUACUUUACUUUGUGCUCCCAAUUUCCGGAGAAUCCGUUCAACGUCAUCACACACCGAAUACUGUCUGCGUGAAAAUGAACAACUCACAUAUUAGACGCCACAUAUAAGAGUUAUCUGAACUCAACAUCACCGCUCUUUCUUGACUGCUUGUCUGAAACUUGAAGGAAUUUCACCGUCACCUUGUGUCACCCUCAGUCAAAUUCACAGUUGUCUCAUCCUUUUUUCGGAUAGUCUCUGACUUGUCCCAUCGCUAUAGCAUUCCGCCUCCUUCUGCCUUGUCAUCCGCACUUUGCCAUGUGCACUGAACACCACAGAAUAUACGGCCAUGUACUCUCUCAGCUUUUGACAAUUUUAGACUUUCCGCCACUUUCUCAGAUUCUCCAUGGUCAACUCCUAUCCAUCAACUAGCACCGAUAGACCCAGUCACCAACUUGAAUCCAGUACUCGUCAACACUGCUUCAGCACCCUUGCACACUUUGUCUGAUCACACGUAUGACCACCAGUGCCUUGGUCUGUCGCUGUGUCCCGUGCUUACCGCACGCCUCGCCGCUAUCACCGCGUCGAGCCUUUGCUGUCCUGGUCGAGUCUCCCGGGUAGCUAGCCCACACUGCCUCAACCCCCCACUGCAGAGAACCAUCGAUCAUCACCGACCGAUGCCGAGUAUCACGCCUCCAUCAGACCAUUGGUACCCAAUCCGAUCCACGUGUCUCUCGCUAUCCCGCUGAAAUAGGCUUCGACUCUCCAUGCAUUUACGUCGUAGCCCCUCCAUUAGCACAGAGUGAAGUCGUCCAUCAGACUCCAGCUCCACCUUCAACAUGACUCUAUGUAGCUGGCCACGCUACCCUGCACCCUGUCGACUUCAAGCUCUCUCAUGUGUACACCGCCUUGAAUCAAUCCUGCGCCAUAGUCUUGUCGAAGCCGCACAAGCCCUUAGACCUGCACCACGUGUUUCCACGCCCCAGAAGUCGGUCACCAUCAGCAUCACACUCCUAUGUCGUUGUCGCUGAAAUCACCACCAUCUUCUGCUUUGACCGACAUCCUCGUCGAUCCGUCAGACAGUCCAGUCCGACCCAGCCGAAAUUAUCCGACUGCACCAUGCUCCACCCUGCGUCGUGUCCGCCUCGCACAUCCGUGCAUUGCCUUGACGCCCUGUGUAUGCAUGAUCCUUCCACGACAUGCUCCAGACUCCUCCGAGCCUUAUGCACACGUCGCCAUCCUCGGUUCCCGUCUGACUGCUAGUUGAACCACACCACUGCUGCCAUGCCAAUCUCCUUAGCGUACGAAGCAAAGAACCCAAAACUAGUCCCUGUAGUCCCUUGUGUACGUGUGCAACCAACUCAAAUAAUUCCUGUAGUACUUGUGCAAUCUCCCAAUAACAGUUUAGGACAUGCUUAUCGCUGCCAGAUUUUGAGCUCUUGCAAUACUACUGUUUAUGUCUAUGAUGGGAUACUACUGUUCAUAUGUAAUCAAGAGCUUGUGAUUUGGAGAUCAUGUAAUACCACUGCUUAUAUCUAAUCAAGUGUUUGUGCUGAUGCAAAUCAUCUAACGAUGGCGACAGGAUGCUGCGAUCGAUGGCCUGAACAGCAAGACCCACAUGAAGAUCCUGCUCAAGUGGAUGUGGGGGAGGAGGAUCAUCAAGCUCUCCUGCACGCAGGCCGGCAACACCAAGAAGUUCCUCUACUCCCCGUUCACCGCCGACGACGCCGAGGCGGCCGAGGAGCCAUCGCCAGCCGAGGAGCAGCCGAAGAAGAAAGGGUGGAAAGGGAAACACCCAAAGUACCAGACCAAGAAACAGCCUGCGGCAGCAGCUUGACCCUGGUCUGCUGAGCAUUCUUUCGGGCAUUUUCCCGCUGCUGUUGGCUUUUCUGUUUUACUUAGCACGGAAGAGUUCACCGCCAUAUCUGUUUGACAACAAAACAUAUAUUUUGUGAUGGACCAUUUGGGUGGGCACAAAUUACGCUGGCAGGCCGAUUUGUUCGGCUCUGUGUUGUAGACUCUGUCUGGUAGAAUAAUGAUGACACGAUAAUCUAGUAUAGUGUCAAAAAUCGUCUUACAUCGUGGGACGGAGGGAUCUAUGAGCCUUGAGAUGCAUUGCCUCAGAUUUGUGUGACUGCAUUGGUGAGGCCAGAAAGGAGGAUGAGUUUUUUUUUUUUUUUUGAAACAAAAAACGAGGAUCGGUUAGGGUAAGGUGAAUGGCUGGGUGGAAUGGGUUCUUCCUCUUUAUGUGUACAAUGUGCAUCCGUUUGCUUCUCUAGGGAGUUUGAUUUGUAAGUACCUCUUUCCAAUAUUUUUUUUCUUUUUUAUGAAACCAUUCCCUUCCUUUUACCGUUACAAGCAAGGGGUGCACCGCUCCCUUUGGUCACAUGCUAGAUGAUAGACGGCAAGGGAUUCAUUGGAUUGGAGCCAAAAAUUUGGUAAGGCUCUGACGUAAUUUGAUUAGAAGAUUUGCCAAAAAUUAGAGCCUAACAAAUCGGCUGCUAUUUUAUUAGGGUUGCCAAAAGAAUGCCUCCAAACCAAACCAAGCAGGCUGUAAGUGCUUUGGGUACUGCUAAAUCCAUGGCGUGUGUGCAAAUUAUGAGUGCCACGACUUGUUUUUUGUGUACAGUACAAUGUGCAUACCGUUGCUUCUGUAAUUUUUGUGGGGGUAAAAUAGCUAGGGUACAACCACAAAUUCGUCACACGGCAAGGGGUUGACUGGUUUGGAGCUAAAAUUUGGCAAAACUCUGACGUAAUUGUGAAGAAUUAACAAUUUUGGCUAGUGCUUUUGAGGGAAGGCCAACAUUUGACAAUUUUGGACAAAUUGCAAAAAAAUUAGCCUAAGAAAUCGGCUGCCAAUUUAUUUACGGUUGCCAAAAAAGUUUCCAGGAGAGACAGAGGUGAUGGCCUUCCCGGUGCUCCUGCUCCUCCUCGUGGUGGUGGUGGCCGCGCCGGAGCUCUGCGCCGCGCAGAGCCCCAUCUUGCGGCCGCCGUCGCCCGGCGCGCCCACCGCAUCCCCGCUCCUCCGCCCCGACGCCGACUGAGACGACGACAACGGAUCCGCUGCGUCCCCCGCCCCAGCGCGCUCGCCCGACGAGGACAAGGCGGCGGCGGCCUCCCCUCUGGCGCCCACCGACACGUCCCCCGCCGAGGCCCCCUCCUCCGUGCACUCGCCGGCGCCAUCGUCGGCCCUGCACUACGCCGCCACUCCAUCCCCAGCCCCUGCCCUUGCCCCUGCCGCCGACAAGGAAAGCGACGACGAUGACGGUUACAGCGAGAAGAAGACGAAGGAGAAGGCCCCGGCGGCGAUGGAGGUAAAGGCCGGCAGUGGCGGCACGGAGGAGCAGCCACACAAGGUGGCGGAUGUGGCGGAGAUGAGCGGCGGGACAAAGGCGGGCAUGUUCCAUUUUUCUUCCUUUUACCACUACAAGAAACAGGUGUACCGCCAUGAAUGCUGCGUGUUCCUAGAGGAUGGACGCUCAAAUUUGGUAAAGCUCAUAGUUGAACAUUUGGCAAAAAUAAAUAAAUUUGAGGAUCAACAUUUGGCAAUUUUGGUUAGUGAAUGAUUGCUACAGUUGCCAAAUAUUUUUAUAUCAACAGGGAGAACAAUGGCACAAGAAACUAAAGAGACAAAAAAACUGCUUUAGCCGCAUCGUAUUUAGGGUUCAUAUUUUGACCAUAAUUUUAACUAAUAAAAUAUAAGUUACACGUAGUAAUUCAUAUCAUCGCAAACUAUGUUCAAAUACGAGUAUAAUGAUAUAACUUCUCGUGACAUGCAUUAACAUUUUGCUACUUACUUCUAUGAUUAAAAGUUAGCACAAAAUACGAAGAAGACUAAUAAAUUAGGACGAAGGUAAUACUCCCUCCCUUCCUAAAUAUAAGUCAUUUUAGAGAUUAUAAUAUGGACUACAUAUGGAACAAAAUGAGUGAAUCUGCACUUUAAAAUAUGUCUAUAUACAUCCAUAUGUAGUCUAUAUCGAAAUGUCUAAAAAAUACUUAUAUUUGGAACGGAUGAAGUAGGUAAAGAGGGAGGCUCCUCAGCGACAACCGAAACAGGAGAUCUUUAAUAAUUAUGGGUGUGUCUAGGGUUCAUCUAGAUGUGACAUAAGCAAGUUCCCUCUUUGUUUGUCAUUGUUUGUUGUUUAGGGAAAAUCUACUAUUCUUUUCGCCUCUAAUAUACGUGCUCCCUCCAUCUAUAUAUAUAGAACCUAAUACGUUUUCCGAGGUUCACUUUGACCAUGGAUUAGAGCAGUAAUAUAUGACAUGCGUGUUACACAAAGCAUACCGUUACAUUCAUAUGUGAAAGAAGUUUCUAAUGAUAUAAUUUUUAUAUCGAACAUCUCAUGGAUUGUUAAUCUUGUCAAUGGUCAACCUCGAAAACUGUAUUAGGCCCUAUAUAUAUGGUUGGGGGGGGAGUACGCAAAGCAUGGUAUAUGGGUCGGUCGGUCAUGUUUUCUUCUCUUCCUUUCUAGCCGAAGUCGGAAUAGGGAGGCGAUCUUCUUCCACCGAUCUCCACCGGUCAGGGCGUUGGCCCCGUCUCCCUCCGGCUGCUGCUCCGGCGGUAGGAGGGAGGGGGCGGGGGGGGGGGUGGGGGUUGAAUUUGUAGGCCGUGGUGCGUCGUUAGGGUGGUGGGAGCGGUGCCCGGCCGAAUAAAUUUGCCUCAACUCCACUCCCACACCGGCCGUGUCCUUUAUGGCGGCGUCUUGGAGUUGAUGCAAAUUUUGGUUUCUUAAAACCAAGAUUACAGGGGUUUACCUCAAGCUUAACCUUAGAAAUUUUUCCGAAUGGGUCGGUUGAUAGGUUACAUCGUCAUGGUUUACAUGAUACCCUGAGAAAAGGAACCGAUAGAAGAACUAUUUUUCUCAAAAGAUGUUUCUUACGUUAAAUAGUAGUCUAACAUACCUCUUUGCAUCGCUUUCGUUUUUUUGGACCAUAUGGCCGGCUUGCCUUGUUCUCUGGACGACUUUGCCUGAAUAAAAUUGGGCAAAGAGUAGGAAAUACCUCUCGACCACUGGUCGAGGAGGCAGAAGCAGAUGGCCAAUUAACAAAGUAUUACACUGCAAAUCCGAGCAUAUAUAAUGAUGUAAAGUAUGUUGAUACAUAGAGUCAUCACAAUAAAGUGUUGUUACAGUACAAUUACUCAAUUUCAUCUAUUAAGGAGUGGAGGCUUCAAUCUUGUUGAGACAGCCGAGCAGCUAGCAUCACGUUAUCACAAACUAAACUAGUAGGUAUUUCCUUCCCGUCAGCCCCACACGGACCGGUCUCGGCAAGAUGUUUCGUAUCUAGUUUAGUACAACGUGUUUUAAUCAUAGCCCACGCUUCUCGGGCACCCUCUUGACAGGCCGAGACUUUCCACACUUGUAAUCGGCAUAGAGCCCCUUUCAAAUGAUCAGCGAGCUCGGACAUUCCUUCAGUGAUGUUUUUGUCCGGCCAUAAAGUCUUAAAUACGCAGUUCAUGGAUAUUCAAGAUCGCUCGUGCAGCUCUUUAAUACGUCUUCAAUGUAUCUAUGAUCAGGAGCCCCUUUCAAAUGAUCGGCAAGCUCGGACAUUCCUUCACCGUAUGCCCAAAAUAUUCAUACCAUGUUUACAAUACGAUUUUGGUGCACUUUCAUAUGAUCAGGAGCCCUAUAGGAGAUGUCAGCGAUGUCUUUGACAAAUCUCUGCCUCCAGGAGGCGUGGGGGUGAUGUCUCUAAAGUAAUUGUUGUUGCAUCUCUAAAGCAGACCACAGUUACUUUAGAGAUGCGCGAAAGAAUGCACAGAAAAACAGCAUUCCAAACGUGCUAUUCGAUGAAGGUAAUAUCUAUCACCCUUGAGAUGCGUUGUCUGGGGUUUGUGUGAUUGCACUAUGUAACCGGGGUGAGACAAUGGGCUGAGCCAAAGGUAUCUCCAGAAAGACGAAAAUGGUGUGCUUGGUAGCCUGCUUACAGGCCAAACAGGCCCACGUGGGAUGAAACUGUGAUGUUUGUCUGCCCGCAUAUUUAUGACGGUUUUCUGUCCUCAGUGUUCAGUGUUUUCUGCAAAAACCUUGAAAAUUUCUGGCGCCGUAAAGUGGCACUAUUUGGUGAAUUUGACUCCAAAAUUGUGAUAUUAUGAACAACUCAUACAUGCACAAUAUCUCCCGUGCAUGGUAGAAAAUCCACUCCCUAUAGUACCGAGGGUGUGGCGCGUAUAGCUACCGGGAAGUACAGUCACGAUACAAUCUCCUCCUAUGCCCAUAUGCAUACCAUGCAUUCUAACACAACACUGUUAUGAAAUCAAGUAAUAAUACACCGUUAUGAAACCCAAACAAAGAACUAACUAACAUUGAGCCAGUUCCAGUGACGGCAUGGUAGCAGAGUAACUCUUCAUGAUGUUCUCGAGCCUCACAACCACGUCUGUCAUGCUUGGCCUCUGGUCAGGUGAUUCACUCGAACACAUCAGACCCAGUUCGAAUAUUGGCACAAGCAAGUCACUGCUCGUGCACGCCAAUGAAGUGCCGGUCUGGUGAUUUAAGCAAAAAAUUAUUUCCUCAGCUUGAGCUAUCUUAACGUCCAAAAUGCCAGUAAGGUUUGCUGAAAAUGCUUGCCAAACCCAUUGCCUAAUGCUCAAUUCUCCCCCAAACAUGGCAUCUGUGGGUCUUUUCCCUGUGAAAACUUCAAGCAGUAUUAUUCCAAAGCUAAACACAUCGCUCUUUCGUGAUGCUUUCCCCAUGAAUGCGUAUUCUAUUGAAGAAUGAAAAAUAUUUGUUAUGAUAGAAUCUAACAACACAUAACUUGACAAACUAGGUGUUCAAAGAGUUAUCGAUGCAAGUACCUGGUGCCAUGUAUCCAAUAGUCCCUGGCAUACUCUCUGAAAUCAAGGAGUUGUCAUAUCCAACAAGUAAUCUUGCAAUGCCGAAGUCCGCAACAUGCGCCACCAUCUCAUCAUCGAAUAGCACGUUUUUAGGUUUGAGGUCGCAGUGCAACACAACUUGAUGAUGAUGGUGGUGCAGAUACUCCAUUGCUUUUGAUACACCAAGCAUAAUAUCCAAUCUCCUGAUAAAUCCUAUCGAUUCUCCAUUUUCAGAGUGCAAAUGUACAUCCAAGUUACCUUUGGGCAUGUACUCAAGUAGUACUGCUCUGAAUUCAAAGUUGGAGCAAGUACUUAAUAUCUGUAUCAAGUUGCGGUGCCGAGCCAUCCUUAGCACUUGACAUUCUGCAUCAAAGCUCCUCACAGCCUGCUCGACAUGCAUGUUGAGCACCUUUAUCGCAACCUCCAAACCAUCUUGUAAUUUGCCCCUGAAAACUUUUCCAAAGCUUCCAACUCCAAGUAGGUUGUCCUCGCUGAAAUUUUCAGUGGCACGAACAAUCUCGAGAUAGGAAACUUGUCUAUGACUGAUAAUAUUAUCCAUGCCAAUGGAAGUCGUAACUUGUAGCUGCUUUUUACUUUUCUUCAUGAUCAUUAGGUAAAUGAGAAUUGCUAUAGCUCCUACAGUUACCAAGAUAGCUGGGAGAACAAUCCUUAGCAAGUGUCUCUUGUUUUUGUAGGAAGUGUCUAGGCAAGGCAAAAAUCCUAGACGUGAGGCACCACACAGCCCAGCAUUUCCCAUCAAAGAUAAUUUUGCACUGGUGUUUAAGAAAAUACCUCCACUUGGUAUCUCACCUUGGAACUCAUUGAAAGAAAGGUUCAACCUAGUCAGUAAAGUAAAGUUGGCUAAAUACUUUGGAAUGGUACCAGAAAGGUUGUUACAAGAUAGGUCCAACUGUGUUAGAACGAUUAACUCCUUGAACGAGCCAUCGAUUGAACCUGUGAGUGUGUUGUGUGAUAGGUUCAGGAAGCUUAAUAGUCCAAGAUUCCCGUAUGAAGUUGGAAUACUACCAACCAAGCUGUUGGCUGAUAUAUCUAGAAUGUAUAUUUGCUUCAUGGAAUCAAGAUUAGAGGGCAGUGCACUUGUAAAGAAGUUGUGAGAUAGAUCUAACACACGAAGGUUACUAAGAUGAAACAAUCUUUCAGGUAUUGCUGACGAGAGAUGAUUAUCUGCAAGCGACAUAAAUUCUAGGUUACUUAGGUUACCGAUGCCAUCCGGAAUGGCGCCAGAUAAUUUAUUGCCCUGGAGGGAUAGCCUGUGCAAUCUUGUCAAGGCACCAAUCUUUAACGGGAUUGGGCCAGACAGCUUGUUACUAGAAAGGUUUAGCUGCUCAAGAUUCUCCAAUAAUGCAAUGUGUGCUGGGAUUAUGCCGCUUAGUUGGUUCUCUGCAAAGGACAUUACCCUAAGACCACUUAGAUUUGAUACUGUCACUGGAAGAGCCCCGGUUAAAUGAUUCCCGGCUGCACUGAGGUAUGUCAAUUUUGUGGAGAGGUUACCAAUAUAUGCAGGAAUGUUUCCAGUGAAGGAGCAAUAAAACAUGGCAAGCAAUCGGAGUUGUCUACAGUUUGACAUAGUGGCCAAGAACUCAAGGGUCCCAUUGAACUGAUUCAUUCCAAUAUGGAGACGGUUAAGGUACCUGAGGUUCCCAAUAGUUUCGGGGAAAGAUCCAGUUAAUUGGUUCCAAUCAACUAGCAGAUCAGAUAGUUGGGAUAGGUUGCCAAAAUUAGCUGGAAACGGACCUGUUAGUUUGUUUGAUGUAAGACGUAAAUCUGUGAGCUGACUCAUUUCCCCUAGCUCGGCUGGAAUAUUUCCGCUUAGGUUGCAGAAUGAGAGGUCAAGAAGACGGACAAGAGUAAGAUUUCUGAGCACACCUGGAAUUGACCCGCUAACAUCGUCGUUGCCACCUAUAGUAAGAAAAGUGAGUCGUGAUAGUUGAGCGAGCCAUUCUGGGAUAUUGUCCACAAAGGAGUUUCCAGCUAGAGAAAGUAGCACUAGUAACUUGCAGGAUACAAGGCUUGAGGGAAAUUGACCUGUGAAACUAUUGAGACCAAUGAAGAAGACAGUUAACAUGGGCAACUUAAAGCUUUCAUUGGUAGGGAUUGUUCCUAUGAAGUGGUUAGAUGUGAGGACAAGCACGUCAAGUCUAGACUUGUUGAAUAUGGUUAGAGGUACUAGUCCGGACAGCUGGUUAUAUUCAAAGUUGACCCAUUCAAGCAUGGGACAUGCGGCAAUACCUUGUGGUAUUGGCCCAGAUAGACUGUUGUUUUGGAAGUCAAGAUGGGUUAAUAAAGGCGUGUUGUUGAAGAACUGGUCUGGUAUGAGGCCACUUAACUGGUUCAGCCCGAGAUGUAUCCUCCUCAUGCUGUUCAAGUUGUGGAGGAGUUGAUCUGGGAUAUGUCCGGAGAGAGCAUUUCGGCGUAGAGAAAGGCGUUGAAGCUUUGUGAGGUUUCCUAGGGUGUCGGGGAUGGCGCCUGAGAGGCGGUUAGAGCUAAGAUCAAGAUCGGUGAGGCGACGUAGUCGGCCUAUAUCGGAUGGGAUGGUGCCCGUGAUCUCUGUGUUUGAAAGAGUGAGGACGGCGAGGAAAGAGAGGUUACCGAGAUGAGGAGCGAUCUCCCCAUGGAGAGGAACGUCUGCCAGCACAAGAGCAGUGACGCGCUGCCGGCGGCGGCUGCAGGAGACGCCAACCCAAGAGCAGAAGGAUGUGCCGGCUGUCCAGUUCCUAGACAGAAGGCCAAGCGGAUCGGAGAGCCCGGCUUUGAAGGCCACCAGAGCUGAAAGGUCAGAGUCGUUGCUGGAAGCAGCAGCCACGCUCGUGAUCACAAGAAGAGAGAUGGAGAGUAGCAUGAUGGGACAACGUAACGGAUGGGCCAUGCUGCUAGCUAGCUAGAGUGGUGCUCACAGAGGACUAGUAAUUUGGUACUACCAUCCAUAACCAUAAGCCAGCUGCUCUCUACUUAAGUAGUACUGCAGGUUAGAAGAACCCAGCAGCUUCAUAGACUUGAUGACAACCCGUUUCAGACAUGGCGCCGGGUCUUCCCCGUUACGCACGCUGCCUCGAAAUCUCCUAAGACGCAUUCAAAUGAGUGAAUUCGUCAAGGCCAGUACUAGGCGCCGGCCGGCCGGCCAAAAUUUGAGCCGGUCACUGCGCGUACGUCCGAUGCACUUUUUCUUAACCUUCUGAUUAAUUAGCUUCGUCCCAAGAAGUCAAACCUACAGGGAAAACUUGAUACAAAUAAGGGGGCACUACUGGAAUUUUCCUUUUUGCCGAGUGCAUUAUGUCAGGCACUCGGCAAUAGUAUCUUUGCCAAGUACCUAACUCGGUAAAAACGUGAAACACGGCAAACAGGCACUUUGCUGAGCGUCGUGGAUAAAACACUGGGUAAAACAACAAAACACAGCAAACAGGGUUGUUCAUUUUGACGGGACGGACAAUUUUCAUGUUGAAAACUUUUUCAUUUUAGGCCAUAUUAAUUACACUUUUUGGUAUGCUAAAUAUUAAUAUAGUCUCAAAUAACCAAGGUGAUGACCAUAUUCAUUGCAUAGUUUAUUAUAAUGUUUCCAAAUUAGACAUAUAGGUGCAUCUUGACAUUACAAACAAUGCUGUGUCAAGUACAGUUUCCUACUUUUUUCUACAAAGAAAUCAAUUUUCAUUUUUGAAGUGUCAAAACUGGGUGUUUUUUUGUGAAGCAACUACAAAAAUCAGGGUGCAAAAUGGCACCACUCGAAUUAGCACACUAAGUAGACCAUAUUUUAUGCACAAUUCCCAAGUUUCAUGGAUUUUCUAGUUUUCCAGCUACUUUCGCACAUUUAAAUGACUUUAUGUCAAUUUCUCAAAAGUAAUUCAAUAUUGAACUGCAAGUGUGUAAUAGCUCAGUCAUAAAAAAAUGAGAAAAGUAUAUUUUUCAUCCCUCAAUUCUUCGUGAAGUCUAGAUUUGGUCCCUUAACUUCAAAACCGGACAACUUGCAUCUUUAACUACUGAAACCGGACAAGAUUCAUCCCUAGUCACGGUUUUUGACCGGUUUUGGUGUUGUCACACCCCGGUUUUGACCGUGCCGACUCAAAUCCGCGUACAUUUUCUAAUUCCGCUUAAUGUUUUCAAAUUCGGGUACUUUUUCAAAUACGUGAACUUUUAAAAAAAUUGUGUACUUUUUCCAAAUCCGCGUACUUUUUCCAAGUACACAUAUUUUUUAAAUCCGCGUACUUUUUUAAAGUUCAUGUGGUUUUUUCAAAUUCGUGUAAUUUUCUAAAAUUGACGUACUUAUUCAUAUUCGCGUACAUUUUUUUGGAUUUGAAAAUUUUAUGCGAACUGAAAACGUACGCGGAUUUGAAUUUCUUUCACGCAAAAUAGAAAAAAAUGUGUGGAGUUGAAAAAUUAUGUCAACUUGAAACAAGUAUCUGAAUUUCAAACAAAGUUCAUGGAUUGGAAAAGGAACAUGGAUUAAAAAAAUACACCAACUUUACAAAGUAUGCGGAUUUGAAACAAAUACGCGAAAUUCAAAAACACUUCAUAGAUUUGAAAAAAAAUACUUGGAUUUGAUAAAAUCACACGAACUUGAAAAAAUACACUGAUUUGAAAACAGUACACAAAUUUCAAAAAGUUCAUGGAUAUGAAAAAAUUAGACGAAUUUGAGUCAGCACCGGUCAAAACCGGGGUCAGUCAGCACUAAAACCGGUCAAAAUCGAGAGCAGGGACGAACCUUGUCCGGUUUCGUUAGUUGGGGGUGCAAGUUGUCCGGUUUCGGAGUUGAGGGACCAAAUUUAGACUUCACCUAAAGUUGAGGGACGAAAAAUAUACUUUUCUCUAGAAAAAUAGCAAAAUAAAUAUUUUUAGAUAGACAUAGUCAUUAUAUGGGAGAACCACUUAGAGUUUAUUUGUGAGAUUCAACCCCUUGUGAUGAAUAGCCAUGUUGACCAUUUUGACCCCAUUUUGGAAAAAAUGAAACAAAAAUAAUACAAGUUUAAAAAAUGCAAUUCUUUCGCAUGGAGUCCUUUUAUGUGUACUAGUUGCGAGGAAAAAUACCAAACUUUCAAUAUAAUAAAUUUGAAAAAAAAAUCCUUAACAAAACGGGCUAUCGUGUAUAAACAUUCAUGGCUUUCAAGUCAAAGGACCAAGGUGAUGGUCAUAUUCAUUGCAUAGUUUAUUACAAUGUCCCCAAAUUAGACGGAUAGGUGCAUCUUGACAACACAAACAAUGUUGCCAAAUAGAGUUUCCUACUUUUUUGUACAAAAAAUGGUUUUCAUUUUCUAAGUGUCAAAAAUGGGUGUGUGUUUUAAGCAAGUACAAAAAUUAAGGUGCAAAAUGGCGCCACUCCAAUUAUCACAGUAAGUAGACCAUAUUUUAUGCACAGUUCCCAAGUUUCAUGAAUUUUCUAGUUUUCUAGCUACUUUCGCACAUUUAAGUGACUUUAUGUCAAUUUCCCAAAAGUAAUUCAAAAUUGAAUUGCAAGUGUGUGAUAGCCCAGUAAUAAAAAUUAGCAAAAAAUAUUUGUAGGUACACAAGUAGUCAUUAUAUGGGAGAACCACUUAGUGUUUUGAGAGAUUCAAUCCCUUGUGAUGAAUAGCCAUGUUGACCAUUUUGACCCUGUUUUAGACAAAAUAAAAGAAAAAGAAUACAUGUUUAAAAAUAUGCAAUCCUUUCGUAUCGAGUCCUUUUAUGUGUACUAACUGCGAGGAAAAAUACCAAACUUUCAAUAUAACUAAUUUGAAGAAAAAAAUCUUUCACAAAACGGGCUGUCGUGUAUGAACUUUCAUCACUUUUAAGUCAAAUGACCAACGUGAUGGCCAUAUCCACUGCAUAAUUUAUUAUAAUAUGACCAAAUUAAACAUACAUGUGCAUAUUGCCAUUACAAACAAUAUUGUCAAAUGGGUUUUCGAACUUUUCUGUAAAAGAAUUUUUUUUUUCAUUUUUGAAGUGUCAAAAAUGGUUUUUUUUGUGAAGCAAGUACAAAAAACAAUGUGCAAAAUGGUACCAUUCCAAUUUUCACAGUAAGUUGACAUUAUAUUAUGCUUAAUUCCCAUGUUUCACGAAUUUUUUGGAUUUCUAGCUACUUUCACAAUAUAAAUGACUUUAUGUUGAUUUUUUUUUUGAAAGAUCCAGCAUCGCUGGGAUUCAUUGAUAAUAGCAGGAAGCAACGGAAAACAACAAGGUGAUGAAGGUCCUAGGACCAGACGAUCCGAAGAUCAAAGAAAAAAAGAAAAACAGCAGCCUAAAAGCUGCAACACCACACUCCAUACAAACCAUACUAGGCACCGCAGCUCCGACUCCGACGAUGAACUACUAAGGAAACUGGGCAGGAAUGGCGUCACGGAGGGUUGCCGAACGAACCACCUGUCACGCAUCAUCAUAUACCACCGGCCCCCAUCGCGGCUUCGACUUCACAGCAACAAACAGUCGAGGCACUCCCUCGGACACGCCGGAGAAGAAGAGCCGACUACCACAACCAGAGCCACACCUCCAACAUUGCUCACCGCCGUCACCGUUGCCACAGAAGCCACCGUGCACGUCCAGUCGUAGGAAGCACCACAGGGAUCAAAGUCUUCAAGACGGCGUCCUAAAGAGGGGAACGACGUCGAAGACGGCGCCACCGCCCGACCCUGCAGCAGGAUCUAGGUUUUCACCCGAAGUACUUGAUCUGGGAGAUCUGAUUGUGAGACUUCGAAUGAUGCCUCCAAGGAGGAUAGCGACGCCCACAGGCGCCGUCGCCGCCGGCUGGCCAGAACCGGCCAGGCUUUCACCCCGAGCAGCCACUCCCACGCAGCAGGCCAAAAAUGACCCGUGCCUCCACUGGACCGCGCACCCCACACACAGCAAGCGCGCCAUCGCUAUGUCGGGCCACCACCAAGCCUCCCCGACGACGGGCCUGCAGAGACCAGAACGGGUCCUGCACUCCGCAUCCAAACCGCGGCCGGAGCCUCGCUGCUCCAGCACCGCCUGCACUCGCGAACUGGACGUGGUCACCACGCGCCACCACGCCGAGAUCCACGCAGCCUGGAGCCCUCCUACCCCUCACGCCUCCUACACGCCACGCAACCACGCAGCCUGGAGCUCCAGCACCGACUUUAUGUUGAUUUUUUUAACCAGGUCUUGUCCGAGAGCAACACUCGGUAAAGUGUGCAUGUCUCUGAUUGGUUGGAAGUCAGUGUCACGGAUCGAUGACAUGGCAAGCAGGUAGCCACACAUCUCGUAUAUCUUGCGCGCGCGCGCGCGAGAGAGAGAGAGAGAGAGAGCAUCUUAUUACAUUAGAGAGAUGCUCCCAUAUUUAUUUCAUAUUUUUUGAUAACUUUUAAACCAUUAAAAGUUUAGCGACCCUUAAUUAGUUCUGUGACAAGCUAUGAUAGACACAGUUUUACCUAUAUAUAUAUACACACACGGUGGUGCUAUUUUGAGCGAGCGCGCAGAAUGAGCUUAGCAUACGCUCCGGUCGGUCCUAAUUAGGCGGACGGGUCACGCGGAGAAGGGCUGCUCUACACCACUAAUUUAUUGAGGGUAACGGUCUAUACAAGAAAAAGUAAUGCAUUUAAUUUUGUUACCAUGUGUGGUUCACUCCAUCCCGAUUCUGAGGUGACUAUUCAUUGAUAGUAGUAAUAAGGAUAGUGUACAUGGUAAUGGACAAAGACUCUUUACUAGGGAAAGGGUUAUCGAUGGUUUGAUCCCACAAUAUAGUAAAACCUUGUUAACAUAUAGUGAUGAAUUACUGCAUGCUCACUAAUUGGCAGCAGUAAAAAGGAUGGAGUGGAUGGUAAUGAAAAAAAUACCAACAAAAAAUUAGAGAUGCUUCGAUUCUGCGCAUGGUAAACCAAGUACCACUGCGAUGUGAACUAGAUUAUUGACUCUAGUGCAAGUGGAAGACUGAAGGAAAUAUGCCCUAGAGGCAAUAAUAAAGUUAUUAUUUAUUUCCUUAUAUCAUGAUAAAUGUUUAUUAUUCAUGUUAGAAUUGUAUUAACUGGAAACAUAAUACAUGUGUGAAUACAUAGACAAACAGAGUGUCACUAGUAUGCCUCUACUUAACUAGCUCGUUGAUCAAAGAUGGUUAAGUUUCCUAGCCAUUGACAUGGGUUGUCAUUUGAUUAACGGGAUCACAUCAUUAGCACCCGAUCGUUUAGUAUGUUGCUAUUUCUUUCUUCAUGACUUAUACAUGUUCCUAUAAUUAUGAGAUUAUGCAACUCCCGUUUACCGGAGGAACACUUUGUGUGCUACCAAACGUCACAAUGUAACUGGGUGAUUAUAAAGGUGCUCUACAGGUGUCUCCGAAGGUACUUGUUGGGUUGGCGUAUUUCGAGAUUAGGAUUUGUCACUCCGAUUGUCGGAGAGGUAUCUCUGGGCCCUCUCGGUAAUGCACAUCACUUAAGCCUUGCAAGCAUUGCAACUAAUGAGUUAGUUGCAGAAUGAUGUAUUACGGAACGAGUAAAGAGACUUGCCGGUAACGAGAUUGAACUAGGUAUUGAGAUACCGACGAUCGAAUCUCGGGCAAGUAACAUACCGAUGACAAAGGAAACAACGUAUGUUGUUAUGCGGUCUGAUCGAUAAAGAUCUUCUUAGAGUAUGUGAGACCAAUAUGAGCAUCCAGGUUCCGCUAUUGGUUAUUGACCGGAGACGUGUCUCGGUCAUGUCUAGUUCUCGAACCCGUAGGGUCCGCACGCUUAACGUUUCGAUGACAGUUAUAUUAUGAGUUUAUAUGUUUUGAUGUACCGAAGGUUGUUCGGAGUCCCGAACGUGAUCACGAACAUGACGAGGAGUCUCGAAAUGGUCGAGACAUGAAGAUUGAUAUAUUGGAAGCCUAUGUUUGGAUGUCGGAAGUGUUCCGGUGAAAUCGGGAUUUUACCGGAGUACCGGGAGUUUACCGGAACCCCCCGGGAGGUUAAUGGGCCAUAGUGAGCCUUGGUGGAAGAGAGGAGAGGCGGCCAGAGCAAGGGCCACGUGCCCCUCCCCCCUAGUANNNNNNNNNNNNNNNNNNNNNNNNNNNNNNNNNNNNNNNNNNNNNNNNNNNNNNNNNNNNNNNNNNNNNNNNNNNNNNNNNNNNNNNNNNNNNNNNNNNNNNNNNNNNNNNNNNNNNNNNNNNNNNNNNNNNNNNNNNNNNNNNNNNNNNNNNNNNNNNNNNNNNNNNNNNNNNNNNNNNNNNNNNNNNNNNNNNNNNNNNNNNNNNNNNNNNNNNNNNNNNNNNNNNNNNNNNNNNNNNNNUAUAUACGAGGGCAGGUGGGCACCCCAAAGACACAACAAUUGAUCAUUGAUCUUUUAGCCGUCUGCGGUGCCCCCCUCCAUCAUAGUCCACCUCGAUAAUAUUGUAGUGGUGCUUAGGCGAAGCCCUGCGUCGGUAGAACAUCAUCAUUGUCACCACGCCGUCGUGCUGACGAAACUCUCCCUCAACAGUCGGCUGGAUCGGAGUUCGAGGGACGUCAUCGGGCUGAACGUGUGCUGAACUCGGAGGUGCCGUGUGUUUGGUACUUGAUCAGUCGGAUCGUGAAGACGUACGACUACAUCAACCGCGUUGUGCUAACGCUUCCGCUUUCGGUCUACGAGGGUACAUGGACAACACUCUCCCCUCUCGUUGCUAUGCAUCACCAUGAUCUUGCGUGUGCAUAGGAAAAUUUUGAAAUUACUACGUUCCCCAACAGUGGCAUCAGAGCCAGGUUUUAUGUGUAGAUCUCAUAUGCACGAGUAGUGAAGGAAAUAUGCCCUAGAGGCAAUAAUAAAGUUAUUAUUUAUUUCUUUAUAAUCAUGAUAAAUGUUUAUUAUUCAUGCUAGAAUUGUAUUAACCGGAAACAUAAUACAUGUGUGAAUACAUAGACAAACAAAGUGUCACUAGUAUGCCUCUACUUGACUAGCUCGUUAAUCAAAGAUGGUUAUGUUUCCUAACCAUGAACAAUGAGUUGUUAUUUGAUUAACGGGAUCACAUCAUUAAGAGAAUGAUCUGAUUGACAUGACUUAUUCCAUUAGCUUAGCACCCGAUCGUUUAGUAUGUUGCUAUUGUUUUCUUCAUGACUUAUACAUGUUCCUAUAACUAUGAGAUUAUGCAACUCCCGUUUACCAUAGGAAUACUUUGGGUACUACCAAAUGUCACAAUGUAACUGGGUGAUUAUAAAGGAGUACUACAGGUGUCUCCAAAGGUACAUGUUGGGUUGGCGUAUUUCGAGAUUAGGUUUUGUCACUCCGAUUGUCGGAGAGGUAUCUCUGGGCCCUCUCGGUAAUGCACAUCACUUAAAGCCUUGCAAGCAUUGCAACUAAAUGAGUUAGUUGCGGGAUGAUGUAUUACAGAAUGAGUAAAGAGACUUGCCGGCAACGAGAUUGAACUAGGUAUUGGAAUACCGACAAUCAAAUCUCGGGCAAGUAACAUACCGAUGACAAAGGGAACGACGUAUGUUGUUAUGCGGUCUGACCGAUAAAGAUCUUCGUAGAAUAUGUAGGAGCCAAUAUGGGCAUCCAGGUCCCGCUAUCGGUUAUUGACCGGAGACGUGUCUCGGUCAUGUCUACAUUGUUCUCGAACCCGUAGGGUCCGCACGCUUAAGGUUAUGAUGACAGUUAUAUUAUGAGUUUAUGCAUUUUGAUGUACCGAAGGUUGUUCGGAGUCCCGGAUGUGAUCACGGACAUGAUGAGGAGUCUUGAAAUGGUCGAGACAUAAAAAUUGAUAUAUUGGAAGCCUAUGUUUGGAUAUCGGAAGUGUUCCGGGUGAAAUCGGCAUUUUACCGGAGUACCGGGAGGUUACCGGAAACCCCCGGGAGCUAGAUGGGCCUUAUUGGGCCUUAGUGGAAAAGAGAAGAGGCAGCCCAUUGUGGGCCGCGCGCCCCUCCCCUCCCUUGGUCCGAAUUGGACAAGGAGAGGGGGUCGGCCCCUCUCUCUCUUUUCCCCCCUCCACGAGUCCUAUUCCAACUAGGAUUGGGGGGGGAAUCCUACUCCCAGAGGGAGUAGGACUCUCCUGGCGCGCCCCUCAUGGCCGGCCAGCCUCCCCCCUUUAGUCCUUUAUAUACGGAGGCAGGGGCACCCUAGAAACACACAAGUUGAUCCACGUGAUCUUUUCCUUAGCCAUCUGCGGCGCCCCCAGCCACCAUAGUCCUCGAUAAUAUUAUAGCGGAGUUUAGGCGAAGCCCUGCUGCUGUAGUACAUCAAGAUCGUCACCACGCCGUCGUGCUGACGGAACUCUUCCCCGACACUUUGCUGGAUCGGAGUCCGGGGAUCGUCAUCGAGCUGAACGUGUGCUAGAACUCGGAGGUGCCGUAGUUUCGAUGCUUGAUCGGUCGGAUCGUGAAGACGUACGACUACAUCAACCAAACGCUUCCGCUGUCGAUCUACUAGGUAUGUAGAUCAUACUCCCCCUCUCAUUGCUAUGCAUCACCAUGAUCUUGCGUGUGCGUAGGAAUUUUUUUGAAAUUACUACGAAACCCAACAGUGGCAUCCGAGCCUAGGUUUUAUAUGUUGAUGUUAUAUGCACGAGUAGAACACAAGUGAGUUGUGGGCGAUAUAAGUCAUACUGCCUACCAGCAUGUCAUACUUUGGUUCGACGGUAUUGUUGGAUGAAGCGGCCCAGACCGACAUUACGCGUACGCUUACGCGAGACCGGUUCUCCCGACGUGCUUUGCACAGAGGUGGCUUGUGGGAGACAGUUUCUCCAACUUUAGUUGAACCAAGUGUGGCUACGCCCGGUCCUUGCGAAGGUUAAAACGGAGUCAAAUUGACAAACUAUCAUUGUGGUUUGGAUGAGUAGGUGAGAUUGGUUCUUACUUAAGCCCGUAGCAGCCAUGUAAAACUUGCAACAACAAAGUAUAGGACGUCUAACUUGUUUUUGCAGGGCAUGUUGUGAUGUGAUAUGGUCAAGACAUGAUGCUGAAUUUUAUUGUAUGAGAUGAUCAUGUUUUGUAACCGAGUUAUCGGCAACCGGCAGGAGCCAUAUGGUUGUCGCUUUAUUGUAUGCAAUGUAAUCGCGAUGUAAUGCUUUACUUUAUCACUAAACAGUAGCGAUAGUCGUAGAAGCAUAAGCUUGGCGAGACGACAACGAUGCUACGAUGGAGAUCAAGGUGUCACGCCGAUGACGAUGGUGAUCACGAUGGUGCUUCGAAGAUGGAGAUCACAAGCACAAGAUGAUGAUGGCCAUAUCAUAUCACUUAUAUUGAUUGCAUGUGAUGUUUAUCUUUUAUGCAUCUUAUCUUGCUUUGAUUGACGGUAGCAUUAUAAGAUGAUCUCUCACUAAAUUAUCAAGAAGUGUUCUCCCUGAGUAUGCACCAUUGCGAAAGUUCUUCGUGCUGAGACACCACGUGAUGAUCGGGUGUGAUAGGUUCUACAUUCAAAUACAACGGGUGCUAAACAGUUGCACACGCGGAAUACUCAGGUUAUACUUGACGAGCCAAGCAUAUACAGAUGUGGCCUCGGAACACGGAGACCGAAAGGUCGAGCGUGAAUCAUAUAGUAGAUAUGAUCAACAUAAUGAUGUUCACCAAUGAAACUACUCCAUCUCACGUGAUGAUCGGACAUGGUUUAGUUGAUUUGGAUCACGUGAUCACUUAGAGGAUUAGAGGGAUGUCUAUCUAAGUGGGAGUUCUUAAGUAAUAUGAUUAAUUGAACUUAAAUUUAUCAUGAACUUAGUCCCUGAUAGUAUCUUGCUUGUUUAUGUUGAUUGUAGAUAGAUGGCUCGUGCUGUUGUUCCGUUGAAUUUUAAUGCGUUUCUUGAGAAAGAAAAGUUGAAAGAUGAUGGUAGCAAUUACACGGACUGGGUCCGUAACUUGAGGAUUAUCCUCAUUGCUGCACAGAAGAAUUACGUCCUGGAAGCACCGCUGGGUGCCAGGCCUGCUGCAGGAGCAACACCGGAUGUUAUGAACGUCUGGCAGAGCAAAGCUGAUGACUACUCGAUAGUUCAGUGUGCCAUGCUUUACGGCUUAGAAUCGGGACUUCAAUGACGUUUUGAACGUCAUGGAGCAUAUGAGAUGUUUAAUAUUUCAAGAAAAUGCCCGGGUUAAGAGAUAUGAAGUCUCCAAUAAGUUCUAUAGCUGCAAGAUGGAAGAGAACAGUUCUGUUAGUGAGCAUAUACUCAAAAUGUCUGGGUAUAAUAAUCACUUGAUUAAUUGGGAGUUAAUCUUCCAGAUGAUUGCGUCAUUGACAGAAUUCUCCAAUCACUGCCACCAAGCUACAAGAGCUUCGUGAUGAACUAUAAUAUGCAAGGGAUGAAUAAGACUAUUCCCGAGCUCUUCGCAAUGCUGAAAGCUGCAGAGGUAGAAAUCAAGAAGGAGCAUCAAGUGUUGAUGGUCAACAAGACCACUAGUUUCAAGAAAAAGGGCAAAGGGAAGAAGAAGGGGAACUUCAAAAAGAACGGCAAGCAAGUUGCUACUCAAGAGAAGAAACCCAAACCUGGACCUAAGCCUGAAACUGAGUGCUUCUAUUGCAAGCAGACUGGUCACUGGAAGCGGAACUGCCCCAAGUAUUUGGCGGAUAAGAAGGAUGGCAAGGUGAACAAAGGUAUAUGUGAUAUACAUGUUAUUGAUGUGUACCUUACCAAUGCUCGCAGUAGCACUUGGGUAUUUGAUACUGGUUCUGUUGCUAAUAGUUGCAACUCAAAACAGGGACUACGGAUUAAGCAAAGAUUCGCUAAGGACGAGGUGACGAUGCGCGUGGGAAAUGGUUCCAAAGUCGAUGUGAUCGCAGUCAGCACACUACCUCUACAUCUACCUUCGGGAUUAGUAUUAGACCUAAAUAAUUGUUAUUUGGUGCCAGCGUUAAGCAUGAACAUUAUAUCUGGAUCUUGUUUGAUGCGAGACGGUUAUUCAUUUAAAUCAGAGAAUAAUGGUUGUUCUAUUUGUAUGAGUAAUAUCUUUUAUGGUCAUGCACCCUUGAAGAGUGGUCUAUUCCUGUUGAAUCUCGAGAGUAGUGAUACACAUAUUCAUAAUGUUGAAGCCAAAAGAUGCAGAGUUGAUAAUGAUAGUGCAACUUAUUUGUGGCACUGUCGUUCAGGUCAUAUCGGUGUAAAGCGCAUGAAGAAACUCCAUACUGAUGGGCUUUUGGAACCACUUGAUUAUGAAUCGCUUGGUACUUGUGAACCGUUCCUCAUGGGCAAGAUGACUAAAACACCGUUCUUCGGUACUAUGGAGAGAGCAACAGAUUUAUUGGAAAUCAUACAUACAGAUGUAUGUGGUCCGAUUAAUAUUGAAGCUCGUGGCGGAUAUCGUUAUUUUCUCACCUUCACGGAUGAUUUAAGCAGAUACGGGUAUAUCUACUUAAUGAAACAUAAGUCUGAAACAUUUGAAAAGUUCAAAGAAUUUCAGAGUGAAGUGGAAAAUCAUCAUAACAAGAAAAUAAAGUUUCUACGAUCUGAUCGUGGAGGAGAAUAUUUGAGUUACGAGUUUGGUGUACAUUUGAAAAAUUGUGGAAUAGUUUCGCAACUCACGCCACCCGGAACACCACAGCGUAGUGGUGUGUCCGAACGUCGUAAUCGUACUUUACUAGAUAUGGUGCGAUCUAUGAUGUCUCUUACUGAGUUACCGCUAUCAUUUUGGGGAUACGCUCUAGAGACAGCUGCAUUCACGUUAAAUAGGGCACCAUCAAAAUCCGUUGAGACGACGCCUUAUGAACUGUGGUUUGGCAAGAAACCAAAGUUGUCGUUUCUAAAAGUUUGGGGCUGCGAUGCUUAUGUGAAAAAGCUUCAACCUGAUAAGCUCGAAUCCAAAUCGGAGAAAUGUGUCUUCAUAGGAUAUCCAAAGGAAAAUAUUGGAUACACCUUCUAUCACAGAUCCGAAGGCAAAAUUUUGUUGCUAAAUUCGGAAACUUUCUGGAGAAGGAGUUUCUCUCGAAAGAAGUGAGUGGGAGGAAAGUAGAACUUGACGAGGUAACUGUACCUACUCCCUUAUUGGAAAGUAGUACAUCACAGAAAACUGUUUCUGCGACACCUACACCAGUUAGCGAGGAAGCUAAUGAUGAUGAUCAUGAAACUUCAGAACAAGAUACUACUAAACCUCGUAGAUCAACCAGAGUAAGAUCCGCGCCAGAGUGGUACGGUAAUCCUGUUCUGUAAGUCAUGUUACUAGAUCAUGAUGAACCUACGAACUAUGAAGAAGCGAUGGUGAGCCCAGAUUCCGCAAAGUGGCUUGAAGCCAUGAAAUCUGAGAUGGGAUCCAUGUAUGAGAACAAACUAUGGACUUUGGUUGACUUGCCCGAUGAUCGGCAAGCAAUUGAGAAUAAAUGGAUCUUCAAGAAUAAGACUGACGCUGACGGUAAUAUUACUAUCUACAAAGCUCGACUUGUCGCAAAAGGUUUUCGGCAAGUUCAAGGGAUUGACUACGAUGAGACCUUCUCACCCGUAGCGAUGCUUAAGUCUGUCCGAAUCAUCUUAGCAAUUGCCGCAUUUUAUGAUUAUGAAAUUUGGCAGAUGGAUGUCAAAACCGCAUUCCUGAAUGGAUUUCUGGAAGAAGAGUUGUAUAUGAUGCAACCAGAAGGUUUUGUCGAUACAAAGGGAGCUAACAAAGUGUGCAAGCUCCAGCGAUCCAUUUAUGGACUGGUGCAAGCCUCUCGGAGUUGGAAUAAACGUUUUGAUAGUGUGAUCAAAGCAUUUGGUUUUAUAUAGACUUUUGGAGAAGCCUGUAUUUACAAGAAAGUGAGUGGGAGCUCUGUAUCAUUUCUGAUAUUAUAUGUGGAUGACAUAUUACUAAUUGGAAAUGAUGUCGAAUUUCUGGAUAGCAUAAAGGGAUACUUGAAUAAAAGUUUUUCAAUGAAAGACCUCGGUGAAGCUGCUUACAUAUUAGGCAUUAAGAUCUAUAGAGAUAGAUCAAGACGCUUAAUUGGACUUUCACAAACCACAUACCUUGACAAAGUUUUGAAAAAGUUCAAAAUGGAUCAAGCAAAGAAAGGAUUCUUGCCUGUGUUACAAGGUGUGAAGUUGAGUAAGACUAAAUGCCCGACCACUGCAGAAGAUAGAGAGAAUAUGAAAGAUGUUCCCUAUGCAUCAGCCAUAGGAUCUAUCAUGUAUGCAAUGUUGUGUACCAGACCUGAUGUGUGCCUUGCUAUAAGUCUAGCAGGAAGGUACCAAAGUAAUCCAGGAGUGGAUCACUGGACAGCGGUCAAGAACAUCCUGAAAUACCUGAAAAGGACUAAGGAUAUGUUUCUCAUAUAUGGAGGUGACAAAGAACUCAUCGUAAAAGGUUACGUUGAUGCAAGCUUUGACACUGAUCCGAACGAUUCUAAAUCACAAACCGGAUACGUGUUUACAUUAAAUGGUGGAGCUGUCAGUUGGUGCAGUUCUAAACAAAGCAUCGUAGCGGGAUCUACAUGUGAAGCGGAGUACAUAGCUGCUUCGGAAGCAGCAAAUGAAGGAGUCUGGAUGAAGGAGUUCAUAUCCGAUCUAGGUGUCAUACCUAGUGCAUCGGGUCCAAUGAAAAUCUUUUGUGACAAUACUGGUGCAAUUGCCUUGACAAAGGAAUCCAGAUUUCACAAGAGAACCAAGCACAUCAAGAGACGCUUCAAUUCCAUCCGGGAUCUAGUCCAGGUGGGAGACAUAGAAAUUUGCAAGAUACAUACGGAUCUGAAUAUUGCAGACCCGUUGACUAAGCCUCUUCCACGAGCAAAACAUGAUCAGCACCAAGGCUCCAUGGGUGUUAGAAUCAUUAUUGUGUAAUCUAGAUUGUUGACUCUAGUGCAAGUGGGAGACUGAAGGAAAUAUGCCCUAGAGGCAAUAAUAAAGUUAUUAUUUAUUUCCUUAUAAUCAUGAUAAAUGUUUAUUAUUCAUGCUAGAAUUGUAUUAACCAGAAACAUAAUACAUGUGUGAAUACAUAGACAAACAAAGUGUCACUAGUAUGCCUCUACUUGACUAGCUCGUUAAUCAAAGAUGGUUAUGUUUCCUAACCAUGAACAAUGAGUUGUUAUUUGAUUAACGGGAUCACAUCAUUAAGAGAAUGAUCUGAUUGACAUGACCCAUUCCAUUAGCUUAGCACCCGAUCGUUUAGUAUGUUGUUGUUGCUUUCCUCAUGACUUAUACAUGUUCCUAUAACUAUGAGAUUAUGCAACUCCCGUUUACCAGAGGAACACUUUGGGUACUACUAAACGUCACAACGUAACUGGGUGAUUAUAAAGGAGUACUACAGGUGUCUCCAAAGGUACAUGUUGGGUUGGCGUAUUUCGAGAUUAGGUUUUGUCACUCCGAUUGUCGGAGAGGUAUCUCUGGGCCCUCUCGGUAAUGCACAUCACUUAAAGCGUUGCAAGCAUUGAAACUAAAUGAGUUAAUUGCGGGAUGAUGUAUUACAGAACGAGUAAAGAGACUUGCCGGCAACGAGAUUGAACUAGGUAUUGGAAUACCGACGAUCAAAUCUCGGGCAAGUAACAUACCGAUGACAAAGGGAACGACGUAUGUUGUUACGCGGUCUGACCGAUAAAGAUCUUCGUAGAAUAUGUAGGAGCCAAUAUGGGCAUCUAGGUCCCGCUAUUGGUUAUUGACCGGAGACGUGUCUCGGUCAUGUCUACAUUGUUCUCGAACCCGUAGGGUCCGCACGCUUAAGGUUACGAUGACAGUUAUAUUAUGAGUUUAUGAAUUUUGAUGUACCGAAGGUUGUUCGGAGUCCCGGAUGUGAUCACAGACAUGACGAGGAGUCUCGAAAUGGUCGAGACAUAAAAAUUGAUAUAUUGGAAGCCUAUGUUUGGAUAUCGGAAGUGUUCCGGGUGAAAUCAGGAUUUUACCGGAGUACCGGGAGGUUACCGGAAACCCCCGGGGAGCUAGAUGGGCCUUAUUGGGCCUUAGUGGAAAAGAGAAGAGGCAGCCCAUUGUGGGCCGUGCGCCCCUCCCCUCCCUUGGUUCGAAUUGGACAAGGAGAGGGGGCCGGCCCCUCUCUCUCUCUCUUUUCCCCCCUCCGCGAGUCCUAUUCCAACUAGGAUUGGGGGGGGGAAUCCUACUCCCAGAGGGAGUAGGACUCUCCUGGAGCGCCCCUCAUGGCCGGCCAGCCUCCCCCCCCUUAGUCCUUUAUAUACGGAGGCAGGGGCACCCCAGAAACACACAAGUUGAUCCACGUGAUCUUUUCCUUAGCCAUCUGCGGCGCCCCCAGCCACCAUAGUCCUCGAUAAUAUUGUAGCGGAGUUUAGGCGAAGCCCUGCUGCUGUAGUACAUCAAGAUCGUCACCACGCCGUCGUGCUGACGGAACUCUUCCCCGACACUUUGCUGGAUCGGAGUCCGGGGAUCGUCAUCGAGCUGAACGUGUGCUAGAACUCGGAGGUGCCGUAGUUUCGGUGCUUGAUCGGUCGGAUCGUGAAGACGUACGACUACAUCAACCAAACGCUUCCGCUGUCGAUCUACUAGGUAUGUAGAUCAUACUCCCCCUCUCGUUGCUAUGCAUCACCAUGAUCUUGCGUGUGCGUAGGAAAUUUUUUGAAAUUACUACGAAACCCAACAAGUAGAACACAAGUGAGUUGUGGGCGAUAUAAGUCAUAGUGCUUACCAGCAUGUCAUACUUUGGUUCGGCGGUAUUGUUGGAUGAAGCGGCCCGGACCGACAUUACGCAUACGCUUACGCGAGACUGGUUCUACCGACGUGCUUUGCACACUAGUGGCUGGCGAGUGUCAGUUUCUCCAACUUUAGUUGAACCGAGUGUGGCUACGCCCGGUCCUUGUGAAGGUUAAAACAGCACCAACUUGACAAACUAUCGUUGUGGUUUUGAUGCGUAGGUAAGAACGGUUCUUGCUAAGCUCAGUAGCAGCCAUGUAAAACUUGCAACAACAAAGUAGAGGACGUCUAACUUAUUUUUGCACAGCAUGUUGUGAUGUGAUAUGGUCAAGACAUGAUGCUAAAUUUUAUUGUAUGAGAUGAUCAUGUUUUGUAACCGAGUUAUUGGCAACUGGCAGGAGCCAUAUGGUUGUCGCUUUAUUGUAUGCAAUGCAAUCGCCCUGUAAUGCUUUACUUUAUCACUAAGCGGUAGCGAUAGUCUUAGAAGCAUAAGAUUGGCGAGACAACAAUGAUGCUACGAUGGAGAUCAAGGUGUCGCGCUGGUGACGAUGGUGAUCAUGACUGUGCUUCAGAGAUGGAGAUCACAAGCACAAGAUGAUGAUGGCCAUAUCAUAUCACUUAUAUUGAUUGCAUGUGAUGUUUAUCUUUUAUGCAUCUUAUCUUGCUUUGAUUGACGGUAGCAUUAUAAGAUGAUCCCUCACUAAAUUAUCAAAGUAUAAGUGUUCUCCCUGAGUAUGCACCGUUCCGAAAGUUCUUCGUGCUGAGACACCACGUGAUGAUCGGGUGUGAUAGGCUCUAUGUUCAAAUACAAGGGUGCAAAAUAGUUGCACACGCGGAAUACUCAGGUUAAACUUGACGAGCCUAUCAUAUAAUAGAUAUGGCCUCAGAACACGGAGACCGAAAGGUCGAGCAUGAAUCAUAUAGUAGAUAUGAUCAACAUAGUGAUGUUCAACAUUGAAACUACUCCAUCUCACAUGAUGAUCGGACAUGGUUUAGUUGAUUUGGAUCACGUGAUCACUUAGAGGAUUAGAGGGAUGUCUAUCUAAGUGGAAGUUCUUAAGUAAUAUGAUUAAUUGAACUUAAAUUUAUCAUGAACUUAGUACGUGAUAGUAUCUUGCUUGUCUGUUGAUUGUAGAUAGAUGGCUCGUGCUGUUGUUCCAUUGAAUUUUAAUGCAUUCCUUGAGAAAGCAAAGUUGAAAGAUGAUGGUAGCAAUUACACGGACUAGGUCCGUAACUUGAGGGUUAUCCUCAUUGCUGCAUAGAAGAAUUACGUCCUGGAAGCACCGUUGGGUGCCAGGCCUGCUGCUGAUGUAACUGACGAUGUUAAGAACGUCUGGCAAAGUAAAGCUGAUGACUAUUCGAUAGUUCAAUAUGCCAUGCUUUACGGCUUAGAACCGGGACUUCAACGACGUUUUGAACGUCAUGGAGCAUAUGAGAUGUUCCAGGAGUUGAAGUUAAUAUUUCAGAAGAAUGCUUGGAUUGCAAGAUGGAGGAGAUUAGUUCUAUCAAUGAGCAUAUACUCAAGAUGUCUGGGUAUAAUAAUCACUUGAUUCAAAUGGGAGUUAAUCUUCCGGAUGAUAGCGCCAUUGACAGAAUUCUUCAAUCACUGCCACCAAGCUACAAGAGCUUCGUGAUGAACUAUAACAUGCAAGGGAUGGAUAAGAUGAUUCCCGAGCUCUUCGCAAUGCUAAAGGCUGCGGAGGUAGAAAUCAAGAAGGAGCAUCAAGUGUUGAUGGUCAAUAAGACCACCAGUUUCAAGAAAAAGGGCAAAGGAAAGAAGAAGGGGAACUUCAAGAAGAACAGCAAGCAAGUUGCUGCUCAGGAGAAGAAACCCACGUCUGGACCUAAGCCUGAGACUAAGUGCUUCUACUGCAAGCAGACUAGUCACUGGAAGCGGAACUGCCCCAAGUAUUUGGCGGAUAAGAAAGAUGGCAAGGUGAACAAAGGUAUAUGUGAUAUACAUGUUAUUGAUGUGUACCUUACUAAUGCUCGCAGUAGCACCUGGGUAUUUGAUACUGGUUCUGUUGCUAAUAUUUGCAACUCGAAACAUGGGCUACGGAUUAAGCGAAGAUUGGCUAAGGACAAGGUGACGAUGCGCGUGGGAAAUGGUUCCAAAGUCGAUGUGAUCGUGGUCGGCACGCUACCUCUACAUCUACCUUCGGGAUUAGUGUUAGACCUAAAUAAAUGUUAUUUGGUGCCAGCGUUGAGAAUGAACAUUAUAUCUGGAUCUUGUUUGAUGCGAGACAGUUAUUCAUUUAAAUCGGAGAAUAAUGGUUGUUCUAUUUAUAUGAGUAAUAUCUUUGAUGGUCAUGCACCCUUGAAGAGUGGUCUAUUUUUAUUGAAUCUCGAUAGUAGUGAUACACAUAUUCAUAAUGUUGAAGCCAAUAUAUGCAGAGUUGAUAAUGAUAGUGCAACUUAUUUGUGGCACUGUCGUUUAGGUCAUAUUGGUGUAAAGCGCAUGAAGAAACUCCAUACUGAUGGACUUUUGGAACCACUUGAUUAUGAAUCACUUGAUACUUGCGAACCGUGCCUCAUGGGCAAGAUGACUAAAACGCCGUUCUCCGGUACUAUGGAGAGAGCAACAGAUUUGUUGAAGAUCAUACAUACACAUGUAUGUGGUCCAAUGAAUGUUGAGGCUCGUGGCGGAUAUCGUUAUUUUCUCACCUUCACAGAUGAUUUAAGAAGAUAUGGGUAUAUCUACUUAAUGAAACAUAAGUCUGAAACGUUUGAAAAGUUCAAAGAAUUACAGAGUGAAGUUGAAAAUCAUCGUAACAAGAUAAUAAAGUUUCUACGAUCGAAUCAUGGAGGACAAUAUUUGAGUUACGAUUUUGGUUUACAUUUGAAACAAUGCGGAAUAGUUUCGCAACUCACGCCAUCUGCAACACCACAGCGUAAUGGUGUGUUCGAACGUCGUAAUCGUACUUUACUAGAUAUGGUGCGAUCUAUGAUGUCUCUUACUGAUUUAUCGCUAUCAUUUUGGGGUUAUGCUUUAGAGACGGUCGCAUUCACGUUAAAUAGGGCACCAUCGAAAUCCGUUGAGACGACGCCUUAUGAACUAUGGUUUAGCAAGAAACCAAAGUUGUCGUUUCUUAAAGUUUGGGGUUGCGAUGCUUAUGUGAAAAAGCUUCAACCUGAUAAGCUCGAACCCAAAUCGGAGAAAUGUGUCUUCAUAGGAUACCCAAAGAAGAUUGUUGGGUACACCUUCUAUCACAGAUCCGAAGGCAAGACUUUUGUUGCUAAAUUCGGAGUUUUUUAGAGAAGGAGUUUCUCUCGAAAGAAGUGAGUGGGAGGAAAGUAGAACUUGAUGAGGUAACUGUACCUGCUCCCUUAUUGGAAAGUAGUUCAUCACGGAAACUAGUUUCUGCAACACCUACACCAAGUAGUGAGGAAGUUAAUGAUGAUCAUGAAACUUUAGAUCAAGUUGUUACUGAACCUCGUAGGUCAACUGUAAUGCCCCGGAACGGAUGCGUGAGGUGUCUUCCAGUUAUUUGCCGUCAUUGCCAUGUCAUUUGCUUGCGUGUUGCAUUUUUCCAUGUCAUCAUAUGCAUUGCAUCCUCAUGUUUUUCAAAACUUGCAUCCGGUCCUUUGCCCCGUUGUCCGUUUCAAGUUCCGACACUCCUAUAUCCUCUGCUCCAUCCCCCCUUUUGUCUCUGUUGUGAGUGGGUGUUCAACAUUCUCGGAAUGGACCGAGGUUUGCCAAGCGGCCUUGGUACACCAUCGGUAGACCGCCUGUCAAGUUUCGUGCCAUUUAGAGUCCGUUUGAUGCUCCAACGGUUAACCGGGUAACCGCAAAAGCCCUCUUUGUGUUGCAGCCCAACACCCGUCCAAAACAGCCCAAUAACCCAUCCAAACCCCCUCCAUGCUCUCGGUCGUUCGAUCACGAUCACGUGGCCGAAAACCGCUCCCCAUUUGGACUCUCCUAACUCCCCCCGAAAAUCUCGCAGUCCAAACUCUAGUCUUCUUCCACCUCCCGCCGCCGUACUUGUCCAUCCCGAGCCGGACAUGUCCGCCGUCCACGUCGCCCCGGCCAACCAGGAAGCGCCACGUCACCCCGCUGCCGCUCUCCUCCAACCCCGCGCCGCCACGUGGCCUCCCAGCCAGACCCCGCCGCCGCCGGCCCGCGAAGCCCAUCGCGAGCCCGCGCGGGCCCGAACCGCCACCGCCCGGCCCAUCGCGUCGCCGCCGCCCUAGCGCGCCCGCGCCCCAGNNNNNNNNNNNNNNNNNNNNNNNNNNNNNNNNNNNNNNNNNNNNNNNNNNNNNNNNNNNNNNNNNNNNNNNNNNNNNNNNNNNNNNNNNNNNNNNNNNNNNNNNNNNNNNNNNNNNNNNNNNNNNNNNNNNNNNNNNNNNNNNNNNNNNNNNNNNNNNNNNNNNNNNNNNNNNNNNNNNNNNNNNNNNNNNNNNNNNNNNNNNNNNNNNNNNNNNNNNNNNNNNNNNNNNNNNNNNNNNNNNNNNNNNNNNNNNNNNNNNNNNNNNNNNNNNNNNNNNNNNNNNNNNNNNNNNNNNNNNNNNNNNNNNNNNNNNNNNNNNNNNNNNNNNNNNNNNNNNNNNNNNNNNNNNNNNNNNNNNNNNNNNNNNNNNNNNNNNNNNNNNNNNNNNNNNNNNNNNNNNNNNNNNNNNNNNNNNNNNNNNNNNNNNNNNNNNNNNNNNNNNNNNNNNNNNNNNNNNNNNNNNNNNNNNNNNNNNNNNNNNNNNNNNNNNNNNNNNNNNNNNNNNNNNNNNNNNNNNNNNNNNNNNNNNNNNNNNNNNNNNNNNNNNNNNNNNNNNNNNNNNNNNNNNNNNNNNNCCGCCGUUGCACCACCUCGCGCCCCACAUGGCCUCGCCGGAUCCGCCGCCUUCGCCGACCCGCGCCGCCCGUCGCCUGCCUCCGCCACGCCGCGCCCGGAUCCAACCGGCCCCGCCCUCUCCGGCCUUCCCCUCGCCUCCCCGCCACACCGCUAGAGCUCCGCGAGCUCGCCGGAGCCCGAGCUCGCCACCGGGACCGCCUCGUCCCGGAUCGGCCUCGUCCACCCCGAGCCCUCCAACCAAACGGCCGCUCCGUCCCGUUUUCUUUGCGCAGGGUAAAUUUCUCCAAGUCCCCAGAUUCCAAGACUAUGUGUGCAUCUUCUUCGCAUCAUAACUUCAUGCUCGGUGCUCCGAUUUGUGCAUGUAAUGUAUCGAAAUGCUCAUCAUGAGAUGCUCUUCAUUUCAUUCCAUUGGGUCAUGCUUGUUUGAGUUCAUCUUGAUGCCCUAAUCACCGUUGCAAGAGUGCUAUGUGAUGUUGUCUGCUGUAGUUUAACAGAACUUGCUCAUUUGUUAUUUUUGUAUCCUUUUGUGUGAUUUUAUUUUGAGCAUGAAGUCUACAUGUGUUAUGAGCUGUAACAUGCCAUCUUUACAGUGGUUCCAUCCAUGUAUUUUGUUAUGCUCUGUAGUGAGUGCAUCAAGCUUGUGAAGUGGGCUACUUGUUGUUACUGUUUUGCUAUGCUAAAUAUGAUAUAUUGUGAUGCUAUGUAAACCUGUUGAUACCAUGAGUUCUAUGCAUAAUCUGGAGAUGUUCACUAAUGGAAUUUUGUUACACAUGUUAUGCUCUAUCCAUCCAUGCCCCUGUCUGCAUUUUUGGAAUGCUCUAGUAUGUCUUAAUCUUGCUCUACUUUUGCUAUAAAAUAUUCCUGGCAGAUUGUUUACAUGUUAAUCAAUUUUGCCAUGGUUGUUGUUAGUGAUCCAAGCAUGCAAUGAACUUGCUCUUGCCAUGGUUAGCUUCAUGAACAUGUAUUCUUGUUGAUGCUAUGAUUGUCUAUUCAUGCAAUGCUUUGUGAUGAGUGAUUUGAGCUCGCAAAGAUGCCUUCAUAAUUCUGUUUAUGCCAUGCUCAGUUUUUCUGCUAAGUCUGAACCUGUAUAUGAAACUUGCUAUGUUUACAUGGGUGCCAUCAUAUCCGCUGUGCCUUUUUGGCUCAUGAUCAGUAAGGGACAUUUGUUAUAUGCAAUUAGUAGAUUCAUGCCAUGCCUUUGGUUGCCAUGAUCAGUUCCUGUAGCAUGUUGUUUGAUAGCUCUAAACUUUGUAACAUGAUGUUAUUUCUGCCAUGCCUGGUGAUUUUCACCAAGUCUGUGAACUGUUAUUAUUUGCAAUCUUGCCAUGUCCUUUUGAGCAUGUUCUACUGAUUUCUGGAGAUAGCUCAGUGUUCAUGUUUUGUAAUGCUUUACCUGUAAAUCAUGUCCAUGCCUUUUGUUUUCAUGUUGAGGUGUUGUAGAAUGUUGUUUUGAUACUUGCAAGUUGCCUAGUUGCUGUUUUGGACAGCUUGUCCUUUAAACUUGUUUCAUGUGUAUGUGUUGAACCGUUGCUCCGUUUUGAGUGUGCUCUAUAUGAAACUUGCUUAGUUUUGCAUGUAGCUUUAUGUUACCUUGUUACAUCCAUGUUUUGAGGUGUGUGCUUGAUGUUUGAAUGCAUUUUGCAUCAAUGCCAUGUUUAACUUGUUUUGCUCAUAUCUUCUAGGCCGUAGCUCCGAAUCUAAUGAACUUUAUAUGUAACUUGACUAGAAUUUCGUGUAGAUCAUCGUGGUGCAUCUUAACUUGAUGUUUAACAACUUGAACAUAAGGUUUAUUCAGAUCUGGACCAAUGUCGAAAUUUUGCAUAUGGGGACUUACCGGAAUUGUUACAUGUUGUUUCUGGCCUCAUUUAAACUUGCCUUGUUGUGUUGUUCUUGUAUGCAUCAUCCCUUGCCAUGAGUAGCUUCAUGUAGCCUUGUCAUGCAUCAUACUUGGUUGAGCAUCAUGCCUUGUUCAUGUGUGGUGUGUUUAUCAUGUUGUGUGCUUCUUCUCGAUAGUUCCCGUUUCGUUGUGAUCGUGAGGAUUCGUUCGUCUAUGCUUGGUUCGUCUUCGUGGCUUCAUCUUCUUCAUGGACUCAAUCUUCUUCCUAGCGGGAUUUCAGGCAAGAUGACCAUCACCUUCGAUCUCACUACUAUCAUUGCUAUGCCAGAUGCUUCGUUCUGUCGCUAUGCCGUGUUUCCUACCACUUGCUUUUCAAGCCUCCCAUAUUGCCAUGAACCUCUAACCUUUGUCACCCUUCCUAGCAAACCGUUGUUUGGCUAUGUUACAGCUUUUGUUCAGCCCCUCUUACAGCGUUUCUAGUUGCAGGUGAAGAUGAAGAUUGCUCCAUGUUAGAUUAUGUUUUAUGUUGGGAUAUCACAAUAUCUCUUAUAUUAUUAAUGCAUCUAUACACUUGGUAAAGGGUGGAAGGCUCGGCCUUAUGCCUGGUGUUUUGCUCCACUCUUGCCGCCCCAGUUUCCGUCAUAUCGGUAUUAUGUUCCCGGAUUUUGCGUCCCUAACGCGGUUGGGUGUUAUGGGAACCCCUUGACAGUUCGCCUUGAAUAAAACUCCUCCAGCAAGGCCCAACAUUGGUUUUACCAUUUGCCUAACAACCUAUUACCUUUCCCUUGGGAGUAAUUAACCCGAGGGUCAUCUUUAUUUUAGCCCCCCCGGGCCAAUGCUUCUCUAAGUGUUGGUCCGAACUAGAGCACCGUGCGGGACCGUCCCUUGGCAACUUGGGUUACGUUGGUACCUGUACGCUUCGCUUAACUGGUGUUGCCCUGAGAACGAGAUAUGUGCAGCUCCUAUCGGGAUGUCGGCGCAUCGGGCGGUCGUGCUGGACUUGUUUUACCAUUGUCGAAAUGUCUUGUAACCGGGAUUCCGAGACUGAUCGGGUCUUCCCAGGAGAAGGAAUAUCCUUUGUUGAUCGUGAGAGCUUAUCAUGGGCUAAGUUGGGACACCCCUGCAGGGUUUGAACUUUCGAAAGCCGUGCCCGGGGUUGUGGCAGAUGGGAAUUUGUUAAUAUCCAGUUGUAGUAAACUUGAAGUAAACUCUUCUAAAAUACACCAACCGUGUGUGUAACCGUGAUUGUCUCUUUUCGGGGUUGUUCGAGAGGAGAACACGGUUUUUGGGUUAUAUUUGACGUAAGUAGGAGUUCAGGAUCACUUCUUGAUCAUUUCUAGUUGACGACCGUUUGCUAAGCUCUUCUUCUCGCUCUUGUUUCGUAAGUUAGCCACCAUACUUUGCUUAGCCGCUGCUGCAACCUCGCCACUUUACCCCUUCCUUACCCAUUAAGCUUUGCUAGUCUUGAUACCCAUGGUAAUGGGAUUGAUGAGUCCUUAUGGCUCACAGAUUACUACAAUAAUAGUUGCAGGUACAGGUUAUACGAUGAUCAUGACACGAGAGUGAUGUGUACUUGUGUUGGAGUUCUUCUUCUUCUUCGUUGAUCUUGGGAUAGGUUCCUGGUCGGCAGCCUGGGAUAGCAAGGUGGAUUUCGUUUGAGUUUCUGUUUAUGUUUCAUCCGUAGUCGGAUGUUGAUCUUAUGUAUGAUGUAUUGUUGUAUUCAUGUGACAUUGUAUGUCUUGGAUGUAUCCCCACUAUUAUGUAAUGGUACGAUGUAAUGAUAUCCACCUUGCAAAAGUGUCUUCAAGAUGCGCUUCUAUCCUUGGUGGGACCUUCGAGUUCCUUUAGGAUAGGGUCGCAUCUUGGGUGUGGCAUCAACCAGAGUAAGAUCCGCACCAGAGUGGUACGGUAAUCCUGUUCUGGAAGUUAUGUUACUAGACCAUGACGAACCUACGAACUAUGAAGAAGCGAUGGUGAGCCCAGAUUCCGUGAAAUGGCUUGAGGCCAUGAAAUCUGAGAUGGGAUCCAUGUAUGAUAACAAAGUGUGGACUUUGGUUGACUUGCCCGAUGAUCGGCAAGCAAUUGAGAAUAAAUGGAUCUGCAAGAAGAAGACUAACGUUGACGGUAAUGUUACUGUCUAUAAAGCUCGACUUGUUACAAAAGGUUUUUGACAAGUUCAAGGGAUUGACUACGAUGAGAUCUUCUCACCCGUUGCGAUGCUUAAGUCUGUCCGAAUCAUGUUAGCAAUUGUCACAUUUUAUGAUUAUGAAAUUUGGCAAAUGGAUGUCAAAACUGCAUUCCUCAAUGGAUUUCUGGAAGAAGAGUUGUAUAUGAUGCAACCGGAAGGUUUUAUCGAUCCAAAGGGAGCUAACAAAGUGUGCAAGCUCUAGCGAUCCAUUUAUGGACUGGUGCAAGCCUCUCGGAGUUGGAAUAAAUGCUUUGAUAGUGUGAUCAAAGCAUUUGGUUUUGUACAGACUUUUGGAGAAGCAUGUAUUUACAAGAAAGUGAAUGGGAGCUCUGUAGCAUUUCUGAUAUUAUAUGUGGAUGACAUAUUGCUGAUUGGAAAUGAUAUAGAAUUUCUGGAUAGCAUAAAGGGAUACUUGAAUAAGAGUUUUUCAAUGAAAGACCUCGGUGAAGCUGCUUAUAUAUUGGGCAUCAAGAUCUAUAGAGAUAGAUCAAGACGCUUAAUUGGACUUUCACAAAGCACAUACCUUGACAAAGUUUUGAAGAAGUUCAAAAUGGAUAAAGCAAAGAAAGGGCUCUUGCCUGUGUUACAAGGUGUGAAGUUGAGUAAGACUCAAUGCCCGACCACUGCAGAAGAUAGAGAGAAAAUGAAAGAUGUUCUCUAUGCUUUAGCCAUAGGAUCUAUCAUGUAUGCAAUGUUGUGUACCAGACCUGAUGUGUGCCUUGCUAUAAGUUUAGCAGGGAGGUACCAAAGUAAUCCAGGAGUGGAUCACUGGACAGCGGUCAAGAACAUCCUGAAAUACCUGAAAAGGACUAAGGAUAUGUUUCUCGUUUAUGGGGGUGACAAAGAGCUCAUCGUAAAUGGUUACGUUGAUGCAAGCUUUGACACUGAUCCGGACGAUUCUAAAUCGUAAACCGGAUAUGUGUUUACAUUGAACGGUGGAGCUGUCAAUUGGUGCAGUUCUAAACAAAGCGUCGUGGCGGGAUCUACGUGUGAAGCAGAGUACAUAGCUGCUUCGGAAGCAGCAAAUGAAGGAGUCUGGAUGAAGGAGUUCAUAUACAAUCUAGGUGUCAUACCUAGUGCAUCGGGUCCAAUGAAAAUCUUUUGUGACAAUACUGGUGCAAUUGCCUUGGCGAAGGAAUCCAGAUUUCACAAGAGAACCAAGCACAGCAAGAGACGCUUCAAUUCCAUCCAGGAUUUAGUCCAGGUGGGAGACAUAGAAAUUUGCAAGAUACAUACGGAUCUGAAUGUUGCAGACCCAUUGACUAAGCCUCUUCCACGAACAAAACAUGAUCAGCACCAAGGCUCCAUGGGUGUUAGAAUCAUUAGUGUGUAAUCUAGAUUAUUAACUCUAGUGCAAGUGGGAGACUGAAGGAAAUAUGCCCUAGAGGCAAUAAUAAAGUUAUUAUUUAUUUCCUUAUAUCAUGAUAAAUGUUUAUUAUUCAUGCUAGAAUUGUAUUAACCGGAAACAUAAUACAUGUGUGAAUACAUAGACAAACAAAGUGUCACUAGUAUGCCUCUACUUAACUAGCUCGUUGAUCAAAGAUGGUUAAGUUUCCUAGCCAUUGACAUGGGUUAUCAUUUGAUUAAUGGGAUCACAUCAUUAGGAGAAUGAUGUGAUUGACUUGACCCAUUCCGUUAGCUUAGCACCCGAUCGUUUAGUAUGUUGUUGUUGCUUUCUUCAUGACUUAUACAUGUUCCUAUGACUAUGAGAUUAUGCAACUCCCGUUUAUCGGAGGAACACUUUGUGUGCUACCAAACAUCACAACGUAACUGGGUGAUUAUAAAGGUGCUCUACAGGUGUCUCCGAAGGUACUUGUUGGGUUGGCGUAUUUCGAGAUUAGGAUUUGUCACUCCGAUUGUCGGAGAGGUAUCUCUGGGCCCUCUUGGUAAUGCACAUCACUUAAGCCUUGCAAGCAUUGCAACUAAUGAGUUAGUUGCGGAAUGAUGUAUUACGGAAUGAGUAAAGAGACUUGCCGGUAACGAGAUUGAACUAAGUAUUGAGAUACCGACGAUCGAAUCUCGGGCAAGUAACAUACCGAUGACAAAGGAAACAACGUAUGUUGUUAUGCGGUCUGACCGAUAAAGAUCUUCGUAGAAUAUGUGGGAGCCAAUAUGAGCAUCCAGAUUCCGCUAUUUGUUAUUGACCGGAGACGUGUCUCAGUCAUGUCUACAUAGUUCUCGAACCCGUAGGGUCCGCACGCUUAACGUUUCGAUGACAGUUAUAUUAUGAGUUUAUAUGUUUUGAUGUACCGAAGGUUGUUCGGAGUCCCGGAUGUGAUCACGGACAUGACGAGGAGUCUCGAAAUGGUCGAGACAUGAAGAUUGAUAUAUUGGAAGCCUAUGUUUGGAUGUCGGAAGUGUUCCGGGUGAAAUCGGGAUUUUACCGGAGUACCGGGAGGUUACCGGAACCCCCGGGAAGGUUAAUGGCCAUAGUGGGCCUUGGUGGAAGAGAGGAGAGGCGGUCAGGGCAAGGGCCGCGUGCCCCUCCCCCUAGUCCGAAUAGAACAAGGAGAGGGGGGCGGCGUCCCCCCUUUCCUUCUUCUCCUCCACCUCUUUCCCCCCUCCACUCCUAUUCCAACUAGGAAAGGGAGGGAGUCCUACUCCCGAUGGGCACGUGGCGCGCCCCCUCUCCUGGCCGGCCGCACCCCCCCCCCUUCUCCCUUUAUAUAGGGGGGCAGGGGGCACCCCAAAGACACAACAAUUGGUCAUUGAUCUUUUAGCCGUGUGUGGUGCCCCCUCCACCAUAGUCCACCUCGAUAAUAUCGUAGCGGUGCUUAGGCGAAGCCCUGCGUCGGUAGAAUAUCAUCAUCGUCACCACGCCGUCGUGCUGACGAAACUCUCCCUCAACACUCGGCUGGAUCGGAAUUCGAGGGACGUCAUCAGGCUGAACGUGUGCUGAACUCGGAGGUGCCGUGUGUUCCGUACUUGAUCGGUCGGAUCGUGAAGACGUACGACUACAUCAACCGCGUUGUGCUAACGCUUCCGCUUUCGGUCUACGAGGGUACGUGGACAACACUCUCCCCUCUCGUUGCUAUGCAUCACCGUGAUCUUGCGUGUGCGUAGGAAAAUUUUGAAAUUACUACGUUCCCCAACACUAAGAACUAAUGCGCGCAAGCUAUAUAUAUAUAUACAUCAUCGUGAGUCAAUUACACGGGUGGUGCUUGAACUUGACGCGAACGCUCACUUUGGUGCUAGAACUCGCAGCAUACAUCGAACUGGUGUAAUAACUUGGCUCCGGUGUGCAAAUACGGUGCAAAUCUCGGUUGUGUACGUUUGAGCCCUUGACUAGAUGCGCCAACAUGGCAUGGGUCCCGCCGCCAGCGACCCAACGACAAAAGAGGGCGUGUGGCCAGGUUUUUUCGAAAACCCCCUCGAUUUUUUCUCACAAAAAAGCCCAGUUGACGUUGGAAAGAUGGCAUUUCAUUUUUGUUCGACUCUACGGCCAGUGGGUCCUGUGUGUACAUACUAAAAUUAUAACACAAAAAGUUAGAGGGCUCCUCUUAUCGAACACGCGACCCUUGGUUCGGUUAAGGUCGGUCCUGACACCUACACCAUUCACGUCUUGACAUCUUCAAGUGGAUACCUGUGUUAACGUAGUCGAAUAGAGGUGCUUUUUUUCAGAAUAGUCGAAUAGAGGAGCUUGUGGGGCUGAAAUGGGUUGCCGUCAGUCUGCCCCAUUUGCUCCUGUUAGCUUUAUUUAGAAAUAUGUAGGUAGUGUAAGUUCUAAUCUUAGUAACAAAAAUACACCCAUUCUCUCCCUUCUCUCCCCAAACAAAUAUACCCAUUUAUUUUAUGUUUGCUAACUUAAAUCAUUCAUAUCUUUUAGACCAAUAUUAUGAUUUAAAAACUUUUUUAUAUGUUUGAAGUCAUGUCGCAAAGACCUUUAAAACAAGAACGAUUUUGAUACAUUUUAAAUGAGUUUAAAAUUCAUGAAACAUAUUUCACCCGCUUGAAAUCUUUGAAAUAAAUGAUUGAUUUCAAGCAGUUUCACAAGUUGACAUUUCUGUUUCAUGUUGUUUUUCAUUUUCAGAACUGUCAUUUCACUUUCCACGGGCGUGUUUCAGAAAAAUCAUAUCUACUUCAAUUGCACAUUUUUGAAAGAACAUAUUUCAAUAUUUUAAAAUAAAAUGUUUCACAUUUCCAAAUAAUCGGUUUCAUAAAUUAACAUUUUAGUUUCAUAUUGUUUUCAGUUUCAGAACAUGAAUUUGACUUUCCACUGGCUCGUUUCACAGAAAACACAUGUAUUUCAAUUGCACAUGUUUGAAAUAACAUGUUUCACUCUUUUAAAAUAAAUUGUUUCACAUUUAAAAAUAAUCGGUUUCACAAGUUAACAUUUUAGUUUCAUAUUGUUUUCACUUUCAGAACAUGAAUUUGACUUUCCACUGGCUGGUUUCACAUAAAACACAUAUAUUUCAAUUGCACAUGUUUGAAAUAGCGUGUUUCACUCUUUUGAAAUAAACGGUUACACAUUUGGGAAAAAAUCACUUUCACAAGUUAACAUUUCAGUUUCAUAUUAUUUUUCACUUAGCGAACCUACAUUUCACUUUCCACUGGCUUGUUUUAUAAAAACUGAUAUAUUUUAAUUGCACAUUUUUUAAAUAAGUUGAUGUUUCACUUCUUUGAAAUAAACUAUUACAUUUCGGAAAAAAAUAGUUUUACAAGUUGACAUUUCAGUUUAUAUUGUUUUUCACUUUCAGAACCUACAUUUCACUUUGAACUGGCUUGUUUCAAAAAAUUACAUCUAUUUCAAUUUCUUGUUAUUGAAAUACCAUAUUUCGCUCUUUUGAAGUAAAUUGUCACACAUUUCAUAAUUUUCAAUUUCACAAGUUCAGAUUUUAGUUUCAUAUUACUUUUUUAACUUUUAGUAGGUGCAUUUUACUUUUCACUGGCUUGUUUCACAAAAUCACAUCUAUUUCAAUUGUUCAUUUUUGAAAUAACAUAUUUUACUCUUUUGAAAUAAAAUGUUACACACUUCCAAAUAAUUUGUUUCACAAGUUGACAUUUGACUUUCAUAUUUGGGUUAAAUAGGUUUAUGUAAAAAAUGUUAUUUUCACAUAUUUCUGGUGAAAUAGGUUUGUUUCAGAUUUUUCUAGUGAAAUGGAUUUAUUUCUCAUAUGAAAUGUGAAUCGUCAAAAAUUAAAUGUAUUUGAAAUGUAUCCAAAAUUGAUCUAAUUUUAAUGUUCUUGGUGCCAAGAGUGCAAAUAUAUAAAAGUUUUAAAAACGAGUAUAUAGUUUAAAAGAUAGGGUUGAGUUAAAUUGUCUUAGAGGAAAUAAAGUAUAUGGAUUUGUUCUGUAUGGGUAUCUUCCCCGCCAAAUGGUGUACUUUGGGGUUCAUUAUGCUGCUACUGAUUUGACUAAAAAAUAUAAAAAUAUACUAGUGCUAUACAUUUAGGCGGGCCAUACAAUCUCACAAAUCUCAAAACAAGUGGAUGAUUUUAGAUGUACCGGUACCUGACCUAACCGUGCAAAAUGACUUUGCGGAGGAAGACGAUGCAGUUGCUACGAGAGAGAAAAACGUGCGGUUGAGAAAAAAAAAGAUAAGGCUAGAGGAGGAGAAGGAUAAGGUGAGAGAGACGUGCGGCCCCGAUUUUGCCGCUUCACUGGGACACGCGUGAGCCGUUCGAUCCGCCUCUUCUCUUCCCUGUCAUGCUCAUCCUCAUGGAUCCUAGCCACUUGUGGAACAGCUAGCCUCUAGAAGUCAGGUGCCCAUCGAGUCCAGCGGAGCAUUUUCAGUCUGGGCCAGUAUGUCACACACACAAAAACGCUAGUGCCCUCAGCGCUCACCAUUUCUGCCCAACUUGAAGAAGAUUGAAGCCAAAUUUUGGUAAAGCUCUAACAGAAUUGUCAACAUUUGACAAUUGCGGCUAGUGUUUGAUUAAACAGUUGCCAAAGUUUUGAGCCUAACAAAUCGGCUGCCAGUUUAUUAGGCUCGCUAAUAUUUUUUGGCUCCAAACCAAACAAGCUCUAGGGGCAUCUCUAACGGCGACUCGCAAACUGCCCGCAUAUGUCCGGACAAAGAAAGCCAUUCAACGUGACCCUGUAUUAGUCUGCGGCACGGUCCGGACGUGUUUUCUCUCGUAAACCGGAGACAAAUGUGGGGGCUUCGUGGGAGUCCGGACACGCGAAACAUUGCUCUCUGCCCUUCUAGCCCACCCAAAAGGAAGACGGAGCCCGCGCUUUUGGAGUAUCCCGCAUUGUUUCCAUGCUAAAAUCCCCCAUUCUCUUUUUCCAUCCCCGCCGCUCUCCACCCAAUUCCCACUCUUUUCUCCCACCCUCUCCUUCCUUCCGUUGCCGCUGCAUGGAAUCGUCGGAGAUGGAGCCGAUGGAGGUGCCGGAGAACCCGAGUAUCAUGCUCCCCCGGAAGAUCAGCUCGGCUACGCGGCAAACCCAUCGCGUCAAAGCGAAGGCCGCAAAGAGGAGAAGCUCAAGAAAUGGUUGGCCUCCGAUGGGCCUGGAGGUGGCGUUGGGCGUGGAGGUCGUGGCGGACGAGGCGGUCGUGGCGGACGCCGCCAGACGGGCAUUCCCACGGUACAGAUGGCGCCGUGGACGGGGCAUUACAAGCCUAUGCACGACUACCCCUCCAAGCAGCUCGGAAACCCCGCCGGUACGGUGCCUUCCAUCGUUGAUGUUAAAGCGACGCCGCUCUUCUCCGAGUAUUCUUUGUCGCAGCUCGUCCGGGCGCGGAGCGGAUGGGUCCCCGCAGACUGUUCGUUGUGAUGCCUAGAGUGGGGGAGCCGGCGUACGAUGACCCGGACAGGCGGAUGCUCAACAUCAUCCACGACGGUGGCGAGGGAGGAGGAGGGCUCUAUGAGGAUAGGCAGGUGGAAGACUCGGACCCCACCUAGUCCGGUAACUACCAGCAGCAUCAGUCCUACACUCAGACGGCCACGCAGCAGUCCUACACCCAGACCGGCGAUGGCAUACAGUACACAGCAACAGCAGCAUUGGGUCGUCGGAUAGAAGCAGCCGGAGGAGAAGGAGGAGGAGGAUACAGGCGGCGAUCCGAAGAAGAAGGGUAGAAGAGAAAGCUUCAACACGUGGGAGGACGAGCUGUUGUGCGAUGCAUGAUUGGUCUCAAGCUAGCCUCGUUCCUGUCCAUGGCAUGGAGCAAAAGGGGACAACCUUUUGGAGGAACAUUCACAUAUGGUUUCAUGAACGCAAGCAUUUCGCGCCCUACUCCGACGUGGUCAUCAGCAAUCGUGAACGGAAGUCCCUCAACCAUCGAUCGUACGCCAUCCAAUAGGUCGUGUCUAAGUAUUGCGGGCACUUGAAGCAUCUUAUCAUACGGUGGCCUAGCGGUGCACAAAUCACAGAGCAAGUAAGUUGAUCACUAGCCGGAUAUGCUUAGUUUUGUUGAUCACUAGCCGGACAUGUAUUGUUUUGUUGCUCACUAGACGGAUAUGCAGUCGACAAUGUUUAACUUUGUGGCCUACUCGUGCUUGUGUUGUGUACAAGAAGUUGGAGAAGAAGUGAUGCAUUGUUGGUUGAAGUUGAAUGGACAACCUAAGUGAAUCUUUUCAUUGCCAAGAUCGUCGCCCAAGCCAACGAGGUAAACCGGUGACCCUAUCGACCCAACCCAAGAACUGUUGAAAAAAGUUAGAAGAAAUUUACUGAAGAACGUAUACAUUAUAAUUUUGGAUGGAUGUCUCCUGCAUCCGUGUCCCUGGACUAGUCCUCCCCUGUCCGCGAUGGAUGCGGGAGGAAAUUUGUGGGUUGCUGGUAGAGAUGCCCUAAGUGCUUGAUGAUAUGCCGGUUUGAUCUCUCGAAGGUGCUCAUAGGGAUAGGUUGUGCGUGUGUGCGUUCAUAGGAUGAGCGUAUGCACGUAUUUAUGAGCGCUUGCAUCUGUACUGUGCUAAAAAAAAUCAACGCAUGUGUGCAAACUAUGAACGUCACGACCUCUUUAUGUGUACAAUGUGCAUCCCUUUGCUUUUGUAUGGAGGAUAUGGUUUGCGUAUAUUUCAAUUAUCUUUUUUUUUUCUUUGCAAGGGUAAAACAGAGUUAUCUUUCUUUUCUUUUUUUUGAGGGGAGUUAUCUUUCUUUUAACAAGUAUAAGUAUAAGGGGUGUUCUCGCAAAAAAAAAACAAGUAUAAGGGGUGCUUAACCACGAAGUCGCCUUUGGUCACAUGCUAGACGAUAGGCUUUAAGUUGUUGAUUGGUUUCAUCGCAAAAAAAAAGUUGUUGAUUGGUUUGGAGCCAUAAUUUGGUGAAGCUCUAAACCUAGAGCCAACAUUUGGCUAGUGUUUUUGAGGAAAUGCCAACAUCUAACAAAUUUUGGCUAGUGUUUAAUCAGAGGAACAGCCAAAAACUAGAGCCUAGCAAACAAAUCGGCUGCCAAUUUAUAAGGGUCACCAAAAGAAAAUUGGCUCCUAGUCUUUGAUUUGAAGAAGUGCCAAAAAUUGGACCCCAACAAACAAAUCGGCCGCCAAUUUAUUAGGGUUGCUAAGGCCCUGUUUGGUGCAGCUUUUAUCAACGAAUUCCUCUGCCACGCAGCAGAAUCUGAACCAAAGGGUGAACCCAGCAAAGUUCGAUUCCAGAAAUCCGCUGCCAAAAUCUGAACCAAAAAUAGAAACAGCCCAAGGCGUGCUUUCCAAAAUCUGAUUCCGCUGCGGGCCAAAAUCUAAAAAAGUUGUAUCAGCUGAUUUGCCAAAUGACCUACAUCUUUUUCACAUCAGAUUUUUCACAGCUGUUUUUCCACAGUAGAUUUUUCACAGCUGCUUUUAGAAAUCCACAGCCAGAGCCUAAGAACGUUGGCACCAAACCAAGCAAGCUCUAACAUUCAAAAUGUAGAGGCUUCACGCGGCUUGUGAGCCAAAUUCAACUGAAUUCCUUGGAAGCAACUCAAACUCACAUGGCCAUCGUUGAGCAUGGUUCACGCCAUCCCAGCCGUCCACGUGUCCUGUCGUGCGCCUCACUGGUGUCGGCCGCCGCUGAUCCGUCGCAGUCAAGCCAAUGAUCCACACCUUUCCUGCCACCGGCCGCCAACCCCACCCAAACCACCUAUAUAUCCGCCCCCCUCCCCGCGCCACCAACCCAGCCCACCUCGCCGCCGCUCCAGAUCUGCCUCCGCCGCACCGGCUCGCCGCCGUCGCUCCCUCCCCCUCCCUCUCGAUCUCAGUCUCCAGGAGAGGCAUGAUGGCAUUGCCUCGCGCGGCCUGCCUGGUUCUCCUCCUCGUGGUGGUGGCGGCGCCGGUGCUCUGCGCCGCGCAGAGCCCCAUCUCGCAGCCGCCGUCGUCCGGCGCGCCCACCGCGUCCCCGCUCUUCCGCCCCGACGCCGACUCCGAUGGCGGCGACAAUGGAUCCGCUGCGUCCCCCUCCCUGCCCCCUGCGAGCUCCCCUGGCGAGGACAAGGCGGCGGCGGCGUCCCCUCCCGCGCCCACCGACACGUCCCCGCUCCCGUCUCCCACCGAGGCCCCCUCCUCCGCCGCGCACUCGCCGGCCCCGGCGCCGUCGUCGUCCCUGCACUCCGCCGCCGCGCCGGCCCCUGCUCCUGCCGCCGACAAGGAAGGCGACGACGACGACGAUUACAGGAAGAAGAAGGUGAAGGCCCCGGCGCCCGCCCCGGCCGCGAUGGAGGUGAAGGCCGGCACGGCCGGCGCCGACGAGCAGCGGGCGGUGGACGCGGAGAGGCGGGACGGGGAGGGCGAGAUGAACGGCGGGAAGAAGGCGGGCGUGGUGGUGGGCGUGUUCUCGGCGGCGGCGGUGCUGUGCCUGGCCGCCGUGGUGUACCGGAAGCGGCAGGCCAACAUCCGGCGGUCCAGGUACGCCGACUACUCGGCGCGGCUCGAGCUCGUCUGACCGGCGACCGCUACCGUCCGUCCGUCCGAGCGCUACCGCGUAUGGUAUGGAGAUCGACGACUGGAGAUGCAAUCCUGGCUCUGAGAUCUGUGGGUCGACGUGCCACACACAUACAGCGUUGUUUUGAUCCGUGUUAAUUAGGUUCACGCAUGGUGUCCAUUCUUGGGGCUCGGAGACUAUUACAUAAUAUUCUUUGAUUAGUGGGAGGUUGAGAUCGAGGAGAGCAAUAACAUUGGGUCGAGGAAGAGAAGAUUAUACUUGGAGUUUUUCUCUCUUUUGUACACUACAUACAGAGAUGCAUUACAUUAUAUGUAUUUUGACCAUUUGUCACUGGUACAAAUACCUACACUAGUUGAGUAAACAAAUAUAAGAGCUCUUAUAGUAUCCAAAACGUUAUUAUAUUAUGAGACGGAGGGAGUACAUUGCAUUCUUGUUGUCACUGGGGUGGCUUGCAUGAACAAAGAGGUAGCCUUCAGAUCCAAAAUUUGGGCAGAUGGGGUCUCCAUCUAUCUGUCUGCGUCGUUGCUGAGAUCUACUCCAGCUGGGGACAGACUUGAAUUACAAACAACAUGGUUUUCUUUCCCGUUGUUUAUUUUCUUGGUGUCUGUCGGUUGCCUCUCUCUCGGAGUUGAGCUUCUUCUCUGAAUCUGAAUGGGCCUAGUCGUCAAAGUGCAACGCGUCGUCUUUUGAUGCUCUUGUUUUGACCCUGCAUUUCUACUCAAAGCGGUCGAGCUGUGACUAGUGCUUGUUUUGGCUACAGAAAGAGUGGCCAAAACACCUACAGACCGCGUUGCAUUGCAUGGACCGUUCUGAAUUACUUGUUGCAAGAAUGAAUGUAUCUAGAUGUAUUUUAGUUUUUUUUUUUCUUUUUUUUAAAGGGAGAUGUAUUUUAGUUCUAGAUACAUCCAUUUCUGCAUCAAUCAAAUGUUUGACCGUGAGCUGUUUGUUGACUGUACUGCCAACCCAACAUUCAGGUUCGGCUCAGGGACGACCGAAUUUCUACUCACGGGAAAGUGACAAGUGUAUGCGGACAGGCACCUUAAUUUAUUUGAUAUACUCCUGGAGACUCUGGCUGUUGCGCGGCGUCGGCGUCGGACGGCAGGCGUGCUCGGGGCAGGCCGGGCAUCGAGGCUACUACAUGACUCUCUUUCUUCAUUUAUUGCUUGCCACAUCAUCUAUUUUAUCUAAAUAUGUGUGAUGUUACUACCUCUGUUACUCUCAUUGUGGGUAGUCUUAUACAUUAUAGAACAAAGGAAGUAGCACAUCUCAUCCAGCAUCUUCUCGUGUUGAUUCUAAUAUAGGUGGUUUCCACCCCGAGUGAAAUUUCAGACAUUGCGUACAUAACGACGUUAUCAAUUGCCUUCUGGGUCCAAAAUAUCACAGCCAUUAUGCCGACAUGCUUAACAAAAAAUCAGACUUGUUUCGAAUUAUCAUAACAUAUUUUUUUCAGCCACCCCCCUUACCUCCCCGGCGUGUGGAAACACAGUGAAACUCGACGUUUUCGGAAACCGAAAUUAGGAACCACAAUUCUGACAAAGGCACUCAGGGGAAUUUCAGUAGAUUUCCUCAUGAGACCAGAAAGUGUUCCAUCGAUUCGGCUGCAUCAAUUCCGGCUCUGGGUUGGGUCGAAAUCAACGGAAUGAGUGAUGCCAAAAGGCCGCACAUCUGUAUAUAUGGAUCAGGUGGAUGUGGUGCUGCCAAGUGCACGCCUGCCUUAAAUCACACACAAUUUUUUGGUCCAACACCUAGUGGUUCGUAUCAUAGAGAAAUAGUAAUUCUUAACUGAUCGAUGUUGCAUCUGACCAUUGGAGUACUUCACGUGACAACGUUUGGCUUGCAGCUGGUACGGAUUAUUAAAGGAAAACUGCAGCUCGACUAAAAAACCUACAGCUUGAGGCAAAAAAAAAAAAUCGUAACUAGGAGUAGCACCUACGCCGCAUUCAUCCAAUCGUUGACUCUUUCUUGGCCCGACUGACAGGAACUCCAGAAUAAAACGGUUAUUAGAAGGGUUGGGCGCACUUUGAUGAACUGCUAGUGUUGUUGGAUUUUCAUAAAUUUUCUACAACCCGUGUGUCAAAACAUAAUGUGUAUUAGUUUUUCGAAAAGUCGGAUCUCUUUAAAUUUGACCAAAUUUGUAGAGAAAUAUAUUAAAUCGGUAUCAGUAGAUUCGUCAUAGAAUGAUUUUUCAUAUUUUAUUUAUUUAGUAUUGUGGAUGUCGGUGUUCUUGGCUAUAAACUUUGUCAAACUUAAAGAAAUUUCACUUUUUAAAAACUAUUGCGCCUUAUAUUUUGAAACUGGGGGAGAUUUGAUUUGGCGAGUGGAGGAGGUGAUGCAGUGUGUUUUUAUUUACUCCCUCUAUAAAAAAAUAUAAGAGCAUUUAGAUCUCUUAUAUUUGUUUACGGAGGGAGUAUUUAUUUAGAAUGUGGUGUUUUGGUGGGGCCUUCGCGGUGUGAUUCUGUGUUAUCUGCUAAACAACCCUUACUUAUGUAGGCUAAAUUUCUACGUCGGUGGAUGCAUUUUUAUUAUAUUGGUGUUACAUUAUCACAUAUUGGCAUUUCCUUUUUCUAGGUGGUGAGUGGGUGCGCAGACUGAUAUGUUUUUAUAGGUCGGUUGUUGUCGAUUGAUUUGAAAAUUGUUGACCUGGUCAAACAUGAACCAAAUGCAAAAUCGAAUAUCUGCAUUGAAUGAGAGAGCUCCAAAAUUAGGAAGCAUAAUUAAUUAAAAUAAUUGUUGGUGUUACUAUAUCACAUAUUGACGUUUCUUUUUUCUAGGUGAUGAUAGGGUGCAUGGGGCUGCUAUGUUUUUAUAGGUCGGUUGCUGUCAAUUGAUGAAAAACAUUGAUCCGAUCAAAAUCAUGAACCAAAUUCAAAGCUGAAUACCUCUAAAAUUAGGGAGUAUAUUGAACUAAAAGAAAUUGAAUGAGAGAACUUCUCAAAAAAAAUUAUUGACCUGGUCAAAAUCGAGUCACCAAUUCCAUAUUGAAGACCUCAAUUGAUUAUGAGGCCUUAAAAACUAGGGAGCAUAGUGCAUUUACUUGAAGGGUUAGGCACGCUUUGCUGCACCGUUCGUGUUGUUGUUUUUUAAAUAAUCACUAUGUUUCAAAAUAUAAGGUGUAUUCCUUUUUUGGAAAGUAAAACCUUUUAAAUUAGAUCAAAUUUGUAGAGAAAUAUAUCAAAGUCCGUAAUAUCAAAUCGGUAUUUUUAGAUUCAUCAUGGAAUGAAUUUCCCCAUACUUAUUUUGUUUAUAUUUUGGAUGUCUAUAUUUUUACUAUGAAAUUGAUCAAGGUUAAAGAAAUUUGAUUUUUCAAAAAAAUAAUACCCCUUAUAUUUUGGAACUGAUGGAAUAUUUAGUUUGGUGGGUGGGGGAGAUGAUAGAGUGUGUUUUCUUUUUAUUUAUAAUGCGGUGAUUUGGUGGCCCUUUCGUGGAGUGAUUCCGUGAUCUACUAACCAACCUAUUAUUAUGUUGGGAAUUUUUUGUGUCAAUAUGGUUGCAUGUACUAUAUUGGUGCUACAAUAUCACAUGAUGGUUCUUCUUUUUCUAGGUGGUGGCAGGGUGCGCAGGAUUGAUGUUUUUAUAGGCCAGUUGUUGCUGAUUGAUUUAAAAAUUCGUUGGCUUGGUCAAAAUCGUAAACCAAAUCCAAAAUUAAAUACCUAAAUUGAAAGAAAGAGCUCAAAAUUAGGGAACAUAAUGAAUUAGAAAAUUUGAAUGGGAGAGCUUGCAAAAUUAUCGAGUCGGUCAAAAUGGGAUGACCCAAUUCUAAAUUGAAUACCUUAAUUAAUUGUGAGGCCGUAAAAUUUGGAAGCAUAGUGUAUAGUAUAAAAGAAUUGAAGGAGAGAGCUUUGAGAAAUUGUUGAACCAGUCAAAAUCGGGUGACCCAAUUCUAAUUGGAGAUCUCAUUUGAAUGUGGGCUCUUUAAAAAUAGGGAGCUUAGUGUUAUAGAGGACUAGAAGGAUUGGGCGCACUUUGUUGCAUCAUUGGUGUUGCUAGGUGUCAAUAAUUUUUCUACUCCCUUUGUUUCAAAAUAUAAGAUGUACUCUUUGAAUAAUCAAACCUCCAUAAGUUUGACCAAAAUUGUAUAGAAAUAUAUCAAUAUCCAUAAUAUUAAAUUGGUGCCAUUUGAUUCAUUACGAAAUGAAUUUCCAUAUUUUAUUUAUUUAGUAUUGAGGAUGUGGAUGUUUUGUCUGUCGGUUGAUUUAAAAAAUCAUUGACCUAGUUAAAAUUGUGAACCAAAUCCAAAAUUGAAUGCCUCGACCAAGUGAGGGACCUCCAAAAUUAGGAAGUUAGUGGAUUAAAUGAAUUAAACGAGAGAGCUCCUUGAUAAAAAAUAUUGUUGACCCAAUCAAAAUCGGGUGACCCAAUUCUACAUUCAGGACCACAAUUGACUGUGGGUACUCUAAAAUUAGAUAGCAUAGUGUAUUUAUAGUUAGAUGUCAUCGAAUUCGUAAUUGUCACCAAAUCCCUCCCUUCCAAUUUAUGUACACCUAAUAUGAGAAGGAAAAAAUUAGUAAUUAUGAAAAAAGCAAAAAUAAACUUUACUUAAAAUAAACUUAACCUUCUAUUGUCCUCGUAUAAAAAGUUUCACGAAGGAAAAAAACCAUCAACUUCUGGAUAAAAAAACAAAAUUUCAGUGACAAAAUAUGUGGAUAGUAAUUUGUAUGUGGUGUUGAUUUUGUUCUUUUUCACCCAGAAUACCAUGAAAUUUAUUCCUUGGCCAAACUGUUUAUACAAGCACAACAAAAGGUCAACUUCAUUUAAGAAAAAGUUUUGGAUUUUUUUGUAGUUACUUAUUUAUAUAUAGGGUGUAUAUACAUCGAAGAGCCAAACGUGUUUGUCCCUAAUACAUCUACAUAUAUAAAUAUAUUUUUGAAAUAUGAGUUAGAGAAGGUCACACUAGCGCCAUUACAAAUAAAAUUAACUCCGCUAACCAUAUUUGUCUAGUUAAGUUAGGAUUAGCUAGGCUCCGUCCCCUACCGCCACCUCAUCUUAGGGGCAAGGGACGGAGCUCUCAGAUCUGGUGUUAUCUUCUAUUCCAGUCGUUGUAGCAUGCAGAUUUGGUUUGGGCCAGCAGGCUUCAUGCGACCACCCCUCCCUCGGUAGUGUCUUGAAGAACGGUGGCCCCACAUCGACCCCAACUCCGGUGGCGGCCUCGAGCUCACGGCCACAAGAUCUGGUGUCGCCAUGGCCGAAAACCACGGCUGUGUGGUGGCUUCGACGACAUCGACGCGAAUUUACGUCAGGUUAACCCCUAUCUGAAUGGUCGUGAUCCAGCUUGGGCCAAUGAACACUUCUAGACUGAAACUCAGGAGAAAAUCUACAAUGAGGUGUUUGUGUUACGAAAGAACAAAUUUGUGAAGAAGCACACGAUCGGCGUUGCACACAUGAGGGCAAAGCUGGAGUAUUUUGGUGAGGCUCUGGCAAUCUGUGAGCAGUUUGGUCUGUUUCCUCUUAUGAAGUUUAACUGUGACUUUGAUGACACUUUGGUAGCUUAGAUCCUUCACUAGUGCAGAACCGGGCAAUAGCACCGGUUCGUAAGGCCCUUUAGUGCCGGUUUGGUAACCGAUGCUAAAGUGUAGGCACUAAAGGUGAAGGAGAUAUGCCCUAGAGGCAAUAAUAAAGUUAUUAUUUAUUUCCUUAUUUCAUGAUAAAUGUUUAUUAUUCAUGCUAGAAUUGUAUUAACCGGAAACAUAAUACUUGUAUGAAUACAUAGACAAACUAAACGUCACUAGUAUGCCUCUACUUGACUAGCUCGUUGAUCGAAGAUGGUUAUGUUUCCUAACCAUAGACAUGUGUUGUCAUUUGAUUAACGAGAUCACAUCAUUAGGAGAAUGAUGUGAUUGACAUGACCCAUUUCGUUAGCUUAGCAUCCGAUCGUUUAGUAUGUUGCUAUUGCUUUCUUCAUGACUUAUACAUGUUUCUAUGACUAUGAGAUUAUGCAACUCCCGUUUGCCGGAGGAACACUUUGUGUGCUACCAAACGUCACAACGUAACUGGGUGAUUAUAAAGGAGCUCUACAGGUGUCUCCAAAGGUACAUGUUGGGUUGGCGUAUUUUGAGAUUAAGAUUUGUCACUACGAUUGUCGGAGAGGUAUCUCUGGGCCCUCUCGGUAAUGCACAUCACAUAAGCCUUGCAAGCAUUACAACUAAUGAGUUAGUUGCAAGAUGAUGUAUUACGAAAUGAGUAAAGAGACUUGCCGGUAACGAGAUUGAACUAGGUAUUGAGAUACCGACGAUCGAAUCUCGGGCAAGUAACAUACCGAUGACAAAGGGAACAACGCAUGUUGUUAUGCGGUCUAACCGAUAAAGAUCUUCGUAGAAUAUGUGGGAGCCAAUAUGAGCAUCCAGGUUCCGCUAUUGGAUAUUGACCGGAGACGUGUCUCGGUCAUGUCUACAUAGUUCUCGAACCCAUAGGGUCCGCACGCUUAAGGUUUUGAUGACAGUUAUAUUAUGAGUUUAUGCAUUUUGAUGUACCGAAGUUUGUUCGGAGUCCCGGAUGUGAUCACGGACAUGGCGAGAAGUCUCGAAAUGGUCGAGACAUAAAGAGUGAUAUAUUUGAAGCCUAUAUUUGGAUAUCAGAAGUGUUCCCGGUGAAAUCGGGAUUUUACCGGAGUACCGGGAGGUUACCGGAACCCCCCGGGAGGUAUAUGGGCCUUAGUGGGCUUUAGUGGAAGAGAGGAGAGGUGGCCAGGGCUGGGCCGCGCGCCCCUCCCCCCUAGUCCGAAUAGGACAAGGAGAGGGGGGCGGCGCCCCCCCCCCCUUCCUUCUCUCUCUCCUCUUUCCCCCUCCCGAAUCCUAUUCCAACUAGGAAAGGGGGGAAUCCUACUCCCGGUGGGAGUAGGACUCCUCCUGGCGCGCCCUCCUCCUGGCCGGCCGCACCUUCCCCUGCUCCUUUAUAUACGGGGGCAGGGGGCACCCCUAGACACACAAGUUGAUCCACGUGAUCAUAUUCUUAGCCGUGUGCGGUGCCCCCUUCCACCAUAAUCCUCGAUAAUAUUGUAGUGGUGCUUAGGCGAAGCCCUACGACGGUAGUACAUCAAGAUCGUCACCACACCGUCGUGCUGACGGAACUCUUCCCCGACACUUUGCUGGAUCGGAGUCCGGGGAUCGUCAUCGAGCUGAACGUGUGCUAGAACUCGGAGGUGCCAUAGUUUCGGUGCUUGAUCGGUCGGGCCCUGAAGACGUACGACUACAUCAACCGCGUCGUGCUAACGCUUCCGCUAUCGGUCUACAAGGGUACGUAGAUCACACUCUCCCCUCUCGUUGCUAUGCAUCACCAUGAUCUUGCGUGUGCGUAGGAAAUUUUUUGAAAUUACUACGUUCCCCAACAGUGGCAUCCGAGCCUAGGUUUUAUGUGUUGAUGUUAUAUGCACGAGUAGAACACAAGUGAGUUGUGGGCGAUAUAAGUCAUACUGCUUACCAGCAUGUCAUACUUUGGUUCGGCGGUAUUGUUGGACGAAGCGGCCCGGACCGACAUUACGCGUACGCUUACGCGAGACCGGUUCUCCCGACGUGCUUUGCACAAAGGUGGCUAGCGGGUGACAGUUUCUCCAACUUUAGUUGAACCGAGUGUGGCUACGCCCGGUCCUUGCGAAGGUUAAAAUAGCACCAACUUGACAAACUAUCAUUGUGGUUUUGAUGCGUAGGUAAGAUUGGUUCUUGCUUAAGCCCGUAGCAGCCACGUAAAACUUGCAACAACAAAGUAGAGGACGUCUAACUUGCUUUUGCACAGCAUGUUGUGAUGUGAUAUGGUCAAGACAUGAUGCUAAAUUUUAUUGUAUGAGAUGAUCAUGUUUUGUAACCGAGUUAUCGGCAACUGGCAGGAGCCAUAUGGUUGUCGCUUUAUUGUAUGCAAUGCAAUCGCGCUGUAAUGCUUUACUUUAUCACUAAGCGGUAGCGAUAGUCGUGGAAGCAUAAGAUUGGCGAGACGACAACGAUGCUACGAUGGAGAUCAAGGUGUCGCGCCGGUGACGAUGGUGAUCAUGAUGGUGCUUCGAAGAUGGAGAUCACAAGCCCAAGAUGAUGAUGGCCAUAUCAUAUCACUUAUAUUGAUUGCAUGUGAUGUUUAUCUUUUAUGCAUCUUAUCUUGCUUUGAUUGACGGUAGCAUUAUAAGAUGAUCUCUCACUAAUUAUCAAGAAGUGUUCUCCCUGAGUAUGCACCGUUGUGAAAGUUCUUCGUGCUGAGACACCACGUGAUGAUCGGGUGUGAUAGGCUCUACAUUCAAAUACAACGGGUGCAAAACAGUUGCACACGCGGAAUACUCAGGUUAUACUUGACGAGCCAAGCAUAUACAGAUAUGGCCUCGGAACACGAAGACCUCAUAUAGUAGAUAUGAUCAAUAUAGUGAUGUUCACCAAUGAAACUACUCCAUCUCACGUGAUGAUCGGACAUGGUUUAGUUGAUUUGGAUCAUGUGAUCACUUAGAGGAUUAGAGGGAUGUCUAUCUAAGUGGGAGUUCUUAAGUAAUAUGAUUAAUUGAACUUUAAUUUAUCAUGAACUUAGUCCUGGUAGUAUUAGCAUAUCUGUGUUGUAGAUCAAUAGCUCGCGUUGUUGCUUUCAUAUGUUUAUUUUGAUAUGUUCCUAGAGAAAAUUGUGUUGAAAGAUGUUAGUAGCAAUGAUGCGGAUUGGAUAUGUAAUCUGAGGUUUAUCCUCAUUGCUGCACAGAAGAAUUAUAUCCUUGAUGCACCGCUAGGUGACAGACCUAUUACAGGAGCAGAUGCAGACGUUAUGAACGUUUGGCUAGCUCAAUAUGAUGACUACUUGAUAGUUUAGUGCACCAUGCUUAACGGCUUAGAAUUGGGACUUCAAAGACGUUUUGAACAUCAUGGACCAUAUGAGAUGUUCCAGCAGUUGAAGUUAAUAUUUCAAGCAAAUACCCGAGUUGAGAGAUAUGAAGUCUCCAACAAGUUCUAUAGCUAAAAGAUGGGGGAGAAUCGCUCAACUAGUGAGCAUGUGCUCAGAUUGUCUGGGUACUACAAUCGCUUGAAUCAAGUGGGAGUUAAUCUUCCAGAUAAGAUAGUGAUUGAAAGAAUUCUCUAGUCACCAUCACCAAGUUAGUAGAACUUCGUGAUGAACUAUAGUAUGCAAGGGAUGAAGAAAAUGACUCCCAAGCUUUUCACGAUGAUGAAAUUGAUGAAGGUAGAAAUCAAGAAAGAGCAUCAAGUGUUGAUGGUUGACAAGAUCAUUAGUUUCAAGAAAAGGGCAAAGGAAAAAAGGGGAACUUCAAGAAGAACAGCAAGUAAGUUGCUGCUCAAGUGAAGAAGCCCAAGUCUGGUCCUAAGCCUGAGACUAAGUGCUUCUACUGCAAAGGGACUGGUCACUGGAAGCGGAACUACCCCAAGUGAUUGGCGGAUAAGAAGGAUGGCAAAGUGAACAUAAGUAUAUUUGAUAUACAUGUUAUUGAUGUGUACUUUACUAGUGUUUAUAGCAACCCCUAAGUAUGUGAUACUAGUUCAAUUGCUAAGAUUAGUAACUCGAAAUGGGAGUUGCAGAAUAAACAGAGACUAGUUAAGGGUGAAGUGACAAUGUGUGUUGGAAGUGGUUCCAAGAUUGAUAUGAUCAUCAUCGCACACUCCCUAUACUUUCGGGAUUAGUGUUGAACCUAAAUAAGUGUUAUUUGGUGUUUGCGUUGAGCAUGAAUAUGAUUUGAUCAUGUUUAUUGUAAUACGGUUAUUCAUUUAAGUAAGAGAAUAAAUUGUUGUUCUGUUUACAUGAAUAAAACCUUAUAUGGUUACACACCCAAUGAAAAUAGUUCGUUGGAUCUCGAUCGUAGUGAUACACAUAUUCAUAAUAUUGAAACCAAAAGAUGCAAAGUUAAUAAUGAUAGUGCAACUUAUUUGUGGCACUGCCGUUUAGGUCAUAUUGGUGUAAAGCGCAUGAAGAAACUCCAUGAUGAUGGGCUUUUGGAAUCACUUGAUUAUGAAUCAGUUGAUGCUUGCGAGCCAUGCCUCAUGGGCAAGAUGACUAAGCUCCGUUCUCCGGAACAAUGGAUCGAGCAACAGAUUUGUUGGAAAUCAUACAUACUGAUGUAUGUGGUCCGAUGAAUAUUGAGACUCACGGCAGGUAUCAUUAUUUUCUGAUCUUCACAAAUGAUUUGAACAGAUAUGAGUAUAUCUACUUGAUGAAACACAAGUCUGAAACAUUUAAAAAGUUCAAAGAAUUUCAGAGUGAAGUGGAGAAUCAUCGUAACAAAAAAAAAGUUUCUACGAUAUGAUCGCAGAAGUAAAAUCUUUGAGUUACGAGUUUGGCCUUCAGUUAAAAACAAUGUGAAAUAGUUUCACUACUCACGCCACCUCGAACACCACAAUGUAAUGGUGUGUCCGAACGUCGUAAUUGUACUUUAUUAGAUAUGGUGCAAUCUAUGAUGUUUCUUACCGAUUUACCACUAUAGUUUUGGGGUUAUGCAUUAGAGACAGCUACAUUCACAUUAAAUAGGGCACCAUCUAAAUCCGUUGAGACGACACCGUAUGAACUAUGGUUUGGCAAGAAACCUAAGCUGUCAUUUCUUAAAGUUUGAGGUUGCAAUGCUUAUGUGAAAAGGUUUCAACCUGAUAAGCUCAAACCCAAAUCGAAGAAGUGCAUCUUCAUAGGAUACCCAAAAGAAAAUGUUGGGUACACCUUCUAUCACAGAUCCGAAGGCAAGAUAUUCAUUGCUGAGAAUGGAUCCUUUCUAGAGAAGGAGUUUCUCUCGAAAGAAGUGAGUGGGAGGAAAGUAGAACUUGAUGAGGUAACUGUACCUGCUCCCUUAUUGGAAAGUAGUUCAUCACAGAAAUAUGUUCCUGUGACUACUACACCAAUUAGUGAGGAAGCUAAUGAUGAUGAUCAUGUAACUUCAGAUCAAGUUACUACCGAACCUCGUAGGUAAACCAGAGUGAGAUCUGCACCAGAGUGGUACGGUAAUCCUGUUCUGGAGGUCAUGUUACUUGACCAUGACGAACCUACGAACUAUGAGGAAGCGAUGAUGAGCCCAGAUUCCACAAAAUGGUUUAAGGCCAUGAAAUCUGAGAUAGGAUCCAUGUAUGAGAACAAAGUAUGGACUUUGGUUGACUUGCCCGAUGUUCGGCAAGCCAUUGAAAUUAAAUGGACCUUCAAGAGGAAGACGGAUGCUGAUAGUAGUGUUACUAUCUACAAAGCUAGAAUUGUCGCAAAAAGGUUUUCGACAAGUUCAAGGUGUUGACUACAAUGAGAGUUUCUCACUCGUAUCUAUGCUUAAGUCUGUCUGAAUCAUGUUAGCAAUUGGCGCAUUUUAUGAAAUCUGGCAAAUGGAUAAACAAAACUGCAUUCCUUAAUGGAUUUAUUAAAGAAGAGUUGUAUAUGAUGCAACCAGAAGGUUUUGUCAAUCCCAAAGGUGCUAACAAAAUGUGCAAGCUCCAGCGAUCCAUCUAUGGACUGGUGCAAGCAUCUCAGAGUUGGAAUAUGCGCUUUGAUGAGAUGAUCAAAGCAUAUAGUUUUAUACAGACUUGCGGUGAAGCCUGUAUUUACAAGAAAGUGAGUGGGAGCACUACAGCAUUUCUGAUAAGUAUAUGUGAAUGACAUAUUGUUGAUCGGAAAUAAUGUAGAAUUAUUCUGCAAAGCAUAAAGGAGUUUUUUGAAAGAAGUUUUUCAAAGAAAGACCUUGGUGAAGCUGCUUACAUAUUGAGCAUCAAGAUCUAUAGAGAUAGAUCAAGAUGCUUGAUAAGUUUUUUCAAUGAGUACAUACCUUGACAAGAUUUUGAAGUAGUUCAAAAUGGAACAGUCAAAGAAAGAGUUAUUGCCUGUGUAACAAGGUGUGAAAUUGAGUAAGACUCAAAACCCGACCACGGCAGAAGAUAGAAAGAGUGUGGAAGUCAUUCCCUAUGCCUCAAUCAUAGGUUCUAUAAAGUAUGCCAUGUUGUGUACCUAUUGUAUACCGUACAAUGUUUUUGGCAAGGGAGUACAAUAGUGAUCUAGGAGUAGAUCACUGGACAGCGGUCAAAAUUAUCCUUAGUGGAAUAAGGAAAUAUUUCUCAAUUAUGGUGGUGACAAAAGGUUCGUCGUAAAGAGUUACGUCGAUGCAAGCUUUGACACGGAUCUGGAUGACUCUAAGUCUCAAUCUAGAUACAUAUUGUAAGUGGGAGCAAUUAGCUAGAGUAGCUCCAUGCAGAGCAUUGUUGACAUAGAUAUUUGCAAAAUACUUACAGAUCUGAUUAUGACAGACCCGUUGACUAAAAUUAUCUCACAAGCAAAACAUGAUCACACCUUAGUACUCUUUGGGUGUUAAUCACAUAGCGAUGUGAACUAGAUUACUGACUCUAGUAAACCCUUGGGUGUUGAUCACAUAUCGAUGUGAACUAUGGGUGUUAACCACAUAAAGAUGUGAACUAUUGAUGUUAGAUCACAUGGCGAUGUGAACUAGAUUAUUGACUCUAGUGCAAGUGGGAGACUGAAGGAAAUAUGCCCUAGAGGCAAUAAUAAAGUUAUUAUUUAUUUCCUUAUUUCAUGAUAAAUGUUUAUUAUUCAUGCUAGAAUUGUAUUAACCGGAAACAUAAUACUUGUAUGAAUACAUAGACAAACUAAACGUCACUAGUAUGCCUCUACUUGACUAGCUCGUUGAUCGAAGAUGGUUAUGUUUCCUAACCAUAGACAUGUGCUGUCAUUUGAUUAACGGGAUCACAUCAUUAGGAGAAUGAUGUGAUUGACAUGACCCAUUUCAUUAGCUUAGCACCCGGUCAUUUAGUAUGUUGCUAUUGCUUUCUUCAUGACUUAUACAUGUUCCUAUGACUAUGAGAUUAUGCAACUCCCGUUUGCCGGAGGAACACUUUGUGUGCUACCAAACGUCACAACGUAACUGGGUGAUUAUAAAGGAGCUCUACAGGUGUCUCCAAAGGUACAUGUUGGGUUGGCGUAUUUCGAGAUUAGGAUUUGUCACUCCGAUUGUCGGAGAGGUAUCUCUGGGCCCUCUCGGUAAUGCACAUCACAUAAGCCUUGCAAGCAUUACAACUAAUGAGUUAGUUGCAACAUGAUGUAUUACAAAACGAGUAAAGAGACUUGCCGGUAACGAGAUUGAACUAGGUAUUGAGAUACCGACGAUCGAAUCUCAGGCAAGUAACAUACCGAUGACAAAGGGAACAACGUAUGUUGUUAUGCGGUCUGACCGAUAAAGAUCUUCGUAGAAUAUGUGGGAGCCAAUAUGAGCAUCCAGGUUCCGCUAUUGGUUAUUUACCGGAGACGUGUCUCGGUCAUGUCUACAUUGUUCUCGAACCCGUAGGGUCUGCACGCUUAAGGUUUUGAUGACAGUUAUAUUAUGAGUUUAUGCAUUUUGAUGUACCGAAGUUUGUUCGGAGUCCCGGAUGUGAUCACGGACAUGACGAGGAGUCUCGAAAUGGUCGAGACAUAAAGAUUGAUAUAUUGGAAGCCUAUAUUUGGAUAUCAGAAGUGUUCCCGGUGAAAUCGGGAUUUUACCGGAGUACCGGGAGGUUACCGGAACCCCCCAGGAGGUAUAUGGGCCUUAGUGGGCUUUAGUGGAAGAGAGGAGAGGUGGCCAGGGCUGGGCCGCGCGCCCCUCCCCCCUAGUCCGAAUAGGACAAGGAGAGGGGGCGGCGCCCCCCCCCCCCUUCCUUCUCUCUCUCCUCUUUCCCCCUCCCGAAUCAUAUUCCAACUAGGAAAGGGGGGAAUCCUACUCCCGGUGGGAGUAGGACUCCUCCUGGCGCGCCCUCCUCCUGGCCGGCCGCACCUUCCCCUGCUCCUUUAUAUACGGGGCAGGGGGCACCCCUAGACACACAAGUUGAUCCACACGAUCAUAUUCUUAGCCGUGUGCGGUGCCCCCUUCCACCAUAAUCCUCGAUAAUAUUGUAGCGGUGCUUAGGCGAAGCCCUGCGACGGUAUGAAAGAACAUGCGGUGCCCCCAUGUUUGGUUUUGGAAAUUGAUGACAAUCUCUAUGGACUAAUGGUUGCCUUGAGUUAUAUUUGAAGGUUUUGUCCAUAGGCUUUUCUUGGAGUACAUGUGUUGGUUUCAAGAAAAGUUUGUGUCGACCAAGGUGCUAUUCAAGGAAUUAUCCAAAGAUUGGUCAUUUGAGAGUUGAGCUUAUUGCAAGCAUGUCUUGAAGAAGAAGAUUGUGUACGAAGAGAGUUGGGAAGAUUCAAGGUUGAUCAAGACUAAGUCAAGAGUGAAUCAAGUUGAUCAACUCACAAAGCAUAGAAGAUGUACCGAGAGGGAUCAAGUGAUCCCAUGGUUUGGUAAGCAUUGUCCAUUGUGCUUUGUGUACUAACCCAUGGUCUAUGUGAGAGUUCUACGUGGGGUUAGGUACAUGUUCAUGGGCUUGUGUCAAGAGGAAGAUAUCUCUCAACCCAUGGAGAGGAUGACAUCAAGUGGUGAUCGUCAUCAAGAUUGCCGUGUGCAAGUUCAAGUGGAUCAUCGCGAAGAGAUCAAGUGCUUGAAGCUUGCCGGCCAUUGUGGUGACAAUGGACUUGUGAAGAUGUGCCGAAGAGUGGCUCAUCCAUAGUGGUCUAUGGGGGAGCAAUCAUCUAGUCUUCAUCGUGCCAACACAAUCAAGAAAGGUGGUCCAACUUGAGGAAGUCAAGAUCGUCAUCAUCUAGCUCAAGUGGACCAUGUGCAAGGCAAAGGUUUGCCCUUGAUAGGUUUUCUAUUUUACCGGUCUCAUGAUGGUAGUUGGGAGACCGGGUUAUAGGAUCGAUUGCCGUACUAUCAAGGGGGCUCUCGAUGAGUAGCUUGAUCGUAUCGUUCGUAGAGAGCUCAAACCAUUGCAUCCUUGCAUCAUCUUUCUUGGUUCUUGUUUGUUUCUCUUUGUGAGUCUUAGAGCUUAUGGCCAUCUUGAUGACAAGCUUGAGUUCAUCGAAAAUGGAGUUCGCAUGCUUCUUCUAUGAUGUUUUCGAUGUUGGAGGUUUUGCCGGUUCUUCUCGGUUGGAGGUUUCACUCCUCUAUUUGUUGGCAUUCCUCCCCUGCCUCUUCUUACUAUAACCGGUUCUUCUCGGUUGGAGGUUUCACUCGCUGUUGGAGGUUUCACUCGCUGUUUUGAUGCUACUCGUCGUCUUGUUUUCAACAAGCUUGAGUUUGCUCAAUUCGGAGCUCAUAUGCAGAAGUUAUGGCAGUUCUGAUUUUCUUGAGUGUGGCUUUUGUCAGGGUCCGAGCGGUAGUACCGUGGUACCCAGCGGUAGUACCGCUGAGGAGUCACAAGCGGCAGUACCGCUCCGCAGCGGUAGUACCGCGGGCCACAGCGGUAGUACCGCUUAAGCUCACUAAGCGGUAGUACCACUCCUCGGAGCGGUAGUGCCGCUUGAUGGUCUCAGCAGUAGUACCGUUGCGGCUCCAUGCUCCUACCGCCUCGACUCGAGUGCGCUUUUUCUCGUGUCGGGUUUUGCGGCACUUGCUGCGGUAGUAGUGGCGGUAGUACCGCUUAUUAGCGGUAGUACCGCCCUGCCUCCACGGUAGUACCGCUCUGGGUCCCAGCCCCAACCCCUUUUCUUCUGGCGCGGCAGUACCGCUGAAGGGGAGCGGUAGUACCGCUUAUGAGCGGUAGUACCGCCCUGCCUCCGUGGUAGUACCGCUCUCUGCGGGGCUGAGUGGGGGAUAACGGUUGGAUUUUCCCCCUCCUAUAAAAGGGGGUCUUCUUCCCCUUUGAACCUUAUCCUUUGAGCUCGUGUUCUUCCCCCAUUAUUGACCUUCUUCGAGCUUGCUAAACUCUCAAUCCCUCCAUGGAUUCUUGCUAGUUUUUGAGGGAAAAGAGAGAGGAGAUCUAGAUCCACAUUUCCACCAAUCACUUUCUCAUCUAUGUGAGGGGAACCCCUUGGAUCUAGAUCUUGGAGUUCUUGGUGUUCUCUUUCUUGUUCUUCCUCUCAUUUUCCUCCCUAGCAUUAGUUGCUUCGGUGGGAUUUGAGAGAGAAGGACUUGGGCACUCCGUGUGCCCUUGCCAUUGCAUUUGGUGCAUCGGUUUGAGUUCUCCACGUGAUACGUGGAAGUUACAAGUUGAGAAGCUUAUUACUCUUGGGUGCUUGGUACCCUUGAGCUUGUUCCUCUUGGGUGCUUGGGCUCCCUAGACGGUUGUUGGUGUUCGGAGCUCAAUCAUUGUGGUGCAAAGCUCCGGGCAAGCGUCGGGGUCUCCAAUUAGGUUGUGGAGAUCGCCCCGAGCAAUUUGACGGGUACCGGUGACCGCCCCCAAGGGUUGCCAAAGUGUACGGGUUCGGUGACCGCCCCCAAGGGUUGCCAUCUGUACGGGUUCGGUGACCGCCCUCAAGGGUCCCUUAGUGGAAUCACGACAUCUUUCAUUGUGCGAGAGCGUGAGGAGAUUACGGUGGCCCUAGUGGCUUCUUGGGGAGCAUUGUGCCUCCACACCGCUCCAAACGGAGAUUAGCAUCCGCAAGGGUGUGAACUUCGGGAUACAUCAUCGUCUCCUCGUGCCUCGGUUAUCUCUUACCCGAGCCCUUUACUUAUGCACUUUACUUUGUGAUAGCCAUAUUGUUUCUUGUCAUAUAUCUUGCUAUCACAUAGUUGCUUAUCUUUCUUAGCAUAAGUUGUUGGUGCACAUAGGUGAGCCUAGUUGUUUUAGGCUUUGUGCUUGGCAAAUUAACCGCUAGGUUUAUUCCGCAUUUGUUCAAACCUAAACCGUAAUUAUUUUAAAACGCCUAUUCACCCCCCCCCCUCUAGGCGACAUCCACGAUCUUUCACGGUAGUACAUCAAGAUUGUCACCACACCGUCGUGCUGACGGAACUCUUCCCCGACACUUUGCUGGAUCGGAGUCCGGGGAUCGUCAUCGAGCUGAAUGUGUGCUAGAACUCGGAGGUGCCGUAGUUUCGGUGCUUGAUCGGUCGGGCCGUGAAGACGUAUGACUACAUCAACCGCGUUGUGCUAACGCUUCCGCUGUCGGUCUACAAGGGUACGUAGAUCACACUCUCCCCUCUCGUUGCUAUGCAUCACCAUGAUCUUGCGUGUGCGUAGGAAAUUUUUUGAAAUUACUACGUUCCCCAACAAAAGUCCCCCCUCCCUUUAGUACCGGUUCAGCACGAACCGGUGCUAAAGGGCAACCACGUGGCACGAGCCAGCUUCGGGGGCAGGGAUCCCUUUAGUACCGGUUGGUGUCACCAACCGGUAUUAAAAGGUUGGGAGGUUUUGGGUUUAUGAUUUCUUUUACAUUUAAUUUUGUGUUUUCCAUUUAAUUAUUUUUCAUUUGCUGGUAUUUUACGAUACUACAUAUUGUACACGUUAUGCAUAUAUAUAAAUAGAAUUUCUAGUAGAACCGAUCAUNNNNNNNNNNNNNNNNNNNNNNNNNNNNNNNNNNNNNNNNNNNNNNNNNNNNNNNNNNNNNNNNNNNNNNNNNNNNNNNNNNNNNNNNNNNNNNNNNNNNNNNNNNNNNNNNNNNNNNNNNNNNNNNNNNNNNNNNNNNNNNNNNNNNNNNNNNNNNNNNNNNNNNNNNNNNNNNNNNNNNNNNNNNNNNNNNNNNNNNNNNNNNNNNNNNNNNNNNNNNNNNNNNNNNNNNNNNNNNNNNNNNNNNNNNNNNNNNNNNNNNNNNNNNNNNNNNNNNNNNNNNNNNNNNNNNNNNNNNNNNNNNNNNNNNNNNNNNNNNNNNNNNNNNNNNNNNNNNNNNNNNNNNNNNNNNNNNNNNNNNNNNNNNNNNNNNNNNNNNNNNNNNNNNNNNNNNNNNNNNNNNNNNNNNNNNNNNNNNNNNNNNNNNNNNNNNNNNNNNNNNNNNNNNNNNNNNNNNNNNNNNNNNNNNNNNNNNNNNNNNNNNNNNNNNNNNNNNNNNNNNNNNNNNNNNNNNNNNNNNNNNNNNNNNNNNNNNNNNNNNNNNNNNNNNNNNNNNNNNNNNNNNNNNNNNNNNNNNNNNNNNNNNNNNNNNNNNNNNNNNNNNNNNGUAUUCUCCUUUGGGAUCUAUGACCUGGUCGAGCAAAAAUCCCGCUAUUUCCUCUUGAAUUGCUUCUAUGCGGUCCUGUGCUAGGAGCUUGUCCCGCACCUCUUUGAACUGUUAAGAAGGAGAUCAAUAUGCAUGUGUAUUAGUUGUGUGACUAGAUAUCGAUAAUGGUGUAAAAAUUGUGAAUAGUGUUCUGACAAUCGAUAUCGUACCCACUCCUGUCUUUGAGAUUUGCUCCUUUUGGACGCCAUCAUGCGAAUGUUCUCGCAAACGUAGUAUGCACAUAGAUCAUUCCCUGGCGCCUGCUUCAGGGCCUUUACGAGAAUGGAAUUUGAUCAGAUAAUAAUUAAUCAAGCAUGAUAGUUAAAGAGAUGGCAGCUAGCUAGUACUACUAAAUUACUUACCUUGGGUCGAUACCAUUUCAGAUUUUGUUUCCAUGGGCCUGGAGUGGCCCUGAUGAACUUUGCCCAAGCCCUGCCCGCCGACAAAGAAAAUGAAUAAAUGGUUUAUUAAAUAGUUGUUAUCGGGAAAUGACAAACUAAUUAAAUAGGCCGAGAUAUAGUUAAUAAUGAUUGAAAUUACCUGUUGACUAUCCCCUUCACGAUGGUGUAGUCACUUGCUUUCUUAAGUAGUGAGUCUAGUACUUCAACUGUUCCUUCAUCAACUUUAAUGAUUAACAAGAUCCAGUGAAAUCUGCAUGCACACAUGUUUGCAUGUCUUAAUUAAGCGGGCAUAUGUAAGCAAAAACAUGUAGCUAGCUAGUAGGGAAAAACAGAAUUUGUAGUACAAGACAGUGUGACUCACUGGAAGUUGUAAGGAAGUAGUAUAUCUUCAUUGUAUUUGAGGUCCUUGAAGAACUCUAGCAUGCUUUCCUCUACACUUUUUUCAUGAUAUGGAUCUAUUUUCCAUGUGUAUUCAUUAAUGGUAUUUGGGUCAACGAACCCAAUGCCAUAGCGUCCACCUUUUUUCAUUUCAUAAAUCUUCAUCCUGCAUAAUACCACAGAAAAGAAUAUAGUGAGGAUAAUUACAGGUAAUGAUUGAUCAAAAUGAUCACUACAGCUAGCUUGAGACUUAAAUUACAGAAAGAAAUCACUUACAGACAAUAGAAACUGACGAUAGAUUUGUCGAGUGCGUCUUGAUUGUAUAGCUGAAAUAGUUCUGAAUACUCAACGGUCACAGCUUUCUCAUGGUAGUAAUGAUCCUUGUUGACAUUCACCAUGAGGGACUCUCGAUUGGAAAUCUUCGUAAUGUCCAUGUACCAUUGAUGCAAUUCAUACAUUCUCGUUGGGAGCUUAUUGACCUCCUCUGGCUCGACCAAAGGUUGGCCCCGGACAUAUUUCCGUUUUAUUUCCUCCUCUCUAGUCGGAGACAUGGGCUCGAUAUCAAGGAGUUGUCCAACAGUGAUCCCGAUCGAUUCAGCCUGCGCAAUAUGCUCCUCGGUUAUUACCACAUCGCCCACCCCGGGAACGUUAACGGUUUGCCCACAAUAAUAUUGGGUGUGCCUAGUCUCAUGUGUUGUUGGCACAACAAGCGGGGGGAUUGAUUGCGCCGCCUAUUCUCCCAGCCGGGGAACGGUUUUACCGCUCCUUUUGCCAGCUGAUUUGCUCGAGCUCGAGCUCGCCUCUUUCUGUAGACGUGCUCGAUUUAACUUCUUGAUGUGGUGCUCAUAGUCUGUGUCAACAGGCUUGGGAGCUGUUGCUCUAGCCAUACGAAUGAAGUGGUCAAUCUUUUCCACAGGCACUUUCUCCCUUGGCGGCGGUGGCGGUUUCAGUGCAAAAUGGGCUUCCACCUCGGCCUUCGAUAUGGCUACGUUUUCCUCCUCGGACUUGUCGUAAGGCCUCUGCGGAAGAGGCGCAAGGCUUGGACCAUAUUGAAAUCGCUUGCCUCCGCCUGUACCUCCAGUACUACCUUGACUUGUACCGCUACGCACCAUAGCUGAGGCAGCUCUCUUCCAUGAUUGCUGAGGCGGCGAAGACGGCUGAUGUGGCUGAGUUGGAGGAGGAGGAGUGGCCUGAAGCUAUGCCGGACUUGGAGGAGGAGUGGCCUGAAGCUGUGCCGGACUUGGAGGAGGAGUGGCCUGAAGUUGUGCCGGACUUGGAGGAGGAGGAGUGGCCUGAAGCUGUGCCAGACUUGGAGGAGGAGUGACCUGACGCGUUGGUGGACUUGGAGGAGCGGGAGUCUGCUGACUCGGUGGCGGACUACGACGAGGAGUCGGAUGACACGGUGUCGAUGGCCUACGAAAGAUGAUGCAAUCCUUUCUCCAUAGGAUGAUACGAUGGUUGGCCUCUCCUAGUGUGUGCUCAUCGUCACCUCCAGGAAUGUCAAGCUCCAGCCCCGAAUAUUGGUCCACCACCUCAUCAACCAAGACACGAGCAUAGCCCGCUGGAAUCAGGUUGCAAUGGAAGGUUGCCUCCGGGGGAUUUGUAAAAGCAAGGUCGUCCGCCACCUUCAUGGAUAUGUUCUUCAUUUUGAAGUGUAGCUCGCAGUUAGUGUUCUCCGUGAUGUCAUCCACUGGGUACCUAUCCAGCAAUGCGUCGCCCGGGGCGGAACCCACGCUGCUUCUCGGCAUGGAUGGGAUGGUGCUAUCCAAUGGUGGAUCAUCCGCUAGCUGCUGAGACCCCCUUUGCUGGCUAAGUGAGUCGAUCUGCUCCUGCUGCCGCUGGAAUUUGACUGCCAAGUCCGCGUGUGCUGAUUCUAGGCCUUGAAGGCGUUCAUAGUCUAGCUUCCUCUGCUCCUCCUCCAUCUUCCUCUUCUUCUCCUCCGCAAUCUUCUUUCUCCACGGGUUCUGUAGUCGGUGUUCCAGUCUGGAAACCCCUCAUACCACGGAAUAGCGCCCAUGCCUCAUGUUCAGGAUUUUCCAGGGCACGCGUAAGCUCGUCGUUCUCUCUGUUGGGCUCAAACAACCCCGAUCGAGCCUCUUCUAUUGCAACAAGUAGCUUAUCUUCGGCUCCGUCCAGACAUGCCUUCUUCGAAACUUUGCCUGUCUUCGGGUCCAACUCCCCCCCAUGCGCAUAGAACCAAGUCCUGCACCUGGGGGGCCAUCUCAAUGUUUUUGGAGUGACACCUGCAUCCAGCAUCUCUUUCUCAGACUUAUCCCACUUAGGCAUUCCCACCGCAUAGCCACCUGGCUCCAGCUUAUGGAACUUAUCCUUUUUUGCGGCAUUGGCCUUGUUUAUUCUCGACCGUUCCUUAGAUAAUUCUGAAUCCUUGAAUUUCACGAAAUCGUCCCAAUGAGCACUUUGCUUCUCUAGUGUUCCCUCAAAUACUGGAGUCUUCCUUCCCCCGUUGACAUACUUGGCCCAUUCACAAAUCUUGUGGUUCUUGAAUGCAACCGCCAUCUUCCUAAGAGUAGCGUCCUUGACUUUCUCCACAUCUGCAUUUAUGAAAUGAUCUGGUAGGGUGAAAUGUUCCAUGAGCGUUUCCCAAAGCAGAAGCUUUUGUCUGUCGUCGACAAAAGUAACUCCUAGACGUGGCUUUGCUGGCUCUCUCCAUUCUUGAAGGGAGAUCGGGAGUUGGUCCUUCACAAGAACUCCGCACUGACGAAUGAACUUGUCUGCAAUCUUCUUAGGCGCUAAUGGUUCGCCAUUAGGUCUGAUGGCCUCGAUAUUGUACUUUACGCCCUCCUUCAACUUUUUGUUCGGGCCACGUUUCCUGUUGCCUAAAGAUUUGCUCGAUCCGGAUGGCUGAAAGAAGAAAGAUCGAUUCGUUAAUAUAUCUUCAAGUCAUUUAAAACAUGUGAUGAUCACCAGAUGCCUGCUUAUAUAAAUAUAUAUACCUUGCCGGUCUUUGUUGUUUCAAGAUCAACAUUUUCUUCGUCAUGUUCAUAGUUCAUGACUUCAUCAAUUCGGUCGUCGUGAUCGAAUAUCAUAUCACCCUCCCCGGUGUUGUUUAGAUAUUCGGAGCCGUCAUAAUCUUCUUCAUUCUGAUCAUCAUCUGGCCCGCGAGGAUUGCGUAUGAUAUUGAACGGGGCCUCUUCUCCCUCUCUGCCGGUAUUGUCCGCCAUAGGUUUUGUUUAACUAAUCCAAAAGAAAUAUAUUCAAAUUACAAUGCAUGGAUGCAAUCAAUUAAUAAGGAAAAACUGAAUCAAUCAUAGUACAUAAUAAGCAUCAUCGCAUAUAAUCUCGAAUACGUCGUCUCGAAUAAUAGAUAUAAUCUCGAAUACAUUGUCUCGAAUAAUAGAUAUAAUAUCGAAUACAUCACUAGCUAGCUAGCAAGCAAGCUAAUAAAGAUCGAAUACUACAGAGUAAUCUAGGCCACUCGCGGUUCCUGAGGUGCGGGCGGUGGACACCCAAAGAGAAGGAACCAUCACUGGAUCAUAGCUCGGGUGAUCUUCCAAAAGAACCUGCCAGGUAUUGGAGAACCUGACGUCCAUAGCAGCCAUGUAGCGAUGGACGUGCUCGUCCUCCUCCCUGACACGGCGAAGUACCACCUCUGGCGGGGUCGGCUCCCUCCGCACCGAAAGUGGCCCACGCGAACGCCACCAAAGGAGAUGAGGGUCGACGACGGGACCCGGGGCCGGGUUCCUCACCAAGCAUCGUGCCCCUGAAGGUAGCACCUCCCAGUGCCAGCCCGGCGGAGCCCAGUUCCUCACCAAGCAUCGCGCCCCUGAAGGUAGCACCUCCCAGUGCCAGCCCGGUGGAGCCCAGUCCCGGACAUGGGUCCUCUGAAGCAGGACAUCGUCGCGAACGGGUCGACGGCGAGGAUGCGGGCCGGGCGUCGUCGACAACAAAUACUAUAUGCCGCAAAAGUAAAGUAAUAUUUUUUAAAUGAUAGAUUGUGAUUUCAUAUAUGCAAAUUCUAAAUUUUAUAACUAAAACUAACAUUUCUAAUAUUUCUAUAACUAAAACUAACAUUUCUAAUAUUUCUAUAACUAGAAAACAUUUCUAUAUAACUAACAUUUCUAAUAUUUCUAUAUAACUAACAUUUCUAUAUAACUAACAUUUCUAUAACUAAAACUAACAUUUCUAAUAAUUCUAUAACUAAAAAACAGAAAGAUUGCUAACAAUUCUAUAACAAUGUGUGUGUGCGUGGUUGGCGGCCGGGGCACAGGAGCUCACCGGCGAGGCGCGACGACGGUGGGCGGCGACGGGGACGGGGACGGGGACGGAGACGGGGCAGAGACGAUGGGGAUGGGGCGGCGACGACGGGGACGGGGACGGGCCGGGCGGGGAUGACGUACGGGAGGACGGGGCGGGGCGCGGCGCAGCGACGGGGACGACGGGGACGGCGACGGCGACGGACGGCGACGGCGACGGACGGCGACGGGGACGGUGAUGGAAGGUGACAAGGGGCGGCGGCGACGGGGCAGAGGAGAAAGAAGCAGGGAGAGAUGAGAAACUGACAAUUUUUUGAAGUGUUUUCUUAUAUAGGACAACCUUUAGUACCGGUUAGAGCCACCAACCGGUACUAAAGGUCUGUUUUGGCCAGGCCAAGCGGCGGGAACGGCACCCCUUUAGUACCAUAUGAUGGCUCCAACCGGUACUAAAGACCCCCCUCCCUUUACUACCGGUUGGAGCCACGACCCGGUACUAAAGGGUGUGCGCUGCCAGGCGAGGGGCGCAAAAGUUUAGUCCCACUUCGCUAGCCGAGGGGCGCUCGCACCUGCUUAUAAGCCCCGUCAUCGUUGCUGUCUCGAGCUCCUCUCUUAAGCAGGCCUUCUGGGCCUACCUCUUCUGCGAUGCCCUGUUGGGCCUACUGGGCUAGCGGGCCUGCAUCCUGGCCCAACUAGAAUUUGGGUUUCUAGUCGUAUGCAGGCCGUUAUGGCCCAGUAGGUGGGCUUUUUUUGCUUUAUAUAUUUUUGUUUUAUUUAUUUUAGAGUUGUUUUUACUGCAUUUAGAGUUUGUUUGUGAAUAUUUUUGCUUUAGGUACAAAAAAUUACAAACUUUCUGUUAGUACCGGUAGUUUACAAAUUUGAAUAGUUUAAAUUUUGAAUUAUUUGAAAUUUGUGUGAAUGACUAGUUUGUGAAUAACUUAACUUUGAAAAUAGAUUUUUCAGUGAUUCUUUUUUCUUAUGUUUAAUAUUAGUGUGUUUUAUCAUUAUAUUCAAUUUGGUAAUGCUUAGGUUAUUUAAAAAUGAAAUGCCUUUGUAACGGAUGAGUUUUCAUCUGAAACCCUGAUACUUCGAAAGAGAUUGUCCAUUUUGUACACGAAGUGCAUCCAGUUUUUGCGGUAACCCUCUCUACUUUUUUGCACAUGCUAUGUGGGUGAAAUUAUGAUACCAUGCCAACUUUCAACCUUUUCUGAGUUUAUUUGAAAUGCUUUUCAAUUUCAGGGUCAUUUAGCUGAAAAAAAUCAGUAAAUGCAUGAAAGAAUUUGCUUGCACAUAAAAUUUCUUCGCGUUUCAAAUGCCAAAACAUAUAACUAGCUACCCUAACUAUUACAGAGACUCCCUCCUGGGUGUGGAACACUAAAGAAAGUGAUGAUAGUGAAGCCGAUCACAUCCCAGAUAUUUGGGUGUGAAACUUUUUCUUCGCGUGUGUCCCUUUCCGCCGUAGCCAUGGAAAAUCUUCAUCAUUUAACUGGAUGCUCGGGUCAAUAUUCACUGUGAAUGGAGCAAUUUCAUCAAACUUUUCAUAAUCUCCUGACAUUUCUGUCUUGUCAUCCACUCCCACGAUGUUUCUCUUCCCAGAAAGAACUACGUGCCGCUUUGGCUCAACGUACGAUGCAUUCGCUUCCUUAUCUUUUCUUUUUCUCGGCUUGGUAGACAUGUCCUUCACAUAGAAAACCUGUGCCACAUCAUUGGCUAGGACGAAUGGUUCAUCUGCAUACGCAAGAUUGUUGAGAUCCACUGUUGUCAUUCCGUACUGCGGGUCUUCCAUUACCCCGCCUCGUGUCAUAUUGACCCAUUUGCACCGAAACAAAGGGACCUUCAAACCACGUCGAUAGUCAAGUUCCCAUAUGUCCUAUAUAUAACCAUAAUAUGUUUCCUUUCCCAUCUUGGUUUCUACAUCAAAGCGGACACCACUGUUUUGGUUGGUGCUCUUCUUAUCUUGGGCGAUCGUGUAAAAUGUAUUACCAUUUAUCUCGUACCCUUUGAAAGUCAUUAUAUUCGAAGAUGGUAACUGGGACAGUAAGUACAGGUCAUCUUCAAUAGAGGCGUCAUGCAUGGUACGUGUCUGCAACCAGCUGGCGAAACUCCUGGUUUGUUCACGUGUAAUCCAGUCAUCAGACUGCUCCGGGUGUUUGGAGCGUAGCAAAUUCUUGUGUUCAUCCAUAUACGGAGCCACCAAAGCGGAAUUCUUUAGAACCGUGUAGUGUGCUUCGGUGAGAGAAUGUCCGUUCAUACAUAUUAUUUGUUCCCCUCCUAGCGUGCCUUUUCCAUCCAGUCUGCCCUUAUGCCACGAUUCAGGAACACCAAUCGGUUUAAGGUCAGGAAUAAAGUCAAUAAAAAACUCAAUGACCUCCUCAUUUUCAUGGCCCUUGGAGAUGCUUCCUUCUGGCCUAGCACGGUUAUGAACAUAUUUCUUUAAGACUCCCAUGAACCUCUCAAAGGGGAACAUAUUGUGUAGAAAUACAAGACCCAAAACGUUAAUCUCUUCACAUAGGUGAACUAGGACGUGCGUCAUGAUGUUGAAGAAGGAUGGUGGGAACACCAACUCGAAACUGACAAGACAUUGCACCAAAUCAUUCUCUAACCUUGGUAUGAUUUCUGGAUCAAUUACCUUCUGAGAGAUUGCAGUGAGGAAUGCACAUAGCUUCACAAUGGCUAAUCGAACAUUUUUCGGUAGAAGCCCCCUCAAUGCAACCGGAAGGAGUUGCGUCAUAAUCAUGUGGCAGUCAUGAGACUUUAGGUUCUGAAACUUUUUCUCUGCCAUGUUUAUUAUUCCCUUUAUAUUCGACGAGAAGCCAGAUGGUACCUUAAUACUGAGCAGGCAUUCAAAGAAGAUUUCCUUCUCUUCUUUGGUAAGAGCGUAGCUUGCAUGACCCUGAUGUAUGCCAUCUUUUCCGUGCAUACGUUGCUGGUCCUCCCGUGCCUCAGGUGUAUCUUUUGUAUUCCCAUACACGCCCAAGAAGCCAAGCAGGGUCACACAAAGAUUCUUCGUCACGUGCAUCACGUCGAUUGCAGAGCGGACCUCUAGGUCUUUCCAAUAGGGCAGGUCCCAAAAUAUAGAUUUAUUCUUCCACAUGGGUGCGCGUCCGUCAGCAUCAUUUGGAACAGGUUGUCCACCAGGACCCUUUCCAAAGACCACCUUCAAAUCCUUGACCAUAUCAUGUACAUCAGCACCAGUACGGUGGCGAGGCUUCGUCCGGUGAUCCGCCUCACCUUUGAAAUGCUUGCCUUUCUUUCUUACGGGAUGCCUGCUCAGAAGAAAUCGACGAUAUCCCAAGUACACAUUCUUCUUACAAUUAGCCAAAUAUAUACUGUCGGUGUCGUCCAAACAGUGCGUGCAUGCGCGGUAUCCCUUGUUUGUCUAUCCUGAAAGGUUACUGAGAGCAGGCCAAUCAUUGAUGGUCACGAAUAGCAACGCCUUUAGGUCAAAUUCUUCCCCCAUGUGCUCAUCCCACGCACGUACACAUGUUCCAUUCCACAGUUGUAAGAGUUCUUCAACUAAUGGCCUUAGGUACACAUCAAUGUCGUUGCCGGGUUGCUUAGGGCCUUGGAUGAGCACUGGCAUCAUAAUGAACUUCCGCUUCAUGCACAACCAAGGAGGAAGGUUAUACAAACAUAGAGUCACAGGCCAGGUGCUAUGGUUGCUGCUCUGCUCCCCAAAAGGAUUAAUGCCAUCUGCGCUUAGACCAAACCAUACAUUCCUUGCGUCAUCUGCAAACUCCUUCCCGUCAUCUGCGACCCGUCAGCGGGUACUCUCAACUUUCCGUCUUUCUUACGGUCUUCUCUGUGCCAUCGCAUCGCCUUGGCAUGCUCUUUGUUUUGGAACAAACGUUUCAACCGUGGUAUUAUAGGAGCAUACCACAUCACCUUGGCAGGAAUCUUCUUCCUGGGGCGCUCGCCCUCGACAUCACCAGGGUCAUCGCGGCUGAUCUUAUAGCGCAAUGCACCGCAUACUGGGCAAGCGUUCAAAUCCUUGUACUCACCGCGGUAGAGGAUGCAAUCAUUAGGGCAUGCAUGUAUCUUCUGCACCUCUAACCCUAGAGGGCAGACAGCCUUCUUUGCUUCGUACGUACUCUCAGGCAAUUCGUUGUCCUUUGGAAGCAUAUUAUUUAUCAUUACCAGCAACUUUCCAAAUCCCUUGUCAGAUACACCAUUCUCUGUCUUCCAUUGUAGUAAUUCCAGUGUGGUGCCCAGCUUUUUCUUGUCACCUACGCAAUUCGGGUACAACAUUUUUUUGUGAUCCUCUAACAUGCGCUGCAACUUCUUCUUCUCCAAAUCACUUGCGCAGUUUCUCUUUGCAUCGGCAAUGGCCCGACCUAGAUCAUUAACGGGCUCAUCUGAUGCCUCUUCUUCAGCUUCUUCCCGCAUUGUCGGCUCAGCUUCUUCCCGCAUUACCGGCUCAGCUUCUUCCCUCAUUGUUGUAUCAUCGUAUUCAGGGAACCCAUGGCCAGGAUAGCUGUCGUCGUCCUCUUCUUCUUCAUUGUCUUCCAUCAUAACCCCUCUUUCUUCAUGCUUGGUCCAAACAUUAUAGUGGGGCAUGAAACCGGACUCAAACAGGUGGACGUGAAUGGUUCUUGAUGUAGAGUAAUUGUGACCAUUCUUACAGCCAGCACAUGGACAAGGCAUAAAACCAUCCGCCCGCUUGUUUGCCUCAGCCGCAAGCAGAAAAGUACGCACGCCAUUAAUGAACUCAGGACAGCAUCGGUCAUCGUACAUCCAUUGCCGGCUCAUCUUCAAUACACAGCACCGAAAACACCAAAUUAAUACAAUACAUAAAGUUCAUACAUAAAGAUCAUACAACACUUAAUGCAACAAACAAAUAACUCUCUAGCUAAAGAAUUUAAAUGCAACAACAAAUGCGAUCAAGAUUGCAACUAAGGUAACAAUUGAUCCAACAGCAUAAUGAUACCAAGCCUCACUAUGAAUGGCAUAUUUUUUAAUUUUUCUAAUCUUCAAGCGCAUUUUCUCCAUCUUAAUCUUGUGAUCAUCGACGACAUCGGCAACAUGCAACUCCAAUUCCAUCUUCUCCCCCUCAAUUCUUUUCAAUUUUUCCUUCAAAUCCUCGUUUUCUCUUUCAACUAAAUUUAACCUCUCGACAAUAGGGUCGGUUGGAAUUUCUGGUUCAACUACCUCCUACAUACAAAUAUCUAUGUCAACUUGAUGGGCAUAAUUUGUCAUAAACACGAAAUGCAAUGAAUAGUUUUAAAAGAGAAUAUACCACAUCCGAAUCAUAAUCCGGACGAGGGCCGACGGGGACGGAUAUCAAAACCAUGGCACUAUGUAUAACAAACAAUGUAUGGGUAAGAUAAUUAUACGAGUAACUAUAUAUCCAAAUCACACAAACAUCAAUUUUUUAUAUAAAACUUCAUGAACAAGAGGCUCACCACAAGGUGGUGCCAGCGACGGGACGUUGCGAGCGAUCGAUGGUAGUUACGACGGAGAUUUAGAAGGUACUAAGUAAACCACACCUACAUAUGCAAACUAAGUGUUAUUUUUGACCUCAAAUUGCAUAUAAAUCAAAUACUAGCACAUAUAUAUAAUUCCUCCCAAAUUACUAAACUCAAAAAUCAAUCACUAUAUAAAGCAUUGCACGAGCUAAUCUAGCAAUGAAAGAUGAAAGGACAAAGUUGCUAACCUUUGUGAUCAUUUGAAUGGAUGGGGGCCUUCAUAUCUUCACAAAUUUUGGGCAAAAUGUGUGAUGAGCUUGAGAGGAAGAGGGAAAAGAACGGAGAGGAGAGGGGAAAGGGGAAGAACAGAGCGAGCUCGGGUGGACAAAGGGUCUAUGUAGGACGACCUUUAGUACCGGUUCAUGAUACAACCCGAUACUAAAGGUGCUGGAGGGGCCCCGGACUGACAACAUCCUGCCACCACUCACUUUAGUACCGGUUCGUGGCACGAACCGGUGCUAAAGGUUCGCCACGAACCGAUACUAAUGAGAGCGGCCGGCUAGCCGUUGGAAUCGGCACUAAUGCACACAUCAGUGCCGGCUCAAAUUCAAACCGGCACUAAUGCGCUUCACGUUUGACCCUUUUUCUACUAGUGCUUGCCACUAUCCACUUUGCUAAUGGGAAUGCUAGGACAAUCACGUGGAUGAGCAAAGAUGAGUGCUUCUCUGCACCUUGGAAGGAUUUUGUAAGACUGCUUCGAUAUUUCGGGAUGGAGGGAGUACUAGAACAUAAGCGUUAUGGUUACUGCAGCCCAUUUUGCACCUGAUUGUUUUUUUAGAAAUUGGUAGAUAGUAUGUACAUAAAUUAUAAAUAUUUUAAUAAAAAAUGUGAGUUAUAAUUUCAUAAUUUAAAAGUUAAACUGUUGACACGAAUAUUCAACAGUGUUUAAUAUUUAAAUUAUAUAAUUUUUUGAAUAUUAGUCAUGGGUAAAUAUUAUACAUAAGUGAACAUUCGUAAAUAUUUAGAGUGUAUAUAUUUUUUGGAUUCAUUAAACAUAUUUAUUUAAUAAACAUUUUCAAUGUCGGUAUUAACUAAAUAUUUUUAUAUAAUAGACAAGUUUAUAUUUAAAUGUUUUUAUUCUAAUGAUCAUUUGCAUUGCAUGUAUAAUGUUUUUAGAAUGUUACUUUAUUAAUUACGUGUUACAAGUAGUGCGCGCAAAAUAGGCGCAGUAUGUUCAGCAUAUUUAAGUUGCACAUGCGUUUGCUUGUUAGUACACGUACUAUUUACGCUGGAACUUGAUUAGUGGAUUGGUUGGAGUACCUCGCGUCGUAAGCGUUCGGAACCUGGCUUCCCCUUUUUCUUUUUCUUUUUGUUAAUUCUGGUAUCUAAGAGCUGAGCAGUGUGGCUUUUCUGCAAAUUAAAAAAUAUUAGGGGAUUUUGCUCAGAAAUCCCUCGCGAUGGUCAGCUUUUCCGCAAAUAAAAAAACGAGUGUGUUUUUGUGCAAAAAAAAGUCUCGGCCAAGCGCCUUCACUCGCUGACAUAUGGGUCCAUACACACGGAUACCCCUGCAUACGCAUUUGUGACUGUAUUUGCACGCUUGAGUCAAGUUUAGCGACCGCAAUUCCAUAUUUUCAAAGUUAUAGCACCAAACUUCGAGUGCAAGUAUUAUGACUUCUGAUGAUAUUACCUCUCUUAAGAAAACAGAAUACGGUGUUUUGGUGGGGUCUUUGUGGUGUGAUUCAGUGUUAUCUGCCGAUCAACCCAUGCUUAUAUGAAAAAAAAAUCUAUGUCGGUGGAUGCAUUUAUUAUAUUGGUGUUACAUUACAUACCAGCGUUUCUUUUUUCGGGGUGGUGAGUGGGUGCACGGGACUGAUAUGUUUUAUAGUCCGGUUGCUGUCAAUUGAUUUGAAAAGUGUUGACUUGGUGAGACAUGAACCAAAUCCAAAAUUAAGUACCUUAAUCGAAUCAGAGAGCUCCUAAACUAGGGAGCAUAAUGAAUUAAAAGAAUUAUUGAUGCUAUAGUAUCAGUGCUGAUAUGUUUUAUAGGCCAAUUGCUGUCAAUUGAUGACAAAUCAUUGAUCCGAUCAAAAUCGUAAACUGAAUUCAAAAGUGAAUACCUCUAAGAUUAGGGAAUAUAGUGAAUUAAAAGAAUUGGAUGAGAGAGCUCCUUAUAAAAUUAUAUUAUUGGCCCCUUAGAAAACUUUAAAAGGGUCUUUUCGUUAAUCUGCAUUAAGUAAGCGGUUAGGCAUCUUCAAUGCGGACCUCACACCGCCUGUAAACGUCCAGACAUAAUUGUCCAGGCACUGCAAACCAUCCAGCGCAGUCCGGACACCACCGCCAUGUACGCGUUUCGCAUGCCGGUCCCACCCCAAUAACCUCUCCCGCUUGACCUCUCGUCUGCUCCUCGCGUCACAUUCAUGCCUGGAGCCGGCAUUGAAGCGGUGCGUCGACCGAGAGCGUCGCUCGCGCCGCGUCCCGGUCUCCACACCUGUUUAAUGUCAGAGAGACGUGACCGGACGAGACGGGACGAGGUCAGGUCCGGUGCGGUGGGUUGGUUGGUGAGGACCAGUUCCAGUGUGACCACUUUUGUUUUGAUAUUGUGCAAACAAACUAGGCAAAACCCCAAAGAAAUGUUUACUCUUCCAAUGGAUCGGUUAGAGUUGCUCUAAUAUAAUGAAGAUCACCGAUGAACUGAAGAAACUAGAUACUACCAUGUACUCCCUCCGAUGCAUAUUAAUUGUUGUUGCUUUGGUACAACUUUAGUACAAAGUUGUAGUAAAGCAACGACAGUUAAUAUGGAUCAAAGAGAGCAGAAGAUAUCACUUCUGUGCCGGUUAUGAUUCAGCUUCUCGUUUCAAAUAAUGCUGGAUCAAAAUGUUGCACAUUUAAGUCAGUUUAAGCGGGUCCUAAAUAUUUCGGUGGCAUGUGCAUCUGACCCAAAUUCAUACAGAACACAAAUUAACUUGGUCAUACUUCCAAAAUUCAGUGCUCAGACGAAUUUAUGAUAACAAAUUACAAGUCAUUACUUCGGUUUAGAGAAUAUAACUCUGAUAGUAGCUUAAUUCUUGACAUACAUUUCGACAUAUAGAAACAGGAGAAUUCAGAGACUAUAUAAAUCAGUAGAGCGAGAGCAGUCGUCCAUGCCCACCCAAUUCUGGAGCGACCUUGGAACGGGAGGUACUUGGACAUCCAGAACGCCUUCAAGCAUCUGAACAACUUGCCCCAUCAUUGGCCUAUGAUCUUCAGCAUCCUGAAUGCACCAGCAUGCAGUUCUGCAAGCCCUGAUCAGCUGCUCCACAUCCACAUCCACAUCGUCUUCCAACCUGCUGUCCAGCAGGCACAUAACAUCUCCUUCAUUCACCUUGACUGCAGCAAAGAUGGGAAAGUAAGUAAACCUCCCCUGUUUGAUUUUCUCCGCAUUCGCCCCGAUACGAUUUCAAGAAGCAUCAUUCCGUAGCUGUAGGCAUCAGCCUUAUGCGUGAUCGGUAGCCCUGAGAUCCACUCCGGCGCAAGGUAUCCGAUGGUCCCACGCAUCGUUGUCAAUGCCCUGCUAAAAUCCCGGCCAAGAAGUUUGGCCAAACCAAAGUCUGCAACCUUAGGACAGAAAUCUGCGUCAAGGAGUACAUUGUCCGGCUUCAUGUCACAGUGUAUGAUACAGUCCGUGCAUCCCUCAUGCAGGUAAGCCAAGCCUCUUGCAGUUCCAAGUGCUAUCCGGUACCGGACCUCCCAGCCCAAAGCUGCCGGGCUUUUCGAAAACAGAUGAGAACUCAAAGAUCCAUUCUCCAUGUACUCGUACACCAGCAGCCUUUUACUUCCUUCGGCACAAAAUCCAAAUAAACGAACAACAUUGAUGUGUUGGAUCAUUCCAAUCGUUUGCACUUCCGCUCGGAAUUGCUUCUCCCCUUGUCCAAAUUCUUUUAGCUUCUUGACAGCCACCACAGAGGAACCUUGCAAUGUUCCCUUGAAAACACAGCCAAAACCUCCUUCUCCAAGCUUUACCGAGAAAUUUCCGGUAGCUUUCUUUAUCUGGGCGUUUGAGAAGAUCGUGAGGCUGCUGUUCGAAUUCACCGGUCUGUCCAUAAAUGACUUCUUCUGGAUUAUCCGCAAAAGAACUAGACCAGUGAGGACGAGGGUUAACACAACUAUCACUGUUGAAAUAACAAUUUGUAUCUUGUGAAUAUGUGGAGCAUGAGCAGACCACAACACAGAUCCACAUUCCCCAAGUUUAGCUGCAGUCAUAGUACCGCCGUUAUUCAGCUGUACAUAUACACGUGCAUCGCUGAACAGGAGAAAAUUGCCUCCAUCUUGAUGUAUCCCCAUCCAGCUGGGGAAAGUGCCGUGAUAAAUUUCAUGAUAAUCUUCCUUAUUGGAAACAUAUUCAUCAAUCUGUUCGACAAUAAACCCUCCACCUUGGUUUGGAUUCAUAGCCAGAACUAAACCAUAGUUGUAAUCCCAGGAUAUAACAGAAGCAUGGGGAAUAAGGAAGAUGUUGUUGCUCGUGUUUCUAUUAAAUCCCAGCCAUCCUCCAGGCAGCAGUGUACCAAUUGGAUUAUCAAAGCUUUGCCAGAUCACCAGUGAACUCUUCACUGGAUCUCUUAUUACGAGAUUUCCAUUGUCAAGAAGCACUGUGAGUAGAGAAGUAGUAGUACUAUUUAUAACUUCUGAUGAAUACGGAUAUGAUGACCAUCCAGGAAUUAUUCCACCGCUAACUGGAAUACAGUCUAGUUCUAAGUUGCCAUAGGUUGUGAAGCCAAAGCUCGAGUACACAGGGUAACAGUUUGUGGAAUCACCUAAGGGCGACCAAACUAGAAGAGGGCGACAAGCUGAUGACUUAAUAUACCAUAUGCCAAACGUAGAAUCAUAACCACAAGGAGGAAACAGGCAGUCGAAACCCAACUUGAAGGCACCAUUUUUCGAAAGCAAGGUCUGGUUACCACUUAGAAAUUGGCCCGGAAGGAGAGUAUCAGUUGCAUACGCAAAUUUAGAACCUGAAGACAUGACCUUGAUCAUCAAGUAGAGAAGUAUUACUGCAAACUCUAUGUGGAUGUUCCAACUCCAAAAGCAAGUUGAGUCGAGGGUGGUGAUUUCGAAAUGUUUGGGCUGAAUAAAAGCAACUCCAAAAACACUCAAUAAACUCGAAAAGUGUGUGGAAAUUAUUGAGUCAUUCAUGACAAGUCCUAAUCAUCCUGGAAAAUGUUUCGACUCCCUCGCCCUAGGACAAAGGUAAGUUCCUUUUCUUCUGCUUGUGGAUGUUGGUGUUAGCCAAACUUGCUUGCUGGCUGGCUAGCUGCUGUGGAGCGAGACGUUUGGUUGAAAAAAACAGCCAAGGGACACGGACGGCAUUGAUUGUUGGGCUGAAGACUGCUGACCCUGGAAAAGCACUUGAUAAUCUCUAAAACCAUUGUAAUAAGCAACAAAAAGAAACAAUGUCCAAGACAUGAGUUCACCCCAUACAUCUAGCAGGGAGAAUGACUCACCUCGAGCCCGCUCUUCCGGUGCAGACGCUGCCUUUGCGGUGGGCAAUUUCUCCAAGCAUAUAUCUAGCAGGGUUCGUGCAAUUUCAUCAAUGUUUCAGCUAGUAGAGAAAUUGCUGAGGCAUGUACGUACCAAGCAGCAGGUUUCAGGAGACAAAUGUUUGAGAAAAACUAAUGUAUGUACCCCAGCAUGCACGCAUGCUUGCUUGCUUGCUUCAUUCCCAGUUUAACCAGCUUCUGCACUCCUUCCUCAACAUCAAGACAACACACAGGCACAGGUACAUGAGCUUCAGCACGUAGUCGUUCAUACAUCCACAAACAUCACUGGUCUUACUCUGCUUGUUACUCAACCUGUCCUUGCCUAGUACAGACAGACAGACAGAGAAGAACACGCUAGUACAAACAGCUCUACCCUCAGAUCACGUCCUUCUCCUUCUCCCUCCCUACACUACACAGGCUAGCUAGCACAGGACAAGCACUGGCAUGACAUGCACCACCUUGUCUGUCUAUUCUACGGCUCCUUCACCACAGCCUUGAGUGCAUCCCCGGCCGUCACCCUCAGUGGCACGAAAUCUGGACACACGCAAAACAAACGGCAAGAUGUCUGUCUGUCAGCACCACCCAGUCUUUGCUACACACAUACUACGCAGGCAUCUGCGGAUUUAAACAGAAAUAGGGUAAAACAAGCUUUACCUGAUAGGAACUUGUACCGUUUCUCCUUGCACACCGCCGUCGCUGAAAAGAUAUAUAGGACAGCAGAGUCAUUGUAAGAUUUGUGGUUUUAGAUUAACUUGGAAUUGAUACAAGAACGGUUCAGAUUUAUCAACACCAACAGUAGAGGAAAUGAUGAUAACUUUAGGGUACUCGCAGUUCUUUUAAAUAAAGAACCCUCAAGUCUUUGGAAAGUAAUAUUUGGCAUCCAACAAAACAUGUCUGGUUCCUUGAAAAACAAACUUGAUAUCAAAUUUGCUAGCACAACACCCAAUGUAUCAAGCGCUAAUACAGGCUAAGGAUUGCAACCGAUAAUGGGAAAACAGAUACCCACUUCAAUUACUCAUGCAAGAUGUCCUAGGGGAUGUGACAUAGCCUACUCAGACAAGAGUGGCGAAAACCAUCGUAACAAUAGGGUAAGACAUUAUGACCACUUGCUUUACUAAUGAGUAUCAUAUCAAAUGCAUCCACUGUAUGGUCUACAGAGGCUCUUUAUUUCGACAUGAACUGUCUUUCAGGCAGCAUAGUCAACAAACAAGAUAAAUGGGUUCCUAGAUAAGGAUACAGCAAACAAAAGGAGGGUCAACUUACAAAGGUUCUCGUAGGUAAUUGACUUUUUACGUUCCUUCAGGGCAUUCUGAUGAGCAUCCUUCGCAAAUACCUCCAAGAAUAACUCCUGCAGGUGCAUGUGUAACAUGAAUAUAUAUAUAACACGAUAACACUAUCCAGUUCGAGAUUCAGUACAUGUCAUAAUCACUGCAUACCAAAAGAAAAUGGCACUGGUACAUAAAUACAAGUUGCAACAAAGAUAAACGAGGUACACCAGCCACUGUUUCCCAUAACACUUUUGAAAUACUCCCUCUGUAAACUAAUAUAAGAAUAAUUUAGAUCACUACUUUAGUUUAGUGAUCCAAAUGAUCUUAUAUUAGUUUACAGAGGGAGUAUCGUGCAAGCAAAGAGAAGCCACUCCAACAAUCUGAUCCUUGCUUGGUGUUACUUUUCUUGUCACAUCCAUGUCGUAAUUACUCCCUGUCGUUCUCACUUCUCGGGAUUAUUUUUUACUCGUUGGGCAUCGCUUCAGGGUAGCUCACAUUACAUUUCCUAGAAUUCAAGAGGCUAUUUUAGAACUGAACUUUAGAACAAGAAUGAUGACAUUCUAAUAGCAUCCUCACUGAAACUGAAAUCCAUGCACAUUACAGAAGUCUAAGCACCAGAACUCACUUGGCAGAUUGGAAAUCUGAAUUUUGAAUUUUGAAUCAGCAGAAAUAGACAACACUAUCCCAUUGAAGAUUCAGUAGAUGUCAUAAUCACUGAGUACCAAAAGAAUGGCACCGAUACAUAAAUACAGGUUGCAACGAAGAUAAACAGGGUACACCAACCAUUGUUUCCCCCCAAUAUUUUCAAAAAAAAUGAAAAAUGGUCAAACAGCAAGGAAAGAGAAGCAUUUGGUUGGGGGAGGGGGGGGGGGGCGACAAUUUUAGCUUUGCUUUGGGUCACUUUACUUGUCACGUGCAUGCCUAAAUCUCUCCGCCUAAAUAAAAGAUAAAUUUGUUCUCGGGGCAAAUUUCCUUUUCUUAUUGGUCGGGCAUCACCUUCAGGCUAGCUUGCAUUAUCUUGUCUAGAAUUCAGGACACUGGAUUUUUUUUAUUGAACUGAACUUUUUAGAACAAGAAGGAUGCCAUUCUAAUAGAAUAUGUUCCCAGUCAGAUACUUGGAUGAUCUCAGCAAGCUUAUAAUUCUUAUGAACCUGGAUGCCAUAAAUGUAAAUUAUCAUUGCAACCUUUUUAGUUGACAACUGAAAUCUACAUGAGUUAGUGCACUACAGGAGGUAACUAUGCAAUCAGGCCACGCUUGUUAUACACUUAUACCACACUGUCAGCUUACACAGGUCAACUUCCUCCUCAGUCUGCUAUGCUGCAGGUACAGUUUAAUCAUGUUGAACCAAAAGACCUUCAUCUAGUGAUUGAUGAAUUACAAAUACCAAUCCCGAAAGAAAAAAACUCUAUUGGUUAGUGAAGAAUUACAGGACUUCCAGCGGUUGGUGCUAUGAACUUAUGGUCUCCUCAGCAGGACCAGAAAGUAAGAAACAAAUUCACUUGCCAGACUGGACUUCCAACUUAUGGCCAUCUUGUUUGGUGCUCGAAAAGAAUUACAAGAAGCAAUUAGAAUUUUGCUGGAAGAUAAGCACGUGAGUUAGCAAGAUAAAGAAGAAACAGCACGAAGAUGAAUCAAACUAUUGGAGCAAGUAGAGGCAACGGGAGGUGGGCAGUGCAGUGACUAUGUACUUGUGCAUAACGUUGUUGCUGCCUUGAUUACGGACAAAACCACUACAACUAGUAGGCAGUAGCAUAAGCCAGCUUUCAGAACAAUGUUGCCAGGCUGGCAGCACUGCACAACUGUCGGGGGGGAGAGAAAUGCAUCGACCACCAAGUAAACUGGCUGGUUGGGUAGUCUAGGAUUCCUUCUACUCCUCUUUUGGAUGAUGGCUGAAGCUUGAUAUUCCAGUGCAAAUCUUACUACAUACUCCCUCCAUCCCAAAAUAAGUGUCGUUUAUUUAGUACAACUUGACACUUAUUUUGGGACAGUGGGAGUAUAAAUUAAAUUUUAAAACGAACAUUUCAUCUACUAAUUUAGCUCAUCCAUGACAUUUAUGAAUUUACAAGAAACAAUAUGUUUAAGGUGAGCCUGGGAAUAUUAAGCUACAUAAUGAGCAAUCUCAUAAAUUUAGCUCAUCCAUGAAUGACUAACAAUCAAAUACAAGUUCAGCAAUAGUAGAAACAAUCUGGAAAUACAACACCAUUUUACUAACACCGGUCAUAUUCUUCCAUCCAAAAAAAGAACACCAAUUUUUCUCUCUAGAUAACACGGUUUCCUACCACUUCGACACGAUAUUUCAAGUGGAUAUGCUUAGGAAAAACCAAAGUGAAAACAUGGACGAAAUGUGCACAUCUACAGCAGAAAUAGACAGUACUAUCUACAAAUCACUGCAAAACAUGCCAAGAAAGACGUCCUCACAGUUCACUUGUGAGACAGUUUUGUACUGCCAGCAGCAGAAGCAGACACAGCUUAUUAUGUUGACAUUUGGCUCAGCACAAAAUCAAGCUUUGACAUCUCAGACAACUUUACACUGGAAUAUUGACUGACCAAGGGUAGAGACAAACGAUCGACAGUGAGAACACGACAGACAACUCAUCGAACACCUUGUGGGCGUUGAUGGGCUGAUAGCACAACCAAUCUAAAUCUCACUAGCUAGCAUAGAUUCCACCCAAAAUCAUGGCAUUCUGAUAGGAUGACACCAAGCUUCAGUCCUGACUGAAAUUUCUAAUUGCCAACACAGAUCACUGCAUAACUUGCAUUCAGAUUUUUCAGAGUAAAAGUUGGGGAAGUCUUACCGAGGCCUUGUUGACGAGGAAGACGGUCUCAUUGUUAGAUCGGAUGGUGGCGUCCUUGUCCCGCAUCAGCAGCCGCACCCGCGCCAUCGGGAAGCUGCAGGUGCCCGGCUCGGCAGCCACCGGCGCCGCCCCUGCUGCCUUGCCCUUCUGUUUCUUCGCAGGCGAAGAGCCAUUCUGCCCGCUCUUCGCCGCCUUUGGGGAUUCCAGAUCGCCAUGCUUCCUCUUGCUCGGUGUGGCCUUCUCCGGCCCGCCGGAGGCCUGCUGCUUCUUGGUCGGCGUGGCCUUCUCCGCCUUGCCGGGGCUUUUCUUGGCGCUCUUUGCCUCCUUCUUCUGGGGUGUCUUGCUGGGUGUGGUGGCCUUCUCAGCACCGCCGGAGGAGGCUUGCUUCUUCUUGGUGGGCGUGGCCUCGUCCACUUUUUUGGCGCUCUUGGCCGACUUCUGGGGUUGGGGUUCCCCGGCGUCGUCGCGCUUCCUCUUGCUGGGCGUCUCCUUGGCCGCCCCGUCUGAGGCCUGCUGCUUCGCCUUCUUGGGCGUGGGCUUGGGCUUGGGCUUCCCCGCUUCGCCGGACGGCUCCUGCUUCCCGGAUCCGGAUCCGGGCUCCGCCGCCUCGCCGCCCUUCUUCUCCUUCUUCUUUGGGGUCGCCGCCGUGUCCCCCAUCUUCUCCUUCCCUCCCUUCUCCCCCUUCUCCUUCUUCUUGGUAGCAACCUUCUCCCCCUUCUCUUUCUUCUCUGGCGCCGCCGCCUUCUCCCCCUUCCCCUUCUUCUUCGGGGGCGCCGCCUUGUCCCCCUUCUCCUUCUUCUCCGGCGCCGCCGCCUUGUCCCCCUUCUCCUUCUUCUCCGGCGCCGCCGCCUUGUCCCCCUUCUCCUUCUUCUCCGGCGCCGCCGCCUUGUCCCCCUUCUCCUUCUUUUUCGGGGUCGCCGCCUUCGCCUUCUCUUUCUCCCCCUUCCCCUGCUUCUUCGGGGUCGCCCCCUUCUCCCCCAUCUCGCUCUUCCCGGGCUCCGGAGCAGAGCCCUUGCCGGACUCGGCGGGGGCGGCGACCUUCUUAGGCCUCCCGGCCCCGCGCUUGGCAGUGGAGCCGGGGCUGGCGCCGGCGGCGGCGGGGACGGGAUCCUUCUUAGGCCUCCCAGGCCCGCGCUUGGCAGUGGAGCCGGGGCUGGCACCGGCGGGGACGGGGUCCAUCUUAGGUCUGCCGGGCCCGCGCUUGGCAGUGGAGCCGGGGACGACGGCACUCUCCUCACCCUCGGAAGGCACGGAGCUCACCGCGGCGCUCUUCUUCCCGGCCAUGCCCGCCUCCCUCCGCCGCCCAAACCCUCGCCGAGAGCUCUGGAGUUCAAAAUCUCUCGGGGCCGCGCCGAAGCUUCGCGAACCAACCGAGAAAUGGGCGCUCUUUUUUAUGUUAGCCACGGCUACGGUUGUUUUCACAAACCAAACCAAAACCCAACGCCUUUUGUGUUCCAAAGCAAACGUCCACAACUCCACAUCUCGAACGGGUUUGCCAUUUCAAAGGUUUUCCUGCAUGUGAACGAAAUUUGUAAAUCCAAGAUUUGUCGCAACUAUUCUGACACGUCUGUAGCUUGGCACAUGUUUGUCGGUGAGGUCUGACUUUGUUUGCUUUGAGGUUCGAGGGUAUUUCUUGGUACCAAAUAAAUGCCACAGCUAGUUUUUGCCUAUUCUGACACGUCUAUGGCUCGGUACAUGUUUUGUCGGUUGUGCUUAUUCAAUUGGACGAUGCAAGUUCCGACUUUGCGUGCUUUUGGGAUCGAGGGUAUUUCUUGGUACCAAAUAGAUGCCCCCGCUAGCUUUGCCUAUUUUUGCGGAAGUGUGAAAUUAUGUGCCUGUUUCAUAUGCCAGUUAAGCGGACGACGGAUCGAGGCUUCUCCGAUUAUCUAAGGAAAAAGGUUGCUCCCUCCUUUCCAAUAUAAAGGAUCGAUAGUUUGGUUGCUAUCUUCGAGGGUGAUGACAUCCUCAUAUGACUCCAUUCACCUUCUCAAGCAAAAACAGCAUACGUAUUGCUAGAGAAAGAUAUGGCCAACGAUCAUCGUUGUUUGCCAUUAAACAUUGGGAUAGAUAUAAAACGCAAACAAAGAUAAUUGUUUUGCGUAAGAGCCCCAACUUUACUCCGAUUUGCAAGGAAAAGGCAUGCAACCCAAGGCAAUAUUAGGAAGGGCAGCACAAUGUUUUUACGUGCUCAUACAUGUCAAACUCAGGUUCAUUGGCGUCGGCAGCCAUCUUGCCAACCAUGAGGCGCCACUCCCACUUAUCUGUUGUACGGAAUGCAGGAGGGGCUGCGUGUUGUGGUUCGUCUCCCACACUAAGGCAAACCCAUUUAGACACUUAUAAAAGAGAUAUAACAAUGUUUAUAGAUAUUAAAGUAGUGAUUUAAACACUCUUUAUAUUUCUUUACAGAGGGAGUAGUGUUGAAUUAGUAUGAACAGUGAUGGCACUGUUUGCCCUGCCAAAAAAAAAUGAAUGUACUGUCUGAAUAAAGAUCAAGUGUACUACCUUUAUUAUUAACUCUAACUACUAAUGACGGUCAGCCAUUUUAUUUGGCAUACUAACUGCACUGUGCAGUUGUCCUAUAGGAAAUUACUACACCCUGCCAUGCGUACUCCCUCCCUGUAAAUAUAGCUGUCAUUUUCGCCUCUAACAUGCAGACCCUACACAUGGUCUGCCGUAAUAAAAUACUACUAUCUUCAUCUCAUAAUAUAAAAGUGUUUUUAACCGUGUUAAAACCAUUUUUAUACUAUGGGACGAAUGAAGUAUCAAACUGCAAAAACGUCUUAUAUUUAGAAAAGGACGGCGAACGAAUACGUGCAGAUAAUCGGAUCAAACCGUGUCAGUUGUAUUCCUUCGGCCAGCGUUGUGGACUUGUGUGGACGAUGGAGCUUGAAGAAUGAAGAUGAGGGGCACUGGUUCUAUGGCAGCUCAGAUUUUGGACUCGCGCCGAAUCCGGGUUGCAUAAAUUUCUCAUCAUCACUUGUUUUCUUCUUUUAGGAAAAUUCUAGUGACCAAACUAAUAUUCAGUUCAAUAGGAGUACUCAGGGCCGACCCAUAGGCCAUGCAAACAGGGCGCCCGCCCUGGGCCCCGGCCCAGGUAUUCCUUCUCUGGUGAGUAGAAUGGGCAAAGGAAUGUACAAUGGAAAAAAAAUGAAGGCCCAAGGAGCCGUGCUAUGGAAAACCGACCUGCAAAAGUCACGUCUGUUCGCACUGGAUCAUCAUCGUUCUCGUCUCUUCAGCUUCGUGACUGCUACAACAGUUGAUCGUAGCAUUAGAUAUAAACACCAGAUCCAGAGACGCAAACAGAGCUAUUAUUAGUGCGAUUAACUCAUAUUCCAGUUCUGUUUCAAUGUAAUUUUUUUUCGAAAGUCGUAGUGCAAACAUAGAAGCUCAUAAGCUAGCCAAGCGCUUGUUGUCUUUAGGUCGGGGGCGCCACCUUUUGUUUGGCCAACCCCAUGACCUUGCUUGUAUCCCACAAUCUGUGAUUUUCGAUUAAUAAAGCUUGGUGAUCCUAAAAAAACAAAAAAAAAGCUCCGCGACUGCUCCGCUUCCCCAAAUCCCGACUCGUGAACAUCGCCGCCCCUCGCAUGCCUGAUGCCUCUCCGAUUACAAGGACACGGCCGUGAUACCUAGGGCGCGAAUUCACUCCCCAAUGGUCCUCUCCUUCCUUUUCGAAUGAUCUGGUCACUGCCCAUCAACUAGAGUUGGAGAGAUCAAGAUGGUGUGUGUUCUUGCUUCCCGUAACCUCGUUCCUCAAUUCAAAGAUUCAUUGGUAUUAGCCCUGCCCUACGGCACUCACAAUUCCACGUUGCACAUUGUUCUGCUCUUCAUUUGAUCCAAAUGUGAGAGAGCCCUCCUUGCCCUCAGAAGGUGCGGGGGUCACCGCGGCGUGCUUCUUCCUGGUCAUGCCUCUCUCCUCCUCCGACCAGCCACCGCCGCCGCCCAAACCCUCGUCGGGAGCUCUUGAAGCGCGGCUGCUGCGGAGUUAAAAAAAAUCGUGGCCGCGCGGAGACUUCUGGAAACAAAUGGGAGACGGGGGCUUUCGCGCUGGGGUUUUAAUGCCUAACAAAGCCCAUAUCCACCGCACAAAUCAGAUCCGAUGGUUCUCCUUUUCCGAGUACUACUCCUCGCUACAGCUCUGUACUACUUUCACCGCUACUCUGUUUUGGAGGGAAAAUGAAAACUUCUGCUCACUUUACCGUCAAAAUAGGACCACAGCUAAGACCUCAAAUUACUGGAGUCAAUCUCUAAUGGAGAACCAAGUAGAAGCAGAUUCAAAUAAGUAAGUGAGAAUAACAUUUUCGGUUUUGUGCUGGAUUCCUCUUUUUUUUUGCAAAUGACUGACACUAUUUUCUGCACUUGUGCAUUCUAUAGAGAAAUUGUAUUGCCUAGUUGGAUACCUCGGCUUGGCUUACACAUAUUUGGUUGGCUGAAGUCACAAAGCGGCAAAAGUGUGUGCUUUGCAAAAUAAAUGUAGAGUGUUCUGCACUUUAUGUGUAUGGAUACUUUUAUGAUUGAGCCUCUUUCAUGGUAACUAAAAUUUGCUUGAUAUCGGCAGUAGUUUAACAUUUUUGUUGUUUAAGUUAAAAUGUAUAGAUUGAAAUUGUAAAAUUAUGUGCCCCGAAGGCCAUUGAAGCGGUGCAGGUCGGCGCUUCAACAAUGAUCAAAGAUAAUGAGUUGUUUUUUCUUAUAUGGAUGUCCUGACUUAUUUUUUUGUUACUCCUAUGAAAAAUAUAGUUGUCGUUAGCACUAGCGCAUUUAUACACUGCUUUAUUUGAAAACCGCGGAUUCCUGAAGGAGCGAGAAGUUGGCAUUAUCAACACAAGUUGUACCAACACGAUCCGUAGAAGGACCUCUAACAAAUAAAAUAUUACAAAUGGGUCCUUCGAUUAUGCUCAAAGAUCCUUCAAUAAGGACCUGGGAAAGUGAUCAAGUCCCUAUUCCAUUGUCCACGUCGUUGAAACGAUGGAACUGCCAUAUCUGGUGAACUUCGCCUUUGCCGUCAUGCCUUGAAUAACGCUCAUCAUAUUUGCAAGGCGAUUUGGGCCUCCAACUUUGGGAGGAUGUAAAAAGAGACGAAGGGGUCAACGGCAGGCCACCGAGUGGUCGGCCAUCAAUCCUCACAUGGAUGAACGCCUACCCUCUAAGCCCCGUAGACCUCCAGUUUCGGCGCAACAGCUCCCGCACCCCCCGGAUCAAUAAGAUAGACACCGAGGCACCCCUUUCCUCGUGAACCGACGACCUAGGUGCUAUGCGCACCUUCGUGGGUGCUGCUUCCUUCCAUUGGGAGUUGACUAACCCAAUUGAAAGUUAGGUGACUGGUGUCUAACUAAAGUGAAAUAAUAAAUGGGGGAAACCUUGUGCAUCGCGAGUUAGUUCAGGAUAUUGAAUCUGGAUGGGCAAGAUUGAGUCAUAUGGUUGACAUUACUGAUGCAGGACUAAAGAUGCAAACCACACACCAGAAACUUUCAAAUCGAUAUCUUCUGUGAACUAUUGUAACUUUGUAAGAUGUCAGGAAGAAGGUGCAGUUCCUUCACCAGAUGAAUACCGUGUGAGCAGACAUGUAAGAUUUACAUGAAUAAGAUAGAAGGAGUACCACUAUUUUGUAGCUAUGUCGUAUCCUGCUACUCCUUCUUUCUUGAUGCGGAUCUUCCACUCGUUUUUUGGAAGCAGGUCCCGUGGAGGACGCUACAACUUUCUUCGGACCCAUAUGCAUGUGCUGAGUUGUUGAGGGUGCUUACGGUCGCCGUCUGUAGGCGGUGGGGGAGCAAAUCCGAGGUGACGAACGACGGCGAGCUUCGACGGAAUGAGUCUCUCACAUAAGAAUCCAGAACGCGCUUUCCUGUUAUCGCGCCAACGCUAACGUUAAGGAUAUGGUAUUUCUCAUGGACUACAUAAAUGCCAGAGCACAUUUGUGUGUGAUCUUGAGAUCAGGAGGUCCUGCAUCAUACUUUGCUUGAACCACCGUCGACCAAUGAUGGAACUACAAUUGUCGAUAAAAUGGCCGACUCAACAAUUUGCCGCAGAUAAGUCCUAAGCCAACACACCGUUCGGUUAUAAGAGCAUAUUUUCCCGAGGUAGCAUGUUCAUGACUUACGCAAAUUGAAAAAAAACUCAUGACGCUCUAUGGCUCAUAGUAUCAUUUUCUCCUUCACCGGAUGGGACCUCAAAGAGUCCCCAAAACAAAAAGAUAGUACAAGUGGCGGCAGCCGGCGACGGCCACCACCAAUGUCCGACGUGUUCCUCCGACGUGGCGCCGCCCCAUUGGGGCACAGCACGUCACCGCCACCGACGCGGCGGCCCCGCCCACGGGUUCCUCCCGCGGGCCCCCACAUGCCAGCCACACGACCCAGGCUNNNNNNNNNNNNNNNNNNNNNNNNNNNNNNNNNNNNNNNNNNNNNNNNNNNNNNNNNNNNNNNNNNNNNNNNNNNNNNNNNNNNNNNNNNNNNNNNNNNNNNNNNNNNNNNNNNNNNNNNNNNNNNNNNNNNNNNNNNNNNNNNNNNNNNNNNNNNNNNNNNNNNNNNNNNNNNNNNNNNNNNNNNNNNNNNNNNNNNNNNNNNNNNNNNNNNNNNNNNNNNNNNNNNNNNNNNNNNNNNNNNNNNNNNNNNNNNNNNNNNNNNNNNNNNNNNNNNNNNNNNNNNNNNNCGCCGCAGUCCCCCUCCACCCUCCUCCCCCAUCCCCGUCGUCGCUCUUCGAUUCCGCCGGCGAUCCGCGCCAGAGCCCAUCUCCAUCUCAGGUAGAGGUGAGUAGUAGAGGGAGCGGGGAGCUAGGGUUUCCGCGCGCGCGCGUGUGUGGGAGGGGAGAGGAGGAGCAGGGAUGGCGCAGGCGGUGGAGGAGUGGUACCGGCAGAUGCCCAUCAUCACGCGCUCCUACCUCACCGCCGCCGUCCUCACCACCGUCGGCUGCACCCUCGAGGUACGCACGUCCCCCGUCCCCCUCUCUUCCGGCCCCCUGCGCCCACCCCGGGGGCCGUUCGCGGCGCGAUCUGCUGCUUCUGCUGCCGAGUCGAGUCGAUGACCUAGUGAUUGAUUGAUUGAUUGGUUGGUUGCAGAUCAUCUCGCCCUACCACCUGUACCUCAACCCCAAGCUGGUGGUGCAGCACUACGAGAUCUGGCGCCUCGUCACCAACUUCCUCUACUUCCGCAAGAUGGGUAUGCCAACGAACCAACGAUGCUCGCCUCCUAUCCACUCCCUAGUCAAGUCUGCAAUGCGUUGUGAAAUUCCGUAGCACGGCAUGGCGUAGGGCUAGGGUUUGCUGAGGGCUGCGUGGAUUCGUUGCUCCCAUGCCACUCCAUUUGCCACUUGAGGAUAAAAGUCUCACCGGCGCGAUUCAUUUCAUGUGCUCCGAGAGUAUGGUCUAUUGAGUCGGUCAAGCCGCGGCACAGGGAGAUAUGUUAGAAUUGAUAGGUUUUGGGUACGUGGCGACAGUCGGCGAAGGCUCGUUCGCUUUACAUGCUGCUGAGCUGCUGCCCUCCCUUGUGUUUUGUGGCGCUGUGCAUAUGGUAAUUUGUCGCAUUGGAAACGGACACGGCCUGCUUGUUUGUCGUGUUGCGUUGGCUGCCGCAUCAAAGUCAGCACGGAACAAUAAGCACAGAUUUGUGAAGUUAAUAUUUGCGUGCUUCAAACGGUAAUGGAGAAUUGGUAACCGAUGGCUUGUCUAAUAUAAUAUGUUGCCAUGAAUGAGCAGAAUCUAGAUUGCGUUGCCGUUGAGUAUCCGACAUUUAGAGUCGUUAUCUCGGAUAUACGUUACUAAUUUGUCUGUGCUCAUGCUAAACACAAGUGCUUACAUGUUCCUAGCUUGUUGCACGUGUUUGAUUCACAUGCUCGUCGGCAGCCCUUUACUCUUUGAGACGUAUACUUUCUGUUAUUAUAUCAUUUAUGGGAUAAAGUUUAUGUAUAGCUGUAGCCCUUCACUCUUAUUACUGAACCUGGUUACUCUUGUUUCCAGAUUUGGAUUUCCUGUUCCACAUGUUUUUUCUUGCGCGCUACUGCAAACUUCUCGAGGAGAACUCAUUCAGGGGAAGAACAGCUGACUUUUUCUACAUGCUCUUGUUUGGUGCUACUGUCCUGACUAGCAUCGUUCUGAUUGGUGGGACAAUACCUUACAUUUCUGAGACAUUCGCCAGGAUUCUUUUCCUCAGCAAUUCAUUGACGUUUAUGAUGGUAUGCGAUUAAUUUAAAGGAUUCAAGCAUUUACUAUUUCUAUAAAAAGUUGCCUAUGCUAGGACACAUAGUAGAGAAAUCCUGUCUUUAAGAAUUCUCCUUUUUGGGUGCCGGAGGCAGAACAUUAGUAAUACCCCUGAUAUGGCAUGGCAGGUUUAUGUCUGGAGCAAGCACAAUCCCUUCAUUCACAUGAGCUUCUUGGGUCUGUUCACCUUCACUGCUGCCUACUUACCUUGGGUAAGCGUUGCACCUGUCCACUUGAUACUCCUCUAAAAGUACUUAUUUGAUGACGAGUGUAGGCAUGCAAAUUGAUAUUUCUUCAUGCCUGAGAAUUGAUUCACCUGAUCCGAGAUAUGUAUAUAGGGGAAAUCACUACUUAAUUGUAAUGACUUUGACAAGCUUAUGCAUAUAAAAACUGAUAUUUUUUCAUGCCUGAGUAUUGAUGCACAAGAUCUGAGAUCUGUAUAUCGGGGGAAUACAUAAGUUAUUGUAUGACUUGAAAACCCUAUCUGGCGGGUACAUGUAUCGAUUCAGGCUGUUUUAUUUUCAAGACAAAACAUUUAUGAACCUCUUUUCUUUGCCUCCUCGGUUUCGCAGCGUAUGUAACUAACUAUAGGUUUUGGCUUAGGCCCUGUUUGGUUUCAAAUAAGUCACCAACUUAUAAGUCGAAAAGUGCAAAAAGUGACUUAUUUUGCCAAACGGACCCAACUUAUAAGUCACCCCAACUUAUAAGUCAUAAGUUGCUCCACCCCAACUUAAAACUUAUAAGUCACCCCCUUUUACGUGGGUCCCAUCACCUUUACAUUAAAAAACAAGGUGGGAAGGUGUGCUCAGGUGACUUAUAAGUCAGAUGACAACCAAACAGACGUGACUUAUAAGUCACUGAUUUUAAGUCACCUGACUUAUAAGUCAGGUGACUUAUUGGAACCAAACAGGCACUUAAAAGAGGGCCUAGUGCAUUGGGAGUAGAGAUGAAUUUCACGGGAAAGGAUCUUUCCUUUACUAUGGAAUCCUUGCGUUCUAAAUGGUGCGAGAUGCAAGAUAAAGUGAAUGAAGUAACAUAUUAGUUCAUUUAGUCAUCAUGGAAUAAGUCCUGGAUAGAUCAUGUAUGAGUAAAUAAAUACUGGAAGGUGUAUGUGAGGUAGCGUGUGAUAACUCUGCAUUAACGGGCAUAGAGAAUGUAAAAUAGCUAGUUAUAUUCUGGAAAUGGAAGUACCUUAGACUGACCUGUUCCAGCUAGAGAAUUGGACUAAUCAUUGGUCCUAUUAACUCCAACCAGGCAAAACCUAGCCAUUACUGGGUGACCUGUAAACUGCUGUGUAAUAUGCACAGUUACAGUAGGAAGACACCUGGCUAUCUGUCCAUCGUACAGGAUGGCAUGCCACUGUUGGAAAACAUGACAAACUGAAUAAACUGCCACAUUUUGCUCUGAUACUGUUCUCAUGUGAUCCUUACUUGGUCAUCUCAUACCAUGACUGGCAAAGUUAGUGAAUUUUUUAUUCAUGUUAUAUUAUUUUAUCGGAGAUGAAAAAUAGUGGUCUGAACUGUUUCUUUUAACUUGCAGGUCCUUCUUGGCUUCUCUAUUCUGGUGGGGAGCAGCACAUGGGUUGAUCUUUUGGUGAGUUUUGCUUAACUGAUGAAUUUCAGAGUAAUGGUUGCAGUAGCGAUUUUGUUAGUGUUUAUGAUUUGAACAUCUUUUCUGGUCAUGUAAGCCAUUAAUUGCUAACUGACUGAACAAUAUUUAGGAUUAGCUGUUAGUGCUUAGUUCUUCGCGUGGAUUUGUAGGAAUGUUGACAUGUUGUUUAUUUGUACCAUUUUCUGCUGCAGUAAUGUUGCAACCACUCAAUAUUUCUCUUAUCCGCUCUGCCUAAAGGCUGCCAUAUUUAGGUUUUGUUAGCCAAAGUUUGAGUUUGGUUGCCACUUGCCAGUAUAGACGUACCUUCUUUUAUCCCAUGGUUGUCCAAAACCUGAUGAUGGUUUUAUAACCAGCUAACCGGAUGUUACUGGGCAGUUUUGAAAGUUUUAACAUGGUUCAAAUCUACAGAAUGAGCUACUGUUUUAUGAAUGCCGCUAGCGCUACAAACCUGCAAAUCGACCAUUAGAGAUUGUGGUUGGGAUUUUACGCGACUUCAUUUUGGUUGAUGUAGCAGCUUGUAUUGAUGCUAAGAAAGUGGAUGGCUGCUACUAUGCUGGCUGGCUGACUGGCCAGUGUCUUGUCUGACUAGUUUACCUUUCCCACUGCUCACAUGUUACUGUCAUAUUCGUUACAAAUAGCUAGCCCCUUUCUCUUAAGUACUCUGUCUUGCGUACCUCCUGAUCGUCAUUUAUUCUUUACUUUUGGACAAAUUAAUUGAAUCAUAAAUCCGCAGGUAUUUGUUUUCUCUUUUGGACGAGUGGCUACGAUAGCUCUUAACUUGUAAAUCAUGUUUCUUUCAGGGUAUGAUUGCUGGCCAUGUGUAUUACUUCCUGGAAGACGUGUACCCUCGGAUGACCGGUCGGCGUCCCCUGAAGACCCCUUCCUUCAUCAAGGCGCUGUUCGCCGACGACAAUGUGGUCGUGGCGGCCCGCCCCCCCAACGCCGGUGUCGCGGCUGCAAGGUUCGGUGGUGUGGGUGCAGCAGACCCCCAGUUCCAGUGAUGACCGACAUGCAGUUUGUUGGAUAUAAUUUUGUACACCCGUGUCCGUGAUGAUAUGUGCAAAAUAUACACAGUAUAAUUCUCAGUUAGGGGUUUGGAUUUGAUGCCAAUGCGCUGCUAACAAAAGUGUAUGUAGCUGGGCUCCUGAGGCCAUUUGUUUGUUGGUUAACUUUGACUUGACGUACUUGUCUCAUCUUGCGUGGCGUGGCGUGGCACCUUCGUUAAUUAGGCGAAAAAACACGCUGAAAACCAGUCCUUUUUUGGCGUCCCCAUAAUUGCGUUGUUGUGCUUAGGUUAUGAGGGUUCUUGGCCACAUGGAUAGUUCAAUGUGCUCAUUAGCGCCUGACCAGACGUGGAUCAUCCAAGGCACAUUAGCAUGGCAUACUCCUGUUUGAAUCGGAAUUCGAAAACAAACUUCUUCUCAGGAGGAUAGAUAGGGUGAUUUAGGUGAGAUCCUAUGUAGGUGGGUGUNNNNNNNNNNNNNNNNNNNNNNNNNNNNNNNNNNNNNNNNNNNNNNNNNNNNNNNNNNNNNNNNNNNNNNNNNNNNNNNNNNNNNNNNNNNNNNNNNNNNNNNNNNNNNNNNNNNNNNNNNNNNNNNNNNNNNNNNNNNNNNNNNNNNNNNNNNNNNNNNNNNNNNNNNNNNNNNNNNNNNNNNNNNNNNNNNNNNNNNNNNNNNNNNNNNNNNNNNNNNNNNNNNNNNNNNNNNNNNNNNNNNNNNNNNNNNNNNNNNNNNNNNNNNNNNNNNNNNNNNNNNNNNNNNNNNNNNNNNNNNNNNNNNNNNNNNNNNNNNNNNNNNNNNNNNNNNNNNNUACGAGGCACAAGAAAUUGGAAAUGUGGAAACAUAAAAAAAAA
rnacentral:lncRNA from 1 species